GAGCAUGAUGCCAAGGACUUCGCUCGUAGCGCAUUAGCGUUGGAAGUUAUGCCCGUGGUUGAACGAUGUGGUUCCAAUUGUAUGUACGUUGCAACUGUAGCUUUUUAGAAGAUGUAUAGUACCAGUAGCCAGAAGUCAGAACAGUUUAGAGAUGUCGGGUCCGAUAAUUGUCGAUUUGUGGUUCUUAUUCUAGGGGAAAUUGUGAUUCUGAAUGCGAACGACAGAAACUUUUCCGUCGCUGAAUGCUUGGUGCCUUUGAUGGACAGAUAGCCUGUUUUACUCGUUCUGGUUUUCUCUACUGCAUGGUUUUCAUCCCUUCGUCUGCUCGAUCGACGCUACCCCCACAGAACGGAGGUGAUUGGAGAAGGAAAGGUGGCGUUGCUAGUCCCGGCUCCGGGACAGCAAGGUCGCCUGCUCGACAAAACAAAGUGUCAAAUUACCAGACUGAAACUCGGCGGCCGAACGGAACGCGGGACGCCAUGGCGUUGGGGCCGAGCCGAGCAUGAAUGACGCAUGCGCGGAGCUGCCGCCAAUUUAUCUGGAGGUGCCGCGGGCGUGACGCACUGUCACACCUCCGGUGCCAACUGCCAAGCAGUGAUGUGCCCGACUCGACGAAGCUGAUGAUGUUGCAGUGAUGUCGAAGGAAACCGGGGAAGUGCCCCACUGAUCGGCCAAAAUAGCCGACCUAGCCGGGCGCCUCAAAGCAGCGUCAAACAUUACUGUUCCGCAUCCCUCGUAUUCAACCCAAAUCUAAAAUGGAUAUAGGAGGUCCAAGCGCAUCCGGACUCGUCUGUCACUUCAGUCCCGCACAUGCAUGAUGUCCCAGUUCGACCCCACUUCGUCCACACUAAUUUCCCCACCCCGAAGAAAACCCUAGCUCACUUCACUCUCGCUCCGUUCUACGUCUCUUCUGCUCCCAAUCCUCAUUUGAUCUCCUCCUCCUCUCCGUCUACCAUGUCCAGCUCUGACAAUGGCAGAGCUUACAGAUACAGCGACGAUUGGGAUGCCUUCCUCCGCAUUGCGGAUGGCGACGAGGAUGAGCUGGCCCUCCGCACCGCGCUGCAGCGCUCACGGGUGGACACAAGCGUCAGCUCCAGCUUUGCUCUGUCCCAUGUUACCCGCCGCAGUGCUGAUGCCGGAGCAGGCCCGUAACGCACCGCGCACACCUCUGUGCGGUGCACCUGCUCUGCACCGCUCGCCCGCCGCCCUCCUAAACCUCCGAUCGCUGCUCCUCAAGGGCAAUGGUGGAUGUUAGUGUCCGCUCCGCUGGCAUUGUCGACGUGUACACCCAAAUCCAAGGGGGGCGCCACCCGCCGCGAGAGCAGCGGACUAGGGAGAGGGUGGCGACAUCGAAGGCGAUCAGACAGUCCUACCGUCGCCGCCGUGGGUUGCUGGCGGUGCCCAAUGAGGACGAGGGCUCCUUGCGGGUCUACCACCGCUCACUUACGACAACGGAGAUGGACACCUGCGGGCUCCGUGAAAAAAACACGAAGGCGCUCCGGCUAGGUUUGGAGCAGUCGGCGUGCAGGGCGAGGGCGGCGAGAGCGACGAAGCUCAAGAGGCAGUAGGACCACACGGUCUGGAGGAUGGUCAGCUUCAUCAACUCCUCUUCCUCCUCCUCAGACAUCAUCGACGGCACCGAUGAUGGCUCCAACGAUCCACCUCCUAUCGACGACGCCUACACGGACACCUACAGUUGCGCCGAUAACCGGAAGGGCAAAGGGUCGGCAAAGAAGUGGUGAAGAAGCUCGAUCCUCUCUCCGUGUUUAUUUAUGUUUUGAGUAAUCUUAGUUUAGAACUUGUCCGACGGCUGAACCGUGGUGCUCUUUUGGUUGAUGAUUAUGUGGAUUAUGUGUGUUUCUAUGUUCGUUUGCUAUCGCUUUCUAUGUCCACUCGUUGAAUGUCCGUAUGUUUCAUUGAUGAUCUAUGAAGUUUAGUUUCACGUUGCAUUGCUUACUAUAGAUAUAUGGUACCAGAUAUGAGGUACAUGGCUGUGGACAUGGUGAUUUGAGGAUUGACUGGUCACUAUCUAUGGAUGUGUCCGGGCGCGUCCGCGGACGUAUAGGGUGCCAGAUGUGGUAUGCAUGGCUGUAGAUGCUCUUAGGUGUCCGGUGCCGGUGGCAACUGGGUUGGCAGAUACAUAUUAUUUUGGACAAGGGGUUUGGUAGUUUUGUGGUAGUUCUGCAGUGAUAUCCCGAAUGACCCCCACGUCACCCCCGCCGGCGACACGGGAGCCCCUCCCAAAACUCACUCCCACGUCGCCGCCGCGCAUGGCCCUAGGAUGGUGGCAGCGGGGCUAUUGUCGACUCCCUUGCAUGUUUCCCCCUGCCUCCUCUCUCCCCCAAUAUCCGAUCUCGCGCGGUGUGGGUGCCUCGUAGUUGCCGCCCCCACCUUCUAGCCCGGUAGGCACAUUGAAUUUCGAACCCAAAACUUGAAGUUAAAACUAAAACAAAUUUCUCUCAAGAUGUAUGUCAAUUUCCCUAUGCAUUGCAAUUUUUUCUUUAUUUCGUCACCAACUAAAGAAAUAUGUUGACCAUCCUUGCCACCUGUAGCCUACACUUGAUCAUCAAAAUCUGGUUCUAGAAAUCGGAUGCCACUACCUCCACUAUCUACAAGCUUUCAUUGUAUCUCAUCCUCAAGAAAAACCAUCAUCCAUUGUCUAAUUCGGCUAUGUUGGUUUGUCUCCCAAUUCUUCAACGCAAAUGUCCACACCGCCAUCAAAAGGGAUAUGCUCUAACGGUAUCUUGCAUGUUUCAUUACUCACAAGACAACCAGUGCCAUAAAAAAAACCUUCCCCGAGCAUCGAUAAGUGCAACAUCUCUCCAUCUAAAAUAGUGUGGUGUAGCCUUAAGUGACAUUGAGUCUAUUCCAUUCCACAUCUCCCAUGGGGAAUCACAAACAAACAAUCUUCUCCUCACACAUAUCACAAUGGUUGGCCGUCAAUGAUAAAAAUUUCCAUCAAAGUGAAACCGAACUGGCAAGAUACUCCUUUCUAAACAUAAAGAAAUAAACCAAAUCAUUCAACAUUUCAAAAUUUAGAAAAUUUCAGAUUAUACCCAAAAAUGUGCACGGUGUGAAGUACAAAGAGGUAAUAGGGGAAAAGACUUGCUAAUGUGCCUCCACCAAGAUAGUGGCUUGAGAGGAGGAGGGGAUGCAAUAGCCUAUGAGUAUUGGGAUGUAGCGGGAGCUGCCGUGGCGGAGGGUUGUCCAGUGCAUGAGCGGCAAUGGGCUUAGGGCAUGGCUGGAGCAAACUUGGGGUGGGGAAGAGACGAGUUGAGGCAAAGACGUGACGUUCCGAUCAUGAUUUGUGCUGCAAGUGUCGGUUGGGCCUAACCUAGGUGUGGACAAGUAGGGGAUACAUGAGGGACAUGGUUGGAAAAGGCCGCAAGGGGACGAUGGACGAGACUAGAGGUCGGAGUGGAAUGAAGCAAGGGAGUAUCAUGUGUUUUUCUGCCCAAUGAACAAUCACUUUCAGCCUCUCUAGUUGCAUGUGGUGUGAGGAACCUGUGUAUAAGAUCAACCAGAACCAGGUGUGUCGUUGUAUAAGACUGGGCCCGGUGGACAUGGUGGAUGAUACAGGUUGUUUGACCCAAUGUAGAAUGGCAGCCGCCUGAUCCGCGCCACGACAUGGGCGGACCCUCAAAGGUUUUGGUGUUGGUCCAAGGUGCAAGACGUCACACCCAUCUUCUAGUCCACUCCGGUCUGACGUGGAGUACUGGUUGGCAUGACUAUUGUAAGAUCCGUCAUCAAAAUGAUGCUGGGAACACCGCUUCAUGUCCAGGUGAAAUUUUUGUUCUUCAUUCAUCACCCUCAGCAACGACGAACUUGCGUCGUUACUUUGUGGAAGACAUUGUUUCCUUGAUGAUAUACUGACCUUCAGUGGUUUGUCUCGACAACCAAGACGAAAAUCAAUAACGACGCGACAGGGAUAUUGUUGAAGAAGUCAACUUAGUUAUAGAUAUUAAAACCAGAUGAGCUUUGCUGAUGUGAGGGCCAAACGGCCCCUCUUAAAUGUGCGGUGUCGAGACCCGGUCCAGUUACGUUUCUGCAGAUAUACGCGAAUUCAUCCGAGACCGCGAUCCAAAUACGUUCCUUUCUUCCAUUCCAUGUCACCGCGUAGAGAAUUUCAUAGACGUCAAAAGAGCACGCGCGCCCGGCCCAUGGUAAAGUUGGUGAUUGGCAAGUGAAGACGUAGUCCGAGCUAAACGAAGGAUUUUCUAGUUGUGGUGUCUCGAGGCUCAACCAGUAAAGCACAGUACAAGUUGGCAACUUGGGUUAAAAGAAGAAACGGAGAGGGCUCCACCUUGUUUUCGUGCGGGAAAGGAAGGAGAGUGGAAGCGAGUACUGUAGGAGCCUUGAACCGGUCCAAAUGGCGCGAGCUUCCUCACGUUGCGACGACCAGCUCCGGAGUUUUCAAUGGACCCGUACUGCGGCAGCCGCUACCCAUCCGAGGAACCACGUUGUACUAUAUAAAUACACCGGCGCGCCUCAGUUACGGCACCUCAAUUGCAAACGCCUGAGAUCAAAGACGAAAGAGAGAAAGGCAUUCAUUCAGAAGGGCAGAGCAACCGGCCGGCCGUGGGAGAGGAUCGACUUCGAGUGUUGGUUAGCUUUCCGGCGAGAACGAGUGAGCAAAUACAAUGGCGCGCGGCCUUCUGGAGGUGCAUCUGGUCCACGCCAAGGGCCUCUCCGGCACCGAUUUCCUCGGUGAGUAGAAUAAUCCACUGCAGAAGCCAGUGUUCUUGGCGUCGAUUUGCUCCGUUCUGUGUUCGGUUGUGGACGGAGAUUGAUCUUCGUGUUGACCUGUAUGUAUGUAUGUGCAGGGAAGAUCGACCCGUAUGUGGUGGUGCAGUACCGGUGCCAGGAGCGCAAGAGCAGCACCGCCCGAGGUCUGUCCCUGCUUCCAUUUCAUGCAGCUCUGUUUUCUUGGUUCCUCGUCUCCACCCCGCCCAGUCCACAAAAUACUGUAUACUUUUGCUGAACGAACCAACCGUGUGCAUGUAAUGCAGAUGCUGGGAGAAACCCGAGCUGGAACGAGGUGUUGAGGUUCCAGAUCAACUCCUCCGCGGCCAACGUGCAGGAUAAGCUCUUCCUGCGGAUCAUGGACCACGACAACUUCUCCAGCGACGACUUCCUCGGCCAAGCAACGUGAGUAAACUCCUACUCCCAGUCCCAGAUGCCAAGCAUCAGCACUUCACCAGCUAAUUGAGUUGAAGUGGCAAAUUAAAGACAAAAGCAAGAUCUGAAUCAAAUUACUGAAUACGUAUAUCUAUGUGAUGCAGGAUCAAUGUGACCGACCUGAUCAGCAUGGGCAUGGAGAGCGGCACGUCGCGGCUGAACCCGGCCAAGUACAGGGUGGUCACCGCCGACAACUCGUACCACGGCGAGAUCAAGAUCGGGAUCACCUUCACCGCCGCAAAGGUUGAUUCCCAUUGCCAGGUUGAAGAAGACGGAGCACAGGUUGGGGGCUGGGUACACAGCUUUCGUGAGCAGAAGGUCUGAGGAUCCUUCGGUCGUGCAUAAUUAGCCGUGCUGGAUGUGGGCGUGGCUGCUACGUCAACGGCAUCAUAUGCCUUUGAUUAACUGAUGUGAUUCCAAGUGUAUGUACGCUCCAUUUUGUAGCACUUUAGAUGUAUAGUCACAACAGCUUAACUUAGCCAAAUUCAUUUAUGAUUAAGAUUCUUUUGAAACACCAUACAUUCUACAUUGUUGGAUUCUCCUUUGUUGAGUGUUUUUUUUUUGCGGGUGUUGUUGAGUGCUUGUUGAUGCCUUGAAAACAUGGAAGUUUGUACAAGGCGUGCAUUCAUGUACAAACCCGUUUUUGGGUUUUCUGCCAGCCUCAACCUGGGGCGCUCCUUACACGGGAGCGGCCCUGACUAAGUAUUUUAUGUACCACAAACGACAUGCUUUAAUAAUUUAUGAUAAUCUAGCUGCACUGGAUGACUGUAAUCUUGUUCUCCUUUGUAUCUUUCCUUUUUUUCGUCCCGCGUCGCUCUAUCCCCAGGGCGACACGGGCAGCAACCCAACCCCUCCUUCUCCCUUACCGUCGCUGGUGCCCCCCACCCCUCCCCCAUUAACGACAUAGCUAGGGUUGCAACAUGUUGGAUGGCAUGAAUGAAUAGAUGCAAUUCAACAUUGAUUACAUAAAUAAGAUUGUCAUCUCUCGACCCCCGUCUAAGUAUGUCAGAUGCCACGAUUACUUUGCAAUCGCCAUGUUCGACAACACCAUUGAUGCCACACAAAACCAUUGAUGCCGCCUGUGUCAACUACGUUCUCGACCAAUGGGAACUUGUUGGGUCGGAGCACAUGUCCCUUUUUCACUACGUCGAUGUUGUCCAACAUGACCAAUAGAACUCUGCGAUGACCGGUGAGGGGUAUGUAUUCGUUUAGCAUCCGCAUGAUUGGUAAUGUCCACGAUUUUGUACGUUAUGUUAGUACAAACGUUAUGCAACUACUUAUUCGAAACACACAUUUUGCUUGUCGUAAUAAACUAGACCCAUUGAGAAACCAGUCACCAGUGUUCGUAUAUCUCAAGAAACAUGCUCGGGUUAUUCUGUGGUACGGGUUCCUCAUACACUAAUGUUGGUUCAUACCCAUGGCACCAACGAAGAUGAAUUGGAGUUGCCAUAUCUAGAUCACAUUAUUCGCACUUAUGGAUCUAUGCAUUGCUUGGUCUUCGAGAUGAAUGAAAUGGCUAGAAAUCUCGUUGUAACACAGUGCCAACGAAGGUACAAUCUUGGGUUUAGUCUAUGUUCCCAGGUCUGAACAGUACAAUUAUGAUUUACGGAAAAGCAAGAGACAAUGACCACACGGUGUCGGUUUUGAUGAACAGUUGUGUUUUCAAUAGACAACAUGGUGUUCAUAGCUCGAACGGGCAUCCUAUGGUUGGCGUCAUGCUUAAGAGCAACUACAUGUGAUCACGGGAAAUACCAACCAGGUUCGUUCUAUCCCUCCAUAAUGUUGAGGACUAGAACACAAGUUUGGACGAUUAGCCCUCACCCAUUCUACUAAGUUCUAAAUAAAGUCACUUGUUUAUUCACUACAAAACCUUAACAAUGAUGAAGUUGAGUCAUUACCUUGUGGAAGAUGUUGUCCCCAUGUUGAUGUACUAACCUUCAAUGGUUGGUCUCGGCAACUAGGAACAAAAUCAACAAUGACUCCGCGGGAUUGCUAUUUAAGAAGUCCACUUAGUUGUAGGUGUUAAAACCAUAACUUGUAAUUGUUAUGCGGUACUGGUCUAUGUUAAGCACUAUGCUUGUUCAUGACUUUGACCUUGUAAUGGUUAUGCAGUAGUUGUCUAUGUUAUGUACUUCGCUGUUCACUUUAACGAAACAUAUUUGGAUUCCUUUGCUCCUUCUCGAAGCACCCGGCAAGGUGAUCAUCAUUACUCUACCUUCUUUUAUUUGUUGUUGAUUGUCAGUCUAUUCUUCUCAAUGAUGCCAUGCGAAGAGGGGUGUUCGAGGAUUUCAAACUUUGCAGACAAACUAUGGUGGUGCAUUGGCUAGCAUUAGAUAAAAUUUUCAAGCCUAAGGGGCAGGGAGACAUGGGGUUUCUUGACCUUCAUCCUUUUAACAAGGCUCUUCUGGCUAGACAUACUUGGCUUUAUUGGUGAACCCUGACUCUUUAUGUGCGCGAUUGAUGAAGGCAAAUGUUAUCGUCAUAGUCACCUCCUCGAUAUGGCUUUUGGGGUUGUGGACUUGCUCCCAAGCAUUAAGGCUACUUUGGUUCAUAGAUAUGCUAAUAGAGUUUCCCACAAUAUUAAAUCGGAUGGGAUUCUAUUAGAUGGUGUGUCGUCCUUUGUGACAAGCGGUGUUGAUUACGAUUGUAAGAAUAUUAUUAAUUAAUGUAAUGGUUGGUUUAAGAAAUAUACAUCACAAUAAUAUAGAGAGACUCAUGUACAACCUCACAUCGCUCCCGGGGGGAGGGGGUGGCUCGGUCAAACCCUAAUCGUUGUUGCCACACACACUCCUCCUUCCCAUCAAUAUCCCGUCGCCGCGGAGGUGGCCGGCACACAAAUCUCUGUCCAGCAGAUGGCGGGCCCUCGUCUCCUCGCUCCCAUGGGAGAUCUCCGGCAUGGAGCGCGGCUGCGGUUCUGGACGUCGGUCGCUCCCGAGGAGGAUCCUGAAUCCUAGCAGCGGCCUCAGGACGAUGGUGGUCAGGUUGUCGGUGGCUGCUAGGUCAGCCGGCGAUGGCCUGGCGAUGGUGUUGUGGUCACGACACCCUCGUUCUUCGGGGCGACGGGCCUAUUGACCUGGGUCGGCUGUGGCUCAUGACGGGGAGGUGGUGGCUACCGCGGCUGCUGUUUGUGUGGCCACAUGGUGGCCAGUAGUUAGUCAGGCGGAGAUCUGGCACGUCGACUACUACCGGCGGCGAGGAAGGGGAGGCGCGACUACCAGUGAAAACUUUCAGUCAUAAUGGAGGAUGGCGGCGUCUAAACAUUGUUACCCUGAUGAAUGCAUUGUCAUUGCAUGUUUUGUCUCCUUGCUUGGGCUACUCCGGGGGGAAACCCUAGAUCUGGGUCCCCAGGAUCAAGCGAUGGCGAUGUUGGCGCUAUUCUCCCUCCCGGGGGCAUCGUUUUGGAGCAGCUGCUGGAGGGGUCAGGAGAUGGAGCGGCAUCGUAUAUACCGCAUCGACAAUGACGGGUCUCAGCGGCAUGGUGUAGCGGAGUCUCUAUGGUGGAUGUGUCUUGAUGGAUGACCGUGGGGCGGUGGCGCUGUUUAGCAUCGUGGAGGCGUCGAUGGCUAGCCUAGUAAGGAUAAUGCGGAUCUCUACCCUGAAGAUGGGUCGACUAUUUGAUGAUGGUGGCAACUUUUAAAGUGUGUGCAUGUGGUGCAUGCUUAGGGUUUGCUAGACCGGAUGUGUGCUCCCAUAUGCCAUGUGACCCCGGUUCUAGAUGAUGAGGCGUUGUGAUGGCAUUCCCCAUUGUCGAGUUUGUAGGUGUGCAAGUGAUGGCUUCUGGUUGUUUGAUACAUGUUUUUGCCAAACAUUUGUUGAAUAAUUCAAUAAAAGAUGGAUAUGUGCAUUUUUUAUGUGGAGGCCUAGAGUUUUAACCUCCUUUUCUAAAAGGAAAUACAUAGAAGGAGCCAAUAAUUCAAAAUGGUGCCCAGCUCAUCUACAUCCUAUGAGUAGUAAAUUCAGGAAAAAAAUAGUAAAAUACAAAUAAAACUGAAAGUUCUAGGCAUUGAAGAUGCUCAUGUGCGCUAAGUGCGUGAUUUUUUUUACACGAACCUUGCACAUUUGAGCAUCUUCAAUGCGUAUUUUGUUUAUUUUUUAUUUUUUUACUAUUUUUCCAAAUUAAAUGUUUACCCCCGUGCAGAAUAGCCGCUCUCGUUUAGGAACCUCGGCCGUCUAGUCUUAAGGCAUCUACAAUCGGACCUCUCAAACCCGUCUCAUUCGCUUGGGCGGGCCACCCGGUCAAUGUUCGGUCACGAUUUUUUGACCCAGACGGGCCUCUCAAACGGCCCUCAAACGCCCCGGCUGGCCGGCACCCCCCAUAUCCAGACCAAAUAUGUGGCGGAUAUGGGGGCGCCCGGGCACGCCCGCCACGUCGGACCCGACAACCCGAUCCCACCCCAAAUUGCACCAAAUCCACCCCGAAGACCAGCCGGAUCCAUCUGCUAUCUUCUAUCUUCUUCCUCCUCCGCGCCGUCUGUCUCGCGCUCCGCCGCUACGCCCACUCUGCAGCCGUUCCCAGGCUCUCCGCCACCAUCUCCAGAAGAGCUCUCCCGUCCUCACCGCGGGGGAAGUCGUCGUUGGCCCUGACACCACCGUGGUACGUCCGGCAACUCUCCGGCUCCGCCUUGCGCUUGAUGUGUUCUACACAUUGUCUGACCGGAUUUUUUGUGAUUUUGUUAGGUAAAACGAUGGAUUCGGAUGCUUCGUCGGACAAGGAGUAUGGACCGAUGGAGCUUGACCAUAUGGUUCAAGAUGAGUUCUUCGAUUCGUCGGAUCGGACGAAGAAGUGGACAUGAUCAUGCUCAUGAGCAUGCAAGAGGAAAUGGACCGGAAAGUGGAGCAUAUUCUCAACUUCAAGGGCUCGAUCAAAGGGAGAAGAGUGAUCAACCGGGACAGGGUGUCCGGAGUAAAGCUACUCCACAAGGACUACUUUGCUCCCAAACCUGCUUUCCCGGAUGAUCCAUGGUUUCGUCGCCGUUUUCACAUGCGGAAACCAUUAAGGGGAGGCACACGACGACUACUUCAAGCUCAGAAGGGAUUGCUGCGGCCAGCUCUCUUUCUCGGCCAAGCAGAAGUGCACGGCUGCUCUGAGGAUGGUUGCACUUGAUACUACUGCAGAUGUCGUUGGUGAGAUGGCCAGGAUGGGGGAGAGCACGUGUUUGAAGACUACUGUCAAGUUUGCUCGCGCCAUGGUCGAGGUGUUUGGACCUGAGUAUCUCAGAGAACCAAAUGCACAGGACACGAAGAAGUUGUUGGCUAUUGAAGAGGCAAGGGGGUUUCCAGGAAUGCCCGGAUCAAUUGGUUGCAUGCAUUGGCAAUGGAGGAAUCGCCCCAAAGGUCUGCGGGGAAUGUAUCAAGGUCACACUAGAGAGGCCACCAUCAUACUAGAAAGCGGUGGCAUCACAUGACUUAUGGAUUUGGCAUGCUUUCUUUGGAAUGCCCGGUUCUGACAACGACAUCAACAUGCUUCAACGAUCUCCGGUGUUCAGGAGGCUUUGCAAUGAUGAAUCACCGUCGUGCAACUACACCGUCAACGGCCAAGACUACAACAUGGGGUACUAUCUUGUGAUGGUAUCGAUCCUCUGUGGGCGGCGUUUGUGAAGAUCAUAUUUGAGCCGCGUGGCAAUAAACAGAGCCACUUUGCAACAAUGCAGGAAGCGGCUAGGAAGGACUAGGAGAGGGCAUUUGGUGUCCUUCAGGCUCGUUGGGGAAUUGUGCGGAGCGCUGCAAUGAUGUGGGAAUCAGAAACUUUGUGGCAGCUAAUUACAUGUUGUGUUAUUCUGUAGAAUAUAAUUGUCGAGGAUGAGGGUGAUGGUGUACCCCAACCCCAUGAUUCCGAAGUACCCGUAGAACAAGUUAAAAUCCCGGAAGAUCAAGAUGUGGCUCAGCUUAUGAACUUUCUGCAUAGGCAUCAAAAUUUUCGAGAUCAAUAGGUGCACACGCGGCUACUCAAUGAUCUUGUGGAGCACAUGUAAAUUCACAAUGGCAACCAAGGAGGCAAUGCUUGAAUUUGGCAUUUAAAAUAAAUUUUAUGUAAACGCUAUCUAUGCUUGAUAACAACAAUUGCUAUUUACGUGCGACAUUGUGUCGCAUGUCGACGUGCAUGUAUUUGUAUGGAUUUGAGAGUCCGAAUUUGGGAUAUGUGGAUGCCUGAAAGGAAAUAUGAGGGCCUGUCCGGACGCGACCGGGGCAUGCCCGGUCGCGGGCGCAUGCGUUUCAGGGGCCGGAUUUGCCAAGUCCGGCUGUAGAUGCUCUAUGCAAUGUUUUCCAUAACAUUUUUGCUCACAUAAGUAUUGCGCAACUAACUCCUAUGUCAUUGAUUUUACGCGAAGAUUUGUGUGAAUUUUUUUAAAUGCUUGAUUGAGUCAUUUAGAUGUGCAAUAACUAUGAUACAUCUAAAAGUACGUAGACAGACCCUUAUGCGGUGUCAAGACCCGGUCGAGUUACGUUUUUGCACAUAUACGUGAAUUGACCCGGGACCGCGAUCCAAAUACGUUUCUUUCUUCCAUGUCACCGCGUAGAGAAUUUCAUGGACGUCAAACAGAGCAGGCACGCACGGUCCAUGGUAAAGUUGGAUUGGCAAGUGAAGACGUGGUCCGGGCGAAACGAAGGGCUCUAGUUGUCGUGUCUCGAGGCUCAACCAGUAAUAAAGUACAGUAGUUGUCAACUCGAGGCUCCACCUUGUUUCCGUGCGGGAAGGGAAGGAGCUUUGAACCGGUCCAAAUGGCGCGAGCUUCCUCACGUUGGCGACGACCAGCUCCUGUACUGCACCCGAGGAACCAAAUGGUAUAUAAAUACGCCGGCGCUCGUCAGUUUAUAGCACCUCAACUCCAAACGCGAGCUGCCUGAGAACAAAGACGAAGGAAAGAAAGACUUUCAUUCGGAAGGGCAGAGCAGCGGACCGCCGACCGGCCGUGGGAGAGGUUGGCUUCCCAGCAAGAACGAGAGAGCAAUACAAUGGCGCGCGGUCUUCUGGAGGUGCAUCUGGUCCACGCCAAGGGCCUCUCCGGCACCGAUUUCCUCGGUGAGCAUGCGUGUUCCACUGCAUAAGCCAAUGUUCUUGGCUUCGAUUUGCUCCGUUCUGUGUUCGGCUGUGGACGGAGAUUGAAUUUUGUGCUUGCCAUGUACGUGCAGGGAAGGUCGACCCGUAUGUGGUGGUGCAGUACCGGAGCCAGGAGCGCAAGAGCACCACCGCCCGAGGUCAGUCCCUGCUUCCAUUCCACACAGCUCUGUUUCUCUUGGUUCCUCGUCUGAGUCGUCUCGACCCCGGUCCACAAAAUAUAAUUUUGCUCAACGAAACAGUCGUGUUCUGUAAUGCAGAUGCGGGGAGGAACCCGAGCUGGAAUGAGGUCUUCAGAUUCCAGAUCAACUCCUCCGCGGCCAAUGUGCAAGAAAAGCUCUUCUUGCGGAUCAUGGACCGCGACAACCUCUCCAGGGACGACUUCCUCGGCCAAGCAACGUGAGUAAACUCUUACUUACUCCCAGCUGCGAAGCAUCAGCAUUUCAGUAGCCAAUUGGAAUGGUAAAUUGAAGACGAAAGCAAGAUCUGAAUCCAAUUACUGAAUAUACCUCUGUGGUGCAGGAUCAAUGUGACCGACCUGAUCAGCAUGGGCAUGGAGAGCGGCACCUCGCGGCUGAACCCGGCCAAGUACAGGGUGGUCACCGCCGACAACUCGUACCACGGCGAGAUCAAGAUCGGCAUCACCUUCACCGCUGCAAAGGUAAAGACAGGCGCGCAUUUUUCUGAUUUUGUACAUGGCUGGCCAGCCUCUGUCGAUCUCUUGUGGACUAGUGUGAGUUCUGAUUGGGUGUUGAUGCCCAUUGCCAGGUUGAAGAAGACGGAGCACAGGUUGGAGGCUGGGUGCAGAGCUUUCGUGGGCUGAAGGUCUGAGGGUCCGGUCGGGGUCCUUCGGUCGUGCAUAACUAGUGGUGAUGGAUGUGGCAUGCUGCGUGGCUACUAUGCCAACCGCAUCACAUGCCUAUGAUUGAAUGAUGUGAAUGCAAAAGUGUAUAUAUGCUGCAUUUUGUAGCUCUUUAGAUGUAUAGUCAGAGCAGCUUAACUUAUUCAAAUUCAUUUAUGAUUAAGAUUCUUUUGAAACACCAUACAUUCUACAUUGUUGGAUUCUCCAUUGUUGAAUGCUUGUUGAUGCUUUGAUAACUUGGUAGUUUGUACAAGGGGUGCGUUCAUUUACGAAGUUUUCCUGACAGCUUCAACAUGGGGCACUCCUUACAUGGGAGCGGCCUUGACCAAGUGUUUUAUGUACCACAAACGACAUGCUUUGAUAAUUUAUAAUAAUCUAGCUGCAUUGGAGGACUGUAAUUCUGUUCACCCUUGUACGUUUCUUUUUUCGUCCCGCGGCACUCCGUUCCCAGGGAGACACGGGCGGCGACCCCAAGCUGCCAAGGCGGCCGGCCCCUCCAACCCCUCCUUCCCCCUCACCAUCGCCGGUGCCUCCCCAUUAACGACAUAAGGUUGCAACAUGUUGGAUGGCUUGAAUAGAUGCAAAUCGACGUUGAUUAGAUACAUAUAUAAGAUUAUCAUCUCUCAACCCCCGUCUAUGUAUGCCGGAUACAACAAUUACUUUGUAAUCACCAUGUUCGACAAAAUCAAUGAUUCUGUUUGUGUCAGCUAUGUCUUCAACCAAAGAAAACUACUUGGGUCGGAGCACAUGUCCCUUUUCCACUACGCAGAUGUUGUCCAACAUGACCAACAGAACUUUGCUAUGACUGGGGAGGGGUAUGUAUUCGUUUAGCAUCCGCAUGACUAUGGUAAUGUCUACGAUUGUUUACGUUAGGUUGGUAAAACUGCUAUGCGAUUACUUAUUUGAAACACACAUUUUCCUUGUCGGUAUAAACUAGACCUAUCGAGAAACCAAUCACCAAUCUUCGUAUAUCUCAAGAAAGAUGCUCAAGUCAUUCUGUGGUGCGGGUUCCUCAUGCACUGAUACUGGUUCAUACCCAUGGCACCAAUGAGGAUGAGUUGCCAUAUCUGGGUCAAGUAGCACUUUUGGAUCUAUGCACAUGCGCCUCUCCCAUAUUAGUUCGGUUUCAGCUUCACUCUCUGGCUGCUUGCUAUAUGCUAGCGUUGCAUCAUGUGCAUCGAUUCCAUUGCCUGCGCGUACCGCAGCACCAAAAGAGUGAAGUGACCAUCGAGAUCAAUGUACAGUACUAGCUUGCACAAACUCGUUACGGUAGCGAGAUGGCUGGACCGGCCUAGGCCUCUGUCUCGCUGUCUCGCAGUGAGAGAUGGCAGCAUGCAAUGCACGCCGGCAGCGGCAGCGGCACGCAUUUGGGUAGGGGACGUCCAUUUUGGUGUAAACUGUACGUCGGACGUGGCAGCACCCAUCUUAUAUCAUCUACUGCAAUAUGAAAACUACUGCACACCUCUGCCCUGCGCCAAUAUUAGCUGCACGCGUGAGUCGAGUCCGGUCAUGUUCAAGUCCGGUCGUUUUGCGUAUAUAUUUCUCGUGCUAUUUUUUUGGGUAAAAGCAUUAAUUGGAACAUUUGGGCACCAUUAGAAGAGGUCUGGGGUAACCAAAAACUAACGAGUUUGGUAACUCGAUCCUUAAGAAGAAGAACACGAGUACACGACGCACAUUUUUCAUCAAACUAAUCUCGGAGAAUAAAGAAGAAGAACACAAGCCACAAACACAUCACGGCAAGCUGCAGUUUUAAUUUAGCCCAGAAUCAAACUAAGCUCCAUGCAUGCAUAUGAUAACUAGCUCUAAAGAGUACAAACUCGAUCUCAUUCUCAUCUCGAUCCCACCAUAUGCAUCAUGCAUCGAUCUAGCAUUAUAUUCCAACACAUCAGCAUGUACACCAAUUAACCCUAAUUAGUGCCACAUUGGUCAAUCAUUAGCUAGUAGCUUAGACUGGAGUGCUGGACGACAUAGCAUAGUACUGGACAAGCUUCGCUAGGCAUGGAUGGAUGGAUAUGUAGGAAUCAAAGGGCUACCACACGGCGGCGACGAGUGCGGCGAUGCCUACAAAGAAGAAGAUGAACAGGGGCACGAAGAGCAGGACGUUGUGGGCGAUGAACAUGCCCGUCUCCACGUACAUGUGGCCGGGGCAGCCGCUGAAGGCGACGGCGGCCGCAGCAGUGAAGGCGUCCUCGAGGUGGAAGUAGGUGAAGACGCUGACGACGUGCGUGAAGGCGGCGAAGGUCCAGCCGACGUGCAGCCGCCCCCAUCUCCAGGCGUCCGGCGCGAAGGCGGCCACCGUGGCCGCCGCUGCCUGGGCGCCGGCGGGGAGCAGCAACUGCAGCCCCUUCGCGCGCAUGGUCGCCGCGUCCACCUCGGUGGCCGCGCACUGGCCUCCCUGCGGCUUCAGCUGGGGUUGGAGGGUGACGGCGCAGCGGGCGAAAGUCGCCGCCGCCCAGCCGAGGGCGAGGUGCACCUUCGCCACCGCUCGGAUGGCUCCCAUCGCCGCCCUGGCACCAUCUCCGCCUGCAGCUGCUGCUUCACCGCCGCCGGCAGCAGCACCACCUCCACCAGCAUCCAUCGCCGGCGCCGCACUUCGGGCUGUGCGUGUGGAGUGUGGUUUGUGGUUUGUGGAUUGUAGUGUGGCCUGUGUGAGUGCGCGCGCGGAGUGUGGCCUGUGUCACUGUGUGUGCCGAACGUGCAGCCACGGGAAAUUCAGAGAGGAGUUAUUGGUGGGGAGAGGAGAGACAAGUAGGUUAGGUUUGUAGCUUCAAUCCGUGAUAGCCAGUUUGCAAGAUGAGCAAUUGAGGCAUUGCAGCUGGCGUGAACGACGGUAGGGUGGGGAAACUCUUUCGUUUCUAGUUUCUCUUUUGUCUCUAUGUGGCUUGACGACUAAGCGAAGUUAAUUGCUAGCAUGUACGUUUUCAUGCAUGGUCGUGAGGAUAAGAUUCACACAAGGAGUUUGCAUACCAUGCACGGUCAAUGAUCUGCGAAAUCUUGCAUGUGGGUCCCUCCACUCACAUGAAUUGAAACAUCCGACGCCAUCACGCGAGCGCUGCGCGCGGCCAUGUAGAGCGUGUGCUGCUCUUAGACGGAGUUUGGGUUCUCCGCGGCCAUGCCCGGCACGACCUUCUUAUUGGCAAACUCGUCGUAGAUUUGGCCCUCCGUCAGAGGGCGAGGUUGUAGCACUACUCCUCUUGCGCCAGCUAGAACGUCGACACUGGCUUCUCGUCCAUCAUGACGGCGUCGAGGUGUGCCUCUGUCUACUCCAUGGUGAGGCCAGCAUGGAUCGGCAUAGGCAAGGGCACCGGAUCUUCGUCAGAGGCUUCCUCCAUCGUCGGAUAGUUGUCGCUCACCUCCGGCGAGCUUACCGGCAAGCCUGCUUGUAUCGUCCGUGCACGACGGCCCUACCAACGGGCCACAAGGCCAACCACCUCAUGCUUCAUCUCCAUCGAGAGGCUCUUCCACAUCGCACUCGAGCUCGUGGUCAUGCCGGAGGUGGUGCACAAAGAAGGAUUGGAAGCAGACGUGUUGUGGUGCGGAUGGUGUCGGGCGAGGCCAUGUUUAAAUAGCAGGUGCUAGCCAUGCGAAGCGGCGGGUUGUCUCAAUGCGGGCGCCGAAGUGGGUUUCCAAGAUAUAAUUUACUUCAACCUUUGCGAGCUUAAAAUCAUGUACUAAGCAUGAAUUCUAAGUGUGUAUCCAAAACCAUGAAACCUGUUUCUUCCAUAAGUGCCCCCAUACCUACCUAUGGGUCGAGAAAAACCUUGCAAGUAAGUUGUCAUCGGUACGGGCAUCAAAGUUAUCAUUUAAUUAAGCGUGAUUUUUAUUGGAACAAAAUUGAACCUUUAUACAAACUUGUGAUAGGGGCAUAAAAUCAUAAUGAUAACACAAAUGGUCACCAUCUCAAGGGGCAAUGUAAAGCAAUGUAAAGUAAAGUUCCUUUCCAGUAUACUCUUAUGNNNNNNNNNNNNNNNNNNNNNNNNNNNNNNNNNNNNNNNNNNNNNNNNNNNNNNNNNNNNNNNNNNNNNNNNNNNNNNNNNNNNNNNNNNNNNNNNNNNNNNNNNNNNNNNNNNNNNNNNNNNNNNNNNNNNNNNNNNNNNNNNNNNNNNNNNNNNNNNNNNNNNNNNNNNNNNNNNNNNNNNNNNNNNNNNNNNNNNNNNNNNNNNNNNNNNNNNNNNNNNNNNNNNNNNNNNNNNNNNNNNNNNNNNNNNNNNNNNNCUGAUACAAGGCAACAAGACCAAAGACAUCAACAAAAGGAGUACAUAACAAGCACAAUUAUGGUAGACCCAUUACAAUACAUGAGUUUAACACCCACGAGCAAGUCAACUUUUUCUGCAACAACACCUACAAGAAGGAUACAUGCCCUCAGGCCAUCGUUUCCCUGUCUAGCCGGAGACGGUAAGCACAAGGAUUUUCAUUCUGGUUACUGAGACCGACCAAUAAAGGCCAAUAUAUUAGCAAGGAGACAACGCCUUCAACAAGACAACGAUGGAAGCAGACCUGUUGUAAAGUAGACUGAACCAAAUCAAAUUUUGAGGUUAUAAAGUAAAACUGGUACAAGUUCAGGCCGGUAAAGUAGGCUUCUUGUCGCUUUUGUUUCGCGCACGUUUGAAUUUUUUUCCCCUGUGUUUCUUGUGUUUCAUGAACAAAACAACCCUUUUCAUCCUCUCUUAGGCGCUUGUAUAAGACCAGCCAAGGUUAGCCGAGGUCAGAGGCCAACGACACCUCUUAAAUACGUGAGAGAAUUCCUUAUUUGACACGGUGUUAAAUCUUGUUUCUCUAUUUGACACCGAAAAAUAUUUUCUUCCCUAUAUAACACUGAGUCUAAAUUUUAUGCCCUUUAUAACACUUUCGUCUAUUUUAAGCCUUAAAUGUGUUAAUUGACACAUGAAAAGACCUUUUUACCCCUGAUGUGGUAUGUGAUAAAAAAAUAUCAUAGAUGCUAGUAAUAAUGCGUGGCCGGCUUGGUUUGUUGUAUGCGGCUAAGUAUAGCGGACUAGCUGCAUGUGUGAUGUCCAGCUGGUUCGGUUCAUAGCUGCGUGGGCGCGUUCUGUGCAGCGGGGAGUGUGAGCGGCCGCCGUCCUUCUUCGUGACCCCGGACUCAUGUGUACUUCGUUGGUUAAUCAGCUAGAGAUCCCCGCAAAAAAAUAAAAAUCAGCUAGAGAUUACUCAUGCGUGUGCCUGGCAUGGCAUCGGCCAGUAUCAAUAAACACGGACUACAUACUACUGUACAGUGUACGUAUUUACGAAGAGAAGAGCGGUUACACCAUACACAAGAGCUAACUUAAGCACUCGAUUGAUUUUCUUUGGAAGUUGGCUCCCGCAGCUAGGAACCGAACCAGCUGGACAGCACACACGCAGCUAGUAGUUCGCUAUACUUAGCCGCAUACAACAAACCAAGCCGGCCGGACAUUAUUAGCACGUAGUGCUAGCGUCUAUGAAUUUUUUUAUCACAUACCACAUCAGGGAUAAAAAGGUCUUUACAUAUGUCAAUUAACACCUUUAAGCCUUAAAAUAGACGAAAGUGUUAUAAAAGGCAUAAAAUUUAGACUCGUUGUUAUAUAAGGGAAAAAAAUAUUUUUUGGUGUCAAAUAGGGAAAUAAAAUUGAACACAGUGUUAAAUAAGGAAUUCUUUCUAAAUACGUAUGUGGUGUCGAGACCAAGUCGUGCUACGUUGCUAUGGAUCUAUCAACGCCAAUUCAUGCGAGACCACGGUCCAACUCCAAGUACGUGACCCUAAAAAAAAACUCCAAGUACGUUUCUCCUUCCAUCUCACCGCGUGGAAAUCUUCAUAGGCGUCAGCGGAGGCCGUAGCAACACUCGGUUUCUCGCAGAGAAGCGGUCGACGUCAGUGAUGGCAAGUGAAGGGGGGUCUUGAACCGGUCCAAAAACCGGCUAGACUGUUGCGUGCUUCCUCACGUUGGCGACGACCAGCUCCGGAGUUUUGAAUGGACCCGUAAAGCGGCAGCCGCCACCCAUCCGAGGAACCAAGUUGUAGUAUAUAAAUACGCCGGCGCGCCUCAGUUACGGCACCUCAAUUCCGAACGCCAGCCGCAGGAGAACAAGAGCGACAGGCCUAGUCCCAGACGAAAGAGAGCAAUACAGUCAGAAAGGGCAGAGAGAGCAGCCGGCCGGCCGUGUUCGCGGGAGAGGGAGAAGAGAUAUUGGUUAGCUUUGCAGCGAGAUUGACAGAGCAAUGUCGCGCGGUCUUCUGGAGGUGCAUCUGGUCGACGCCAAGGGCCUCUCCGGCACCGAUUUCCUCGGUGAGUGCUCCACCGGAGUUUGCAGAAGAGCAGCCACCACCACACGUGUUCUUGGUCUGGCUUCGAUUUGCUCUCUUCUAGUGUCUGGCUUGGAUUCAUCUAAUUUUACCUCCAUCUAUACGCGCAGGGAAGAUAGACCCGUAUGUGGUGGUGCAGUACCGGAGCCAGGAGCGCAAGAGCAGCACCGCCCGAGGUCAGUGCCUUCUUCCACAAUCACAACCCGGCUCCACCCUUGACUUUCACCAUGUCUACCAGCAAUCCAUACUAUGACUAUGACGAUUUCCUAAAUGAACCAGCGUUGGCCUGUAAUGCAGAUGCCGGGAGGAACCCGAGCUGGAACGAGGUGUUGAGGUUUCAGAUCAACUCCUCCGCUGCCAACGGGCAAGAUAAGCUCGUCUUCCGGAUCAUGGACCACGACACCUUCUCCCGCGACGAUUUCCUCGGCCAAGCAACGUGAGUAAACUCCUACUCCUAGUCCUAGCUGCCAAGCAUCACCAUCAGCAUCAGCACAUAACUAAAAUGGCAGAUUAGAUAAAAAGGAAAGGUCUAAAUCCAAUUACUCAAUAGUAUAUCUCUGUGAUGCAGGAUCAAUGUGACUGAUCUGAUCAGCAUAGGCAUGGAGAGCGGCACCUCGCGGCUGAACCCGGCCAAGUACAGGGUGGUCACCGCCGACAACUCGUACCACGGCGAGAUCAAAGUCGGCAUCACCUUCACGGCCGCAAAGGUUGAUGCCCAUUCCCAGGUUGAAGAAGACGGAGCACAGUUUGGAGGCUGGAGGCACAGCUUUCGUGAGCAGAAGGUCUGAGGGUCCUUCGGUCGUGCAUAAUUAGUGGUGUUGGAUGUGGCCUAUGACUGAAUGAUGUGGCUCCAAGUGUGUAUGCUGUAUUUUGUAGCACUUUAAUCAGAACAGCUUAAGAUCACCAAAUUCGUUUACGAUUAAGAUUCUUUUGAAACAACACAUACAUACUCCGUGUCGAAUUCUCCAUUGUUGAAUGCUUGUUGACACCAGUAUAUACAUACGGUGUACGGCCAUCUGGCAAGAACAAGAUGCUACGGAGUCCAGUUCUUCGGCACCAGUAACAAAUUUCCCCAGGAACUCAAACAAUUUCAGGUGCCUCUACAGCAUAUGCACACUGCCGCUCCAGAUAGAGAUAUCAUACACAUACACAUACACAUCAAAUUCACAGUGACAUCGAGUGAUAGCUAGAGGAUCACCAUUACCCAUCGGCGGUACAUCCGACGGAACUCCGGCGGGCGAUCAACUCCUCCAUGAGCUGCCCUACAUCGUCGUACGACGACCCGCCCUUCUCCACCGCGCCCCUCGGCAUCACCCCGAGCUCCUUGGCCUUCUUCCGCAUGGCGGCGCCGUCGCCCUCCUCCCCCAUCACUCUCCGGAUGGAUUCCGCGAUCGCCUCGCCAGCGAUCACCCGGUGGGUCUCCAGGCACGACGCGUAGUCUUCGGCGCCGACGCCCACACCCACGCCGAGCACCUCAACCACGAGUUUCUCGUUGUAGAACUGGUCGGCGUACCGCGGCCACGUCACCAUCGGCACGCCGGCGCUCACGGCCUCCAGCGUCGAGUUCCACCCGCAGUGCGUCACGAACCCGCCGACGGCAGGGUGGUUCAGGAUGAGCACCUGCGGCGCCCAUCCUCGGACGAUGUACCCACGGUUUGCCGUUGGGAACCCGUCUGGCGUAGACGGGUCAGAAGAUGCGGCGGUGGAGCCCUUGGCAAUGACCCACACGAAGUUCUUGCCGGAGAGGUCGAGGCCGCGGGCGAGCUCCCGCAUCUGCUCUGGCGAAAAGUUGGUCAUCGUGCCGAAGGAGACGUACACCACCGAGCUGGCCAGUUUGGCGUCGAGCCACCGCAGGCACACGGCGGCGUCCGGCGAGAGCGCGCCGGCGACGGCGCCUCUUGACGCCACAUCCUCGAGGCUGCCGCUUGCGAGCGCCACCGGCCCGACAAGCCACGCGCGGCGGCGGAGCUGCGUGGCACGAUAAUGCUCGGCGUAGCCCGGCUCCAGCACGCGGAAGCUAUUGAAGAGCUCGCCGUAGCUCGACCGGUCCGCGGCGUGGAUGAGCUGGAACAUAGCCCACUCAUGUGGCCGCUUUGCAGGGUCCAUCAUCUGGCUCCGCCGCUGCUCGACACGGUGCGGCAGCCCCGGCAGGGAUACGACGGCACCGUGGUCGUCAGAGCACGACUCAAACACGUUGCUCCGGAGCACGGUGUCGGUGCAGGCACGGGCGAACAUGCUGGUGGCGAGGAACGCGAUGCGCGGGAGGCCGUGCUCGGCGGUGGCGUGAGCGGACCAGUGGAAGAGGCUGUCGGAGACCACGGCGUCGAUGUCGGCGUGGUGGUCGGACAGGAACCGGCAGAAGGGCUCCCGGAGCAGCUCCACCGUCUGGAGGAACCUGUCGUGGUAGUCCCUGGAGGUAGCAAGGUCCCUCCCGCUCUGUGCGGCCAUCGGGAGCCCAACGUCGGGGAAAGGCACGACGGAGAUGGACAUCGGGGUGCCGGCGGCGCUGCUGCCGUUCGCGCGAUCGACGACGGAGCGGAUGGUGGAGGCUUGGACGGGCGUGGUGAGGACGGUGCACCUGACGCCGCGAGCGGCGAAGAGCGCGGCCAUGUCGGCCAUCGGGAUAAGGUGGCCAGGAAGGAGGAAAGGGAAGAAGAGGAUGUGCAGCGGCGGCUCGGCGUCCUUAGUUGGCGCCAUGGCUGCCAUCCAAGCAGGUCGCGCAGGUGAGCCGUUCCUGUGGCUAAUGAGAUCGGAUCGGAUGCUCGCGAGUUGUGAUCACCACGCAGACGAUUACUUUCCGCUGCGGCGGCGACUUUGACAUUGCACAAAUGGAUACCCACCGCGUGGGAAUUACAGUAUAACGGUACCCGACCGAUGAUGAUGUGCGUCAGACUCGAAUCAAUGAGUCUUUUUUAGUGCUAUAAAAUCAGUUAGUCGACAGCUGUCCUAGUGUACGACUCAGGAGUGCAGAAUACCACGAUGAAAUGCCGUGAGGCCCCGCUUGGUACGCCGUUUUGGCGCCCAAAACACUUGUAAAAUAUCGCGAGAGCUAUGUCUCGCGAAAUCGAGCACCCUUUGCAAAAAUCAUUUGCGCCACUUGUCAUAAUUUGAAAGUUUUUUUAAUCUUUUUAUUCAAAAUGUUUUAUCUCUUAAACCGUGUGUUCAAAUCUUGAACCGUUUUUACCGUUAAUUCCUCACGCCGAGAUAUUUAAAACUAGAUCUCAUAUUGAUAGGUUUGAUGAACCCUUUUUGAUUUCAAAACCGGAUGAAAAAAUUGUGCCUCUCGUAGAAGCAAAACCAUGCCUCACGAGAAAUAAAUGUGUGCCUCUCGCAGAAAAAAAAAGAUAACGCGUUUUUCUUCGUUUCCGAUAGACACGAUUGUGCCUCUCGCGAAAGCAAAUCCGUGCCUCUCGCGGAAGGAAAAAGAAAAAAGAAAACGUGUUUUCUUUCCAUUUCCGAGAGGCACGACUUGCCUCUCGCGGAAGGAUUUUGUUUGCGAAGGCACGACUGUGCCUCUCGUUGAAGGAAAACAAAAGAAAACGUGUUUUUUUUCAUUUGCGACGACAGGAUUGUGCCUCUCGCGGAAACAAAUCAGUGCUUCUCACGGAAGGAAAAACGCGUUUUUUCCGUUUUUGAGAGGCACGACUCGUGGAAGCAACAUGCCUCUCGCGGCAGAAAAAAAAAAGAAAAUGUGUCUUUUCACGAUUUUUUUUUGAUCUUUUCAGUUCCAAAACUUAAGAACGGCCAGGGGAAAACCAAAAGACAGAAAAAACGAUCUAAAAAUCCCAAACCACGUGUGAAAAAAUAAAAAUAAGAAUCGCAGGGAGCGCCCAAAACGUGACAUGUGGCAGAGGCAGAGCGCUGCCAAGUGGUGCGCUCUAAGCCCACCUAAGGUGACCCUUGCGGGGGCUCCCGAAGAAGUACUCCUUUGUUAGUUGCUUCCUAUGUCUCGCUUAUAGCGACACGAUGAUGAGUCCAAAUUAUGAGGUCUUUUUCACCGUUAUUUCUGUGCCUACUAGUUAGGCUUUGUGGAAUUUUACCGCGUUCACACACUUCUCUUUGUCAAUAAUCCCUCAGGUUGUGGCUUAUGGAGCAAUAUUAAUUUAUUGGAGAAAUCCCUAAAAGUGGCAGUGGAAUCACGUAUUAAAGGUGGUAAGCACUUUCCAUAAAAGAAUCAAGCAAGAGGACCGAAGACACCAUCGUCGCCGCGUUUCCAGAGCGAACGACAACAUUCCAUGCGACCACAAGCGCUCGCAUGAGUGGUCCUUUGGCACGAUGCCGCCUCUAGGGGAUCAGCUAUUUUCACCCCGUCGAAGCAGAUCGGGGAUGAGACGUUCAGAGCCUCCAGAAACUCAUCCCGAAGGCAGAACCCUAGCCACCGGAGCCCAUCCGGUAAAGGGAUCAACAAGGAGAAGGAGGGGAUUCUUCUCAUCUUGAGGGGAACGCAGUCAACAUCAUCAUCUUCAUCAUCACCGUCUUCCACCUCCUCCUCCUCAUCCACAUCCUUAUCAUCUGUAACACAAAGAACCCUAGUGGAUCCUAUAGUGUAUCUGUUGAUCUAUUCAUCCUUGUAUUCAUUUACCAUUUCCGUGAUGAUUGUUGUUCCCAUGUGUGAGUAGAUCUUUUGUUCCCGGGGUAUGGACGAACCCUAGUGUGUAAUCGGAUGUUUGAUAUUAGGAUUUAAUAUCCUCUUUGAAUGUUUAUGUUGAUAAUCUUCUUGACGUUCAGUGAAGUCGACCAUCCAACGUAUGUUGAAUCUGGACGGAAGGUUAUUACUGUUGGCUAACUAUGUGGUUGUGGAGUUGGGUGACGUGACAAGACCACUUUGGAUAGCGGAUAGUUGCAACAGGGGGUAUUAAUGGAGACAAGUUUGGCUGCAUCCACGGGGACCUUUUUCCCCUUAAUCACCAUUUGAUAACCGGAGUGGGGAAGAACGGUGGUGGCGUAUGGGAUACGGAGAUAGCAUGAGUAUAAAGUAUAUGUACCGGCUCUGCCCACAAAUAGAAACAUGUAAAGUGGCUUAGGAAUACAAAAUAGCUUUGUGUUUAGGCACAGUCGUAGAUGCACACUACUGGGGUAUUCGGAUCCCUGGGAACUCUUUUAAUCAUUAUGUCAAGUUAAGUCAUUUUACUUGUUAUUUAUUCUAGCUUAUUUACUCACCUUUACACUUGCAACUUUAUUAUUAUUCCUGUUCUGGAUCACUUACAAUUUAUAGGGACAUCAUUUGUACCUCGCAAAGGGCCAAAGACUAAUUCUUGUGCUCCAUGUGGGGUCGAUACUCUUACUUUGAAAAGGCUAUAACUAAACCAUGUGCACUCAGGCUAUCAAGCUUUUUCUGGUGCCGUUGCCGGGGAGUUGAGCGCUUUUCGUCUUAGUUCUGAGUUUGGUUUGAAUCUUUUGUACUAAGUUGUUUGCAGGUCUGGAACAAUCAUGAUUGAGUAUGGACACAACUAUCAUCAUGCAGCCUUGCGGCUUACAUGUCCACCUAUUCGAGAAAUGUUCACAUUGUUGGGUCCUAAUGCCACCGGUGUAGCUUAUGAGGUGAACCCAAGUGUCCUCGAAUUAUUGCAUGGUAAACAAUUUAAAGGUGAGGAAGGUGAGGAUCCUUACCAACAUUUGCAAUUUUUUGAAGAUGUACGUGGGACAUUUAAAUUGAAUGCCUUAAGUCCAGAUGAUAUGAAACUGAAAUUAUUUCCUCACACUUUGGCUAAAAAGACAAGGAAUUGGUUAGUGUCUCACCCUACAGGAACCUUUGAUACAUGGAGCAAAUUAGCAGGAAUUUUUCUAUCAUAUUUUUAUACAGAGAAGAAAUCGUAUGAAGCAAGGAGGAGUGUCGGUGUCAACACCGGCAGACCUCGGGGUAGGGGGUCCUGAGCUGUGGAUCUAGGAUCAAUGGGAAACAACGGACGACGAACACAAUGUUUACCUAGGUUAGGGCCCUCUCUAAGAGGUAAUACCAUACGUCCUACUUGAUUAUAUUGGAUGUGUAAUAUGGUUUACAGAGUAGAUCUACCUCGAGAUCAGCAUGAGAUAAACCCUAAGGUGGUGAUGUGAUGAAUGUAGCUCCAGCCCUAAAGACUACAACCCCCGGUUUAUAUAGACACCGAUAGGGUUAGGGUUACCGGAGAUAGAUUACAACAAGGGAUAAAAAGAUCCUGCCUAUCCUUAACUUGGAGGACACACCACGGCUUCAUAGAUCUUCCGUCGCUAUGCGGCUUCACUAGUCCGGCCCAUAUUCAAUGGGCCGGUGCCCCGAGGACCCCUUAGUCCAUAACUCCGUCAGUAGCCCCCGAACUUGCCUCCAACGCCAAGGGUUGUAUCCAGCAUCCGCCUACCCAACAGUAUCCGGCUUGCGAGGUGAGUUCUUCAAUGCGUUUUGUUUGUAUUCAGAGCCAAGUGAUGUCCGGAAUCUGAAACAGCAGUUUUUCUUAGCCCCAAAGGCAAAAAGUCGUUCAAGUGUAAACAGUGCCUUUAUCUGACAACUUUUUCUCCUUCAACGAAGAGUCGCGUCCAGUCAUAACACCGAGCGGUUAGUAUUUCUCGAAGCGCGGCUCGAGGCCGACCCACGCCCGUCACGUCUCAUCAAGGUGGAGAUCGUGCCCCGCCUUUCGGGGCAUAUGAUAAAUGAUUUCGUUUCCCACCCCGCACAUAACGUUGCGGGAGUAUCGGGAAGUGGAGAGGCCAACGACGUGGAAAAAGGAACCCUCGGCGUGUCAACAGCCUAUAAAGGGGGGAGUUACAAUAGUAAUAAUCCCACGCCUUCUUCAACCUUCUGCACCCACAGAUCCUCAGAGUUCAAGUGCCCCCUUCCUCUGUUCUCACAGCGAAUCCCACCCCCCUUUUCUUCAACCAUGGCUGGAUCUGGCGCGAACAGGAAGUGGGAGGCCUCCAUCGUCACCGACGGCAACAUCUUGAAGCUAAAAGAGGCCGGCUAUUUGUCGGCCGACAUUGCCCAUCGGGCCCCCGAAAAGGGCCAGAUCAUCCGCCGAAGCCGGGCGAAAGGGUCGUGUUCCUCCCCCAUUUCCUCGGAGGGCUCGGAUUUCCCCUGCACCCCUUCGUGAGGGGGUUGAUGUUCUUCUAUGGGCUAGAUUUUCAUGAUCUAGCCCCCAACUCCCUCCUUCACAUCUCAUCCUUCAUUAUCUUCUGCGAGGCCUUCCUCCGAGUCUGGCCACAUUUCGGCCUGUGGCCGAAGGUGUUCAACGUCAAGCCCAACGUGGUUGGCGGCGAGCACGCGGACUAUGGCGGGGCCAUGAUCAACAAGCUGACAAGGGUACAGUGGCCGGAGGGCCAAUUUGUUGAUACCGUGAGAAUGUGGCAAAAGGAAUGGUUCUACAUCACCGAACCAAGGGAAGACGGCUGGGCGGCGGCUCCCGUAUUCCGAUCCGGACCCCCUACCAGGCUGACCUCGUGGGUCGAGAAGAGCCAUUACUGGGGGUACCCUGAUGACUUGAAGGCGCUACAGAAGCACGUCAGUAGUGUGAUGGAGACCGGUGCAAAGCUGGUCGAUGUGAUGCAGGUCAUGCUCAAUCGCCGACUCCUCCCUUGUCAGGAGAGGGCCAAGCCCAUGUGGGAACAUGGCCCCGAAGAUCCGGCCACCGUGCGACACCUCUUCGGCACGACCCACAAGAAAGUGUGGGGGCUGCUAUUCGAGCCGCAGAAGGAGUGGCCGGCAGAGGAGGGGGAUAUUGGCCUCGAUGCCGCGCACCCUCUGAAGAAGGUGAGUGACACUUUUCCAAACAUAAGUUUAAACAUUCAUUUUGCAUGACUUAAUCUGAACCCCUUCACAUGGGUUUUGCAGGGCUGGCUCGCCAAGGCCGAGAAGAUCAGCGGCCCGACGCCGCUGCCAGAGGAGCCCCGAUCCGAACAGCUGGAGCAGUUGCUGGUCGUGGCGCCGUACAAGGCGCCUGACAAGAAGGGCAAGAAGACGGAGGUAUCGGAGGCCAGGGAGGGCCUCCAGCAUAGAGCCCAUCCAGACAGCCGGUUCGGAGAUACUGUGACCCCAUCCGCACAAGAGGGGGACAUAGAUGAGGACGAUGAGGAGGAAAGCGCCUCCUCGCAUUCCAAAAAGAGGGCGGCAUCCAGCAACGUCGAGGAGAAUCAACCUCCUCAAGCCCGGAAGAGGCAGGGCCGUCCUAAGCUGGUGCUGCCUGACAGCUCGGACUCCGACGAGGAGUCCGAAAGCAUCCGAAAAGGUUCCGGCGAAGGAACCCAGGGUCAAGCCCCUUGCGGCCAGGUACGUAUCGCGAUAUUCCCGACUGCUUUACCUUUCAUUAAUCCUCGGUAGAACGUAGACUGAUUGUUUUUCGCUUGAUGGUGCAGCCCUCAACGGGGCCACCCUGCCGAGCAAACCUUGGAGGGGACAUCUCCGCAUGCCGAACUGGCAGACAGCGGCUCCGCGUCACGUUUCGCGCCUCCCUUGGUCCCCAAAGAGAUUGGGGAGGUGCUGUCGUGAAAGACCCCUCCUCCUCUGGACACAGAGGGGGAUGUCGACACCAUAAUGGUCGAGGUUAACACCUCGGUUGCCGAAGACCAGGAGGGUGCAUCCCUCCUGGCUGAUGUGGGAAGGGAGUCCGAACCAUCCGGACCCCCACCUAUGACUGCCCCUAGGGAUGGCACCCGCAUGGUUUAGGUACGGGUGGAGCCACCCCAUACCCUUACCCAUCAUCCCAAACCUGACCCACCACCCGUACCCAUACCCAUUGAAGGGUACAUUAAAAAUUUCCUAUGAUCACGCAAGAUCUAUCUAGGAGAUGCAUAGCAACGAGACGGGAGAGUGUGUCCACGUACCCUCGUGGUCGAAAGCGGAAGCGUUUAGUAACGCGGUUGAUGUAGUCGAACGUCUUCGCGAUCCAACCGAUCCAAGUACCGAACAUACGGCACCUACGUGUUCAGCACACGUUCAGCUCGAUGACGUCCCUCGAGCUCUUGAUCUAGUUGAGGACGAGGGAGAGUUCUGUCAGCACGACAGUGUGGCGACGGUGAUGAUGAAGUUACCGGCGCAGGGCUUCGCCUAAGCACUACGAUGAUAUGACCGAGGUGUUAAACUGUGGAGGGGGGUGAUACGUCCAUUUUGCAUCAUGCUUUUAUAUCGAUAUUUAUUGCAUUAUGGGCUGUUAUUACACAUUAUGUCACAAUACUUAUGCCUAUUCUCUCUUAGUUUACAAGCUUUACAUAAGGAGGGAGAAUGCCGGCAGCAGGAAUUCUGGGCUGGAAAAGGAGCAAAUAUUAGAGACCUAUUCUGCACAACUCCAAAAGUCCUGAAACUGCACGGAAGUUAUUUUUUGGAAAUAAUGAAAAAUACUGAGCGGAAGAAAUACCAGAGGGGGCCCACACCCUGGCCACGAGGGUGGGGUGCGCGCCCUACCCCCCUGGGCGCGCCCCCUGCCUCGUGGGCCCCGUGUUGGCCCUCCGAUGCCCAUCUUCUGCUAUAUGAAGUCUUUCGUCCGAAGAAAGAAAAUCAGAAGCAAGCUUUCAGGACGAGACUCCGCCGCCACGAGGCGGAACCUUGGCGAAACCAAUCUAGGGCUCCGGCGGAGCUGUUCUGCCGGGGACACUUCCCUCCGGGAGGGGAAAAUCAUCGCCAUCGUCAUCACCAACGCUCCUCUCACCGGGAGGGGGCCAAUCUCCAUCAACAUCUUCACCAGCACCAUCUCCUCUCAAACCCUAGUUCAUCUCUUGUAUCCAAUUCUUGUCUCUAAGUCCGGGAUUGGUACUUGUAGGUUGCUCGUAGUGUUGAUUACUCCUUGUAGUUGAUGCUAGUUGGUUUAUUUGGUGGAAGAUCAUAUGUUCAGAUCCUUUAUGCAUAUUAAUACUCCUCUGAUUAUGAACAUGAAUAUGCUUUGUGAGUAGUUACGUUUGUUCCUAAGGACAUGGGAGAAGUCUUGCUAUUAUUAGUCAUGUGAAUUUGGUAUUCGUUCGAUAUUUCGAUGAGAUGUAUGUUGUCUCUCCUCUAGUGGUGUUAUGUGAACGUCGACUACAUGGCACUUCACCAUUAUUUGGGCCUAGAGGAAGGCAUUGGGAAGUAAUAAGUAGAUGAUGGGUUGCUAGAGUGACAGAAGCUUAAACCCUAGUUUAUGCGUUGCUUCGUAAGGGGCUGAUUUGGAUCCAUAUGUUUCAUGCUAUGGUUAGGUUUACCUUAAUACUUCUUUUGUAGUUGCGGAUGCUUGCAAUAGGGGUUAAUCAUAAGUGGGAUGCUUGUUCAAGUAAGGACAACACCCAAGCACCGGUCACCCACAUAUCAAAUUAUCAAAGUACCGAACGCGAAUCAUAUGAACGUGAUGAAAACUAGCUAGAUGAUAAUUUCCAUGUGUCCUCGGGAGCGCUUUCCUUUAUAUAAGAGUUUGUCCAGGCUUAUCCUUUGCUACAAAAAGGAUUGGGCCACCUUGCUGCACUUUAUUUACUUUUGUUACUUGUUGCUUGUUACAAAUUAUCUUAUCACAAAACUAUCUGUUACCUAUAAUUUCAGUGCUUGCAGAGAAUACCUUGCUGAAAACCGCUUAUCAUUUCCUUCUGCUCCUCGUUGGGUUCGGCACUCUUACUUAUCGAAAGGACUACGAUAGAUCCCCUAUACUUGUGGGUCAUCAAGACUCUUUUCUGGCGCCGUUGCCGGGGAGUGAAGCGCCUUUGGUAGGUGGAAUUUGGUAAGGAAAAUUUAUAUAGUGUGCUGAAAUUUAUUGUCACUUCUUACUAUGGAAAGUAAUCCUGUGAGGGGCUUGUUUGGGGUAUCUUCACCCCGAUCAGUAGAGCAAAGAGUUGCUCCUCAACCUACCGAACCUACUGAAAAUGAAAAUGUCUACAUUGAAAUUCCUUCUGGUAUGAUAGAAAAACUGCUAGCUAAUCCUUUGGCAGGAGAUGGAACAUUACAUCCUGAUGAGCACCUAAUAUAUGUGGAUGAAGUUUGUGGAUUAUUUAAGCUUGCAGGUAUGCCCGAUGAUGUUAUCAAGAAUAAGGUUUUCCCUUUAUCUUUGAAGGGAGAUGCAUUGACAUGGUAUAGGCUAUGUGAUGAUAUGGGAUCAUGGAACUACAAACGAUUGAAAUUUGAAUUUCAUCAGAAGUUUAUCCUAUGCAUCUUGUUCAUCGUGAUCGCAAUUAUAUAUAUAAUUUUUGGCCUUGCGAAGGAGAAAGCAUCGCUCAAGCUUGGGGGAGGCUUAAGUCAAUGUUAUAUUCAUGCCCCAAUCAUGAGCUCUCAAGAGAAAUGAUUAUUCAAAAAUUUUAUGCUCGGCUUUCUGAUAACAAUCGCACCAUGCUCGAUACUUCUUGUGCUGGCUCUUUUAUGAUGAAGACUAUUGAAUUCAAAUGGGAUUUAUUAGAAAGAAUUAAAUGCAACUCUGAAGAUUGGGAUCUCGAUGAAGGUAAGGAGUCAGGUAUGACAGCUAAGUUUGAUUGUGUUAAAUCUUUUAUGGAUACCGAUGUUUUCCGUAAAUUUAGCACUAAAUAUGGACUUGACUCUGAGAUAGUAGCUUCUUUCUGUGAAUCUUUUGCUACUCAUGUUGAUCUCCCUAAGGAGAAGUGGUUUAAAUAUCAUCCUCCCAUAGAAGUAAAAGUAGCUGCACCUAUUAAAGUUGAAGAAAAGACUAUCACUUAUAAUGAUCCUAUUGUUCCUACUGCUUAUGUUGAGAAACCACCUUUCCCUGUUAGAACAAAGGACCAUGCUAAAGCUUCAACUAUGGUUCUAAAAAGCAAUAUUAGAACUUAUACACCUCCUGAGCAAGUUAAAGUUGAACCUAAUAUUGCUAUUGUUAAAGAUCUCUUGGCUGAUAAUAUAGAUGGGCAUGUUAUUUAUUUCUGUGAUGAGACUGCUAGAAUUGCUAAACCUUGUGCUAAAGAUAAACAUAGACCUGUGGUAGGCAUGCCUGUUAUUUCUGUUAAAAUAGGAGAUCAUUGUUAUCAUGGCUUAUGUGAUAUGGGUGCUAGUGCUAGUGCAAUACCUAUUGACUUAUACAAAGAAAUUAUGCAUGAUAUUGCACCUACUGAGUUAGAAGAAAUUGAUGUUACAAUUAAGCUUGCCAAUAGAGAUACUAUAUCACCAAUUGGAAUUGUUAGAGAUGUUGAAGUCUUGUGUGGCAAAACUAAAUAUCCUGCUGAUUUUCUUGUUCUUGGUUCUCCACAAGAUAGCUUUUGUCCCAUUAUAUUUGGUAGACCCUUCUUAAACACUGUUAAUGCUAAGAUAGAUUGCGAAAAGGAUGUUGUUACUAUUGGUUUGGGUGAUAUGUCUCAUGAGUUUAAUUUUUCUAAAUUUUGUAGACAACACCGUGAAGAGGAAUUGCCUAGUAAAGAUGAAAUUAUUGGUCUUGCUUCUAUUGCCGUACCUCCUAGUGAUCCUUUAGAACAAUAUCUGCUAGACCAUGAAAAUGAUAUGUUUAUGAAUGAAAGAAGAGAAAUAUAUGAAGUGUUCUUUAAACAAGGACCUAUUCAGAAACACAACUUACUUGUUGAAAUCCUAGGGGAUCCUCCUCCACCUAAGGGUGAUCCUGUGUUUGAGCUUAAACCAUUGCCUGAUACUCUUAAAUAUGCUUAUCUUGAUGAAAAGAAGAUAUACCCUGUUAUUAUUAGUGCUAACCUUUCAAAGAAGGAGGAAGAAAGAUUAUUGAAAACUCUGAAGAAGCACCGUGCUGCUAUUGGAUAUACUCUUGAUGAUCUUAAGGGCAUCAGUCCCACUCUAUGCCAACACAAAAUAAAUUUGGAGAAAGAUGCCAAACCAGUUAUGAUCACCAACAACGGCUGAAUCCUAAGAUGAAAGAAGUGGUAAGAAAAGAAAUACUAAAGCUCCUUGAGGCAGGUAUAAUUUAUCCCGUUGCUGAUAGUCAGUGGGUAAGUCCUGUCCAUUGUGUUCCUAAGAAGGGAGGUAUUACCGUCGUUCCUAAUGAUAAAGAUGAAUUGAUUCCGCAAAGAAUUAUUACAGGUUAUAGGAUGGUAAUUUAUUUUCGCAAAUUAAAUAAAGCUACUAAAAAAGAUCAUUACCCCUUACCUUUUAUUGAUCAAAUGCUAGAAAGAUUAUCCAAACAUACACAUUUUUUUCUAGAUGGUUAUUCCAGUUUCUCUCAAAUACUUGUGUCAGCUGAUGAUCAAGCUAAGACCACUUUUACUUGCCCUUUCAGUACUUUUGCUUAUAGAAGUAUGCCUUUUGGUUUAUGUAAUGCACCUGCUACCUUUCAGAGAUGCAUGAUGGCUAUAUUCUCUGAUUUUUGUGAAAAGAUUUGCGAGGUUUUCAUGGACGAUUUCUCCGUCUAUGGAUGUUCUUUUGAUGAUUGCUUGAGCAACCUUGAUCGAGUUUUGCAGAGAUGUGAAGAAACUAACCUUGUCUUGAAUUGGGAGAAGUGCCACUUUAUGGUUAAUGAAGGCAUUGUCUUGGGGCAUAAAAUUUCUGAAAGAGGUAUUGAAGUUGAUAAAGCUAAAGUUGAUGCUAUUGAAAAGAUGCCAUGUCCCAAGGACAUCAAAGGUAUAAGAAGUUUCCUUGGUCAUGCCGGGUUUUAUAGAAGGUUCAUUAAGGAUUUCUCAAAAUUUCUCGGCCUCUGACUAAUCUAUUACAAAAAGAUAUACCAUUUGUCUUUGAUGAUGAUUGUGUAGAAGCAUUUGAAAUACUUAAGAAAGCAUUGAUUUCUGCACCUAUUGUUCAGCCACCUGAUUGGAAUUUACCCUUUGAAAUUAUGUGUGAUGCUAGCGAUUAUGCUGUAGGUGCUGUUCUAGGGCAAAGAGUUGAUAAGAAAUUAAAUGUUAUUCAAUAUGCUAGUAAAACUCUAGACAAUGCCCAGAGAAAUUAUGCUACUACUGAAAAAGAAUUCUUAGCAGUUGUAUUUGCUUGUGAUAAGUUCAGACCUUAUAUUGUUGAUUCUAAAGUAACAAUUCACACUGAUCACGCUGCUAUUAAAUAUCUUAUGGAAAAGAAAGAUGCUAAACCUAGACUUAUUAGAUGGGUCCUCUUGCUACAAGAAUUUGAUUUGCAUAUUAUUGAUAGAAAGGGAGCUGAGAACCCCGUUGCAGACAACUUGUCUAGGUUAGAAAAUGUUCUUGAUGACCCACUACCUAUUGAUGAUAGCUUUCGUGAUAAACAAUUAAAUGUCAUAAAUGCUUCUCGAACUGCUCCAUGGUAUGCUGAUUAUGCUAAUUACAUUGUUGCUAAAUUUAUACCACCUAGUUUCACAUACCAGCAAAAGAAAAAGUUUUUCUAUGAUUUGAGACAUUACUUCUGGGAUGGCCCGCAUCUGUAUAAAGAAGGAGUAGAUGGUGUUAUUAGAUGUUGUGUACCUGAGCAUGAACAGGAACAGAUCCUACGCAAGUGUCACUCCGAGGCUUAUGGAGGACACCACGCUGGGGAUAGAACUCCACAUAAGGUUUUGCAAUCCGGUUUUUAUUGGCCUACUCUCUUCAAGGAUGCCCGUAAGUUUGUCUUAUCUUGUGAUAAAUGUCAAAGAAUUGGUAAUAUUAGUAGAUGUCAAGAAAUGCCUAUGAAUUAUUCACUUGUUAUUGAACUAUUUGAUGUUUGGGGCUUUGAUUAUAUGGGACCGUUUCCUGCCUCUAAUGGAUAUACACAUAUUUUAGUUGCUGUUGAUUACGUUACUAAGUGGGUAGAAGCUAUUCCAACUAGUAGUCCUGAUCAUAACACUUCUAUUAAGAUGCUUAAAGAAGUUAUUUUUUCGAGGUUUGGAGUCCCUAGAUAUUUAAUGACUGAUGGUGGUUCACAUUUUAUUCAUGGUGCUUUCCGUAAAAAGCUUGCUAAGUAUGAUGUUAAUCAUAGAAUUGCAUCUCCCUAUCACCCACAGUCUAGUGGUCAAGUAGAAUUGAGUAAUAGAGAGCUCAAAUUAAUUUUGCAAAAUACUGUUAAUAGAUCUAGAAAGAAUUGGUCCAAGAAACUUGAUGAUGCAUUAUGGGCCUACAGAACUGCAUAUACAAAUCCUAUGGGUAUGUCUCCGUAUAAAAUGGUUUAUGGAAAAGCAUGUCACUUACCUCUCGAACUAGAACAUAAGGCAUAUUGGGCUAUUAAAGAACUCAACUAUGAUUUCAAACUUGCCGGUGAAAAGAGGUUAUUUGACAUUAGCUCACUUGAUGAAUGGAGAACCCAAGCCUAUGAGAAUGCCAAGUUGUUUAAAGAAAAAGUUAAAAGAUGGCAUGACAAAAGGAUACAAAAGCGUGAGUUUAAUGUAGGUGAUUAUGUAUUGCUAUACAACUCUCGUUUAAGAUUUUUUGCAGGAAAACUUCUCUCUAACUGGGAAGGUCCUUACGUUAUUGAGGAGGUCUACCGUUCCGGUGCCAUAAAAAUCAACAACUUCGAAGGCACAAAUACGAAGGUAGUGAACGGUCAAAGAAUCAAACACUAUAUCUCAGGUAAUCCUAUAAAUAUUGAAACCAACGUUAUUGAAACCGUAACCCCGGAGGAAUACAUACGGGACACUUUCCAAAACGUUUUAGACUCCGAAAAGGAAUAGGUAUGUGGUACGGUAAGUAAACCGACUCCAAAACAGUUCUAAUGGCAAUUUUUCUCCGUUUUGGAAUAUUUAGAAAAAUAGAAAAAUAAGAAGCAGUCCGGGAAGGACACGAGGGCUCCACGAGGGUGGAGGGCGCGCCCUACCCCCUGGGCGCGCCCCCUGCCUCGUGGGCACCUCGUGCGCUCUCCGGACUCUGUUUUCUUGCACGUUACGUAUUUUGGUCGGUAAAAAUUCAUUAUAUAAUCUCCUGAAGGUUUUGACCACCGUAGCACGCAAUUAUCUUCUGUUUUCGUUUCGAGCUGUUUCUGUAGCAGAUUUGGAGCAAGAUGUCAUCUCAGGAUUCCGACGGAGAGAGCUAUGUCUCGCACCUCAUUGCUGACCCAAAGACCUAUGGGGAUCUAUCCCCUUGUGGUCGAACUACGGAUGAGGAGGAAAUUGCCCUUCUCAAUUACAGUAUGAAGAAGCUAAAGGAACAAUUGUCAUCAUCAACAACUCCAUCAUCACCACCUCCGAGAAAGGAGACAUAAUCAUAUGGGUAUGGGCACUCCCCUUGGCAACUGCCAAGCUUGGGGGAGGUGCCCCGGUAUCGUAUCACCAACACACUCCUAUCUUUACCAGUUUUCUUAGUUCGAUCCUUUUAGUAAUAUCUUGAUCUAGUAGAAUAAAGUUUUUGGUAUGAUCUAGUUUUGAGUUUUGCUUUAUGAUUCCUCUAUGUAAUCGAGUCCGUGAGCUAUAUAAAAAAGAUUAGUGUUGAGUCAAGGGCUUGAUUAUUUUGCUAUGAUCUUGAGGGAAUAAAAGAAAAAGAAAGAAUAAAAAGAAACAAAGAGAUCAUAUUGAUCUUAUGGAGAGUAAUGACUUCACAUAGAAAGAGUAUGAUGAUUAAAAGUUGUUGAGAGUUGACAAAUUUAGUUUUGGUCAUCGUUGCAAUUAAUAGGAAGUAAUAAAGAAAGAGAGGUUUCACAUAUAAAUAUACUAUCUUGGACAUCUUUUAUGACUGUGAGCACUCAUUAAAAUAUGACAUGCUAACGAGUUGAUGUUGGACAAGGAAGACAACGUAAUGGGUUAUGUUUUCUUAUAUCUGAAAUAAAGUAUAUUGUCAUGGAUCAUCCAACAUGUUGAGCUUGCCUUUCCCCCUCAUGCUAGCCAAAUUCUUUGCACCAAGUAGAGAUACUACUUGUGCUUCCAAAAAUCCUUAAACCCAGUUUUGCCAUGAGAGUCUACCAUAUCUACCUAGGGAUUGAGUAAGAUCUUUCAAGUAAGUUGUCAUCGGUGCAAGCAAUAAAAAUUGCUCUCUAAAUAUGUAUGAUUGAUUGGUGUGGAGGAAAUAAGCUUUAUACGAUCUUGUGAUGUGGAAGAAAUAAAAGCGACAGACUGCAUAAUAAAGGUCCAUAUCACAAGUGGCAAUAUAAAGUGACGUUCUUUCGCAUUAAGAUUUUGUGCAUCCAACUCUGAAAGCGCAUGGCAACCUCUGCUUCCCUCUGUGAAGGGCCUAUCUUUUACUUUUAUCUUCUACCUUAUGCAAGAGUCAUGGUGAUCUUCACCUUUCCUUUUUAUAUUUUAUCCUUUGGCAAGCACAGUGUGUUGGAAAGAUCCAGACAUGUAUAUCUAAUUGGAUGUAAGUUAGCAUGACCUAUUAUUGUUGACAUUACCCUUGAGGUAAAAGGUUGGGAGGCGAAACUAUAAGACCCUAUCUUUCUCUGUGUCCGAUUAAAAUUCCGUAACCACAAGUAUUGCGUGAGUGUUAGCAAUUGUGAAAGACUAAAUGAUAGUUGAGUAUGCGGACUUGCUGAAAAGCUCUGACAUAGACUCUUUCUGAUGUUAUGAUAAAUUGCAAUUGCUUCAAUGACUAAGAUUAUAGUUUGUUAGUUCUCAAUAAAGUUUAUGAUUCAUACUUUGCAUUGUGAAUAGAUUAUUACUUGAGCAUAAGAAAUCAUAUGAGAUUAUCCAUAUAUGUUGCUAUUAUGAGAAUAAUCAUGAUGCCCUCAUGUCCGUAUUUUAUUUUAUCGACACCUCUACCUCUAAACAUGUGAACAUAUUUAUCGUUAUCGGCUUCCGCUUGAGGACAAGCGAGGUCUAAGCUUGGGGGAGUUGAUAUGUCCAUUUUGCAUCAUGCUUUUAUAUCGAUAUUUAUUGCUUAUGGGCUGUUAUUACACAUUAUGUCACAAUACUUAUGCCUAUUCUCUCUUAUUUUACAAGGUUUACAUAAGGAGGGAGAAUGCCGGCAGCUGGAAUUCUGGGCUGGAAAAGGAGCAAAUACUAGAGUCCUAUUCUGCACAACUCCAAAAGUCCUGAAACUCCACGGAAGUUAUUUUUGGAAAUAAUGAAAAAUACUGAGCGGAAGAAAUACCAAAGGGGGCCCACACCCUGGCCACGAGGGUGGGGGGCGCGCCCUACCCCCCUGGGCGCGCCCCCUGCCUCGUGGGCCCCCUGUUGGCCCUCCGGUGCCCAUCUUCUGCUAUAUGAAGUCUUUCGUCCGAAGAAAAAUCAGAAGCAAGCUUUCGGGAUGAGACUCCGCCGCCACGAGGCGGAACCUUGGCGGAACCAAUCUAGGGCUCCGGCGGAGCUGUUCUGCCGGGGACACUUCCCUCCGGGAGGGGGAAAUCAUCGCCAUCGUCAUCACCAAUGCUCCUCUCACCGGGAGGGGGCCAAUCUCCAUCAACAUCUUCACCAGCACCAUCUCCUCUCAAACCCUAGUUCAUCUCUUGUAUCCAAUUCUUGUCUCUAAGUUCGGGAUUGGUACUUGUAGGUUGCUAGUAGUGUUGAUUACUCCUUGUAGUUGAUACUAGUUGGUUUAUUUGGUGGAAGAUCAUAUGUUCGGAUCCUUUAUGCAUAUUAAUACUCCUACGAUUGUGAACAUGAGUAUGCUUUGUGAGUAGUUACGUUUGUUCUUGAGGACAUGGGAGAAGUCUUGCUAUUAGUAGUCAUGUGAAUUUGGUAUUUGUUUGAUAUUUUGAUGAGAUGUAUGUUGUCUCUCCUCUUGUGGUGUUAUGUGAACGUCGACUACAUGACACUUCACCAUUAUUUGGGCCUAGAGGAAGGCAUUGGGAAGUAAUAAGUAGAUGAUGGGUUGCUAGAGUGACAGAAGCUUAAACCCUAGUUUAUGCGUUGCUUCAUAAGGGGCUGAUUUGGAUCCAUAUGUUUCAUGCUAUGGUUAGGUUUACCUUAAUACUUCUUUUGUAGUUGCGGAUGCUUGCAAUAGGGGUUAAUCAUAAGUGGGAUGCUUGUUCAAGUAAGGACAGCACCCAAGCACUGGUCCACCCACAUAUCAAAUUAUCAAAGUACCGAACGCGAAUCAUAUGAACGUGAUGAAAACUCGCUAGACGAUAAUUCCCAUGUGUCCUCGGGAGCGCUUUCCUUUAUAUAAGAGUUUGUCCAGGCUUGUCCUUUGCUACAAAAAGGAUUGGGCCACCUUGCUGCACUUUAUUUACUUUUGUUACUUGUUGCUCGUUACAAAUUAUCUUAUCACAAAACUAUCUGUUACCUAUAAUUUCAGUGCUUGCAGAGAAUACCUUGCUGAAAACCGCUUAUCAUUUCCUUCUGGUCCUCGUUGGGUUCGACACUCUUACUUAUCGAAAGGACUACGAUAGAUCCCCUAUACUUGUGGGUCAUCAGGGGGCACCGCACACGGCUAAGACAAAUCUUGGUGUGCCUUUGGGGUGCCCCCUGCCCACGUAUAUAAAGGAGGGAGGGAGAGAGGCCGGCCCCCUAGGGGUGCGCCAAGAGUAUGGAGUCCUACUAGGACUUCCAAGUCCUAGUAGGAAUCCCUUUCCUUUUUGGAGUAGGAGAGAAGGAAAGAGGGAAAGAGAGAGGGAGUAGGAAAGGGCAAGGGGGGCGCCGCCCCUUCCCCUAGUCCAAUUUGGACCCAUGGGGGGGCGCGCCACCUCCCCUUUGCCUGCCUUCUCUUUUCCCGUAUGGCCCAAUAAGGCCCAUUACUUCUCCCGGUGAAUUCCCGUAACUCCCCGGUACUCUGAAAAAUACCCGAAUCACUCGGAACCUUUCCGAUGUCCGAAUAUAGCCUUCCAAUAUAUGAAUCUUUAGCUCUCGACCAUUUCAAGACUCCUCGUCAUGUCCGUGAUCUCAUUCGGGACUUCGAACAAUCUUCAGUCAUCAAAUUACAUAACUCAUAAUACAAAUCUUCAUCGAACAUUAAGCGUGCGGACCCUACGGGUUCGAGAACUAUGUAGACAUGACCAAGACACAUCUUCGGUCAAUAACCAAUAGCGGAACCUGGAUAUUGGCUCCUAUAUAUUCUACAAAGAUCUUUAUCGGUCAAACUGCAUAACAACAUACAUUGUUCCCUUUGUCAUCGGUAUGUUACUUGCCCGAGAUUCGAUCGUCGGUAUCAUCAUACCUAGUUCAAUCUCGUUACCGGCAAGUCUCUUUACUUGUUCCGUAAUGCAUCAUCCCGCAACUAACUCAUUAGUCACAUUGCUUGCAAGGCUUAUAGUGAUGUGCAUUACCGAGAGGGCCCAGAGAUACCUCUCCGAUACACGGAGUGACAAAUCCUAAUCUCGAUCUAUGCCAACUCAACAAACACCAUCGGAGACACCUGUAGAGCAUCUUUAUAAUCACCCAGUUAAGUUGUGACAUUUGAUAGCACACAAGGUGUUCCUCCGGUAUUCGGGAGUUGCAUAAUCUCAUAGUCAGAGGAACAUGUAUAAGUCAUGAUGAUAGCAAUAGCAAUAAAACUAAACGAUUUAUGCUAAGCUAACGGAUGUGUCUUGUCCAUCACAUCAUUCCCCAAUGAUGUGAUCCCGUUCAUCAAAUGACAACACAUGUCUAUGGUCAGGAAACUUAACCAUCUUUGAUUAACGAGCUAGUCAAGUAGAGGCAUACUAGGGACACUCUGUUUGUCUAUGUAUUCACACAUGUACUAAGUUUCCGGUUAAUACAAUUCUAGCAUGAAUAAUAAACAUUUAUCAUGAUAUAAGGAAAUAUAAGUAACAACUUUAUUAUUGCCUCUAGGGCAUAUUUCCUUCAGUCUCCCACUUGCACUAGAGUCAAUAAUCUAGUUCACAUCGUCAUGUGAUUUAACACCAAUAGUUCAUAUCCUUAUGCGAUUAGUUUACACCGCCAUGUGACUAAUACCCAAAGGGUUUUACUAGAGUCAAUAAUCUAGUUCACAUCGCUAUGUGAUUAACACUCAAAGAGUACUAAGGUGUGAUCAUGUUUUGCUUGUGAGAGAAGCUUAGUCAAUGGGUCUGUCACAUUCAGAGCCGUAUGUAUUUUGCAAAUUUUCUAUGUCUACAAUGCUCUGCAUGGAGCUACUCUAGCUAAUUGCUACCACUUUCAAUAUGUAUCCAGAUUGAGAUUCAGAGUCAUCCAGAUCGGUGUAAAAGCUUGCAUCGUCGUAACUCUUUAUGACGAACUCUUUAUCACCUCCAUAAUCGAGAAACAUCUCCUUAGUCUUCUAAGGACUGCUGUCCAGUGAUCCACUCCUGGAUCAAUAUCGUACGCCCUUGCCAAACUCAUGGCAAGGUACAUAGUAGGUAUGGUACACAACAUAGCAUACUUUAUAGAACCUAUGGCUGAGGCAUAGGGAAUGAAUUUCAUUCUCUUUGUAUUUUCUGCCGUGGUCGUGUUUUGAGUCUUACUCAACUUUACACCUUGCAAUAUAGGCAAGAACUCCUUCUUUGACUGUUCCAUUUUGAACUACUUCAAAAUCUUAUCAAAGUAUGUACUCAUUGAAAAAUCUUAUCAAGCAUGUUGAUCUAUCUCUAUAGAUCUUGAUGCCCAAUAUGUAAGUAGCUUCACUGAGGUCUUUCAUUGAAAAAUUCUUAUUCAAGUAUCCUUUUAUGCUAUCCAUAAAUUCUGUAUUAUUUCCAAUCAACAAUAUGUCAUCCACAUAUAAUAUCAGAAAUGCUACAGAGCUCCCACUCACUUUCUUGAAAAUACAGGCUUCUCCAAAAGUCUGUAUAAAACCAUAUGCUUUGAUCACACUAUCAAAGCGUACAUUCCAACUCCGAGAUGCUUGCACCAGUCCAUAAAUGGAUCACUAGAGCUUACACACUUUUUUAGCACCUUUCGGAUUGACAAAACCUUUUGGUUUCAUCAUAUACAACUCUUCUUUAAGAAAUCCAUUAAGGAAUGCAGUUUUGACAUCCAUUUGCCAAAUUUCAUAAAAUACGACAAUUGCUAACAUGAUUCGGACAGACUUUAUGCAUAUAUACGAGUGAGAAAUUCUCAUCGUAGUCAACACCUUGAACUUGUCGAAAAGUUUUUGCAACAAUUCGAGCUUUGUAGAUAGUAACACUAUUAUCAGCGUCAGUCUUCCUCUUGAAGAUCCAUUUAUUCUCUAUGCCUUGCCGAUCAUCGGGCAAGUCAACCAAAGUCCACACUUUGUUCUCAUACAUGGAUCCCAUCUCAGAUUUCAUGGCUUCAAGCCAUUUCAUGGAAUCUGGGCUCAUCAUCGCUUCCUCAUAGUUCGUAGGUUCGUCAUGGUCAAGUAACAUGACCUCCAGAAUAGGAUUACCGUACCACUCUGGUGCGGAUUGUACUCUGGUUGACCUACGAGGUUUGGUAGUAACUUGAUCGGAAGUUUCAUGAUCAUCAUCAUUAACUUCCUCACUAAUUGAUGUAGGAAUCACUGGAACUGAUUUCCGUGAUGAACUACUUUCCAAUUCGAGAGAAGGUACAAUUACCUCAUCAAGUUCUACUUUCCUCGCACUCACUUCUUUCGAGAGAAACUCCUUCUCUAGAAAGGAUCCAUUCUUAGCAACGAAUAUCUUGCCUUCGGAUCUGUAAUAGAAGGUGUACCCAACAGUCUCCUUUGGGUAUCCUAUGAAGACACAUUUCUCCGAUUUGGGUUCGAGCUUAUCAGGUUGAAGCUUUUUCACAUAAGCAUUGUAACCUCAAACUUUAAGAAACGACAGCUUAGGUUUCUUGCCAAAUCAUAGUUCAUACGGUGUCGUCUCAACGGAUUUAGAUGGUGCCCUAUUUAACGUGAAUGCAGCUGUCUCUAAUGCAUAACCCCAAAACGAUAGUGGUAAAUCGGUAAGAGACAUCAUAGAUCGCACCAUAUCUAAUAAAGUGUGGUUAUGACGUUCGGACACACCAUUACGCUGUGGUGUUCCAGGUGGCAUGAGUUGUGAAACUAUUCCACAUUGUUUUUAAAUGAAGACCAAACUCAUAACUCAAAUAUUUACCUCCACGAUCAGAUCGUAGAAACUUUAUUUUCUUGUUACGAUGAUUUUCUACUUCACUAUGAAAUUCUUUGAACCUUUCAAAUGUUUCAGACUUAUGUUUCAUCAAGUAGAUAUACCCAUAUCUGCUCAAAUCAUCUGUGAAGGUCAGAAAAUAACGAUACCCGCCGCGAGCCUCAACACUCAUCGGACCGCAUACAUCAGUAUGUAUUAUUUCCAAUAAGUCAGUGGCUUGCUCCAUUGUUCCGGAGAACGGAGUCUUAGUCAUCUUGCCUAUGAGGCAUUGUUCGCAAGCAUCAAGUGAUUCAUAAUCAAGUGAUUCCAAAAGCCCAUCAACAUGGAGUUUCUUCAUGCGCUUUACACCAAUAUGACCUAAACGACAGUGCCACAAAUAAGUUGCACUAUCAUUCCAACCGACGGAUGACGCUCCGGAGAUAGGUGAUAUGCUCUUGAUGCAGAAUAUUUUCGCGAGUGAGAUACUUAUUUUGUAUGCGAACUAUUUCAAUGAUGCGAAAAGCUUCAAUCUCAGCAGGAGUAAGAUGAGUAAGAUAGGGCUUAAGGAUAUCUUCUUCCUCCUCCUCAGCCAGCAGUGCUUGUGCUGCCACCGGGGGUGGAUCUAUGGUAGCCUCCUUGCCCUUGCCUCCCUUGAAAUCGUUCGUAGGCUCCUCCCUCUUCGUCUCGAUCUUCAUCAGCCAAGCAUCUUCUUCCAUGUUGUUGGAGGAGCAGGAAGACAUGAUGCCUGGCUUGACAAAUCUGACCAGAAACAGCAAGAAAAGAGAAUAGAGGAUUUCUCCGCGAUACGGUGGUUAACAGGUUCAAGAAGUAUAUAUAGAAUUUUUAUCUAAUGGGACAAACAAGACAGAAGAAAAACGGAGUCCGGAAGGUGUCCCAGGUGGGCACAACCCACCUAGGCGCGCCAGGCGGCUGGCGCGCCCUAGUGUCUUGUGCCCACCAGGGGACGCUUCCUGGAAGUUUCUUUAUUCCAAAAAUUCUAAAAUAUUCCAAAACUGACAAAAAAAUAUUUUUGCGGAUUUUUCGGAGUCCGUUUACUUACCGCAUCACAUACCUCCUUAUUUUGACGAUUCUGGAGUGUUCCGGAAGGACUCUUUUAUGUGCUCUUCCGGUGUCAAAGUUUGGAUAAUAUUACUUUCAACAUUAAUAGGCGUACCUGAGAUAUAAUGCUUUAUUCGUUGUCCAUUGACAACCUUUGGGUUAGUACCUUCAGAAUUAUUUAUUUUGAUGGUUCCAGACCGGUAAACCUCCUCGAUGACAUAUGGGCCUUCCCAUUUCGAGAGGAACUUUCCUGCAAAGAAUCUGAAAUGAGAGUUGUACAAAAGAACAAAUUCUCCGACCUUAAACUCACGCUUUUGAAUUCUUUUGUCAUGCCAUCUUUUAACUUUCUCUUUGAAUAAUUUUGCAUUUUCAUAAGCUUGGGUUCUCCAUUCAUCUAAUGAGCCUAUAUCAAAUACCCUCUUUUCACCAGCAAGUUUGGAAUCAUAGUUGAGUUCUUUAACUGCCCAGUAUGCUUUAUGUUCUAACUCAAGAGGUAAAUGACAAGCCUUUCCAUAAACCAUUUUAUAAGGAGACAUACCCAUAGGAUUUUUAUAUGCUGUCCAAUAAGCCCAAAGUGCAUCAUCUAAUUUCUUAGACCAAUUCUUCCUGGACCUAUUGACAGUCUUUUGCAAAAUUAAUUUUAUUUCUCUAUUGCUAAGCUCAACUUGACCACUAGACUGAGGAUGAUAAGGUGAUGCAAUUCUAUGGUUAACAUCAUACUUAGCAAGCAUUUUACAAAAAGCACCAUGAAUAAAGUGUGAACCACCAUCAGUCAUUAAAUAUCUAGGGACUCCAAACUUGGGAAAAUAACUUCCUUAAGCAUUUUAAUAGAGGUGUUGUGAUCAACACUACUGGUUGUAAUAGCUUCUACCCAUUUAGUAACAUAAUCAACAACAACCAAAAUAUGUAUAUACCCAUUAGAGGAGGGAAAAGGUCCCAUGUAUAAAAUCCCCAAACAUCAAAUGGUUCAACAGCAAGUGAAUAAUUCAUAGGCAUUUCUUGAUGCUUACCAAUAUUACCUAUUCUUUGGCAUUCAUCACAAGAUGAGACAUACUUACGAGCAUCCUUGAAGAGAGUAGGCCAAUAAAAUCCAGACUGCAAUAUCUUAUGACCAGUUCUAUCUCCAGAAUGAUGUCCUCCAUAUGGUUCGGAGUGACAUUUCCUAGGAUUUGUCCCUGUUCAUGCUCAGGUAGACAACGUCUAAUAAUACCAUCUACUCCUUCUUUGUAAAGAUGUGGGUCAUCCCAAAAGUAAUGUUUUAAAUCAUAGAAGAAAUUUUUCUUUUGUUGGUAAGUAAAGCUAGGUGGAAAAUAUUUAGCAACAAUGUAAUUAGCAUAGUCAACAUACCAAGGAGUACUAUUAGCAACAUUUAUUGCAGCUAACUCUCAUCAGGAAAACUAUCAUCAAUUGGAAGUGGGUCACCAAACACAUUUUCAAGCCUAGACAAGUUAUCAUCUACGGGGUUCUCAGCUCCCUUUCUAUCAAUAAUAUGCAAAACAAAUUCUUGCAACAAGAGAACCCAUCGUAUAAGUCUAGGUUUAGCAUCUUUUUUUCCCAUAAGAUAUUUAAUAGCAGCAUGGUCUAUGUGAACAGUUACUUUAGAAUCAACAAUAUAAGGUCUAAACUUAUCACAAGCAAACACCACUGCUAAGAAUUCCAUUUAAGUAGUAGCAUAAUUUCUUUGAGCACUGUCUAGAGUUUUACUAGCAUAAUGAAUAACAUUCAAUUUCUUAUCAACUCUUUGUCCUAGAACAGCACCAACAGCAUAGUCACUAGCAUCACAGAUAAUUUCAAAAGGCAAGUUACAAUCAGGUGGUUGGACAGUAGGUGCAGAGAUAAAAGCUUUCUUGAGUGUUUCAAAGGCUUGUAAAUAAUCAUCAUCAAAAACAAAAGGAACAUCCUUUUGCAAAAGACUAGUUAGAGGCCUAGAAAUUUUAGAAAAGUCUUUAAUAAACCUCCUAUAGAAACCAGCAUGACCUAGGAAACUACGAAUACCUAUUAUGUCCUUAGGACAUGGCAUUUUCUCAAUGGCAUCAACCUUAGCUUGGUCUACUUCAAUACCUCUUUCAGAAAUUUUAUGACCCAAGACAAUGCCUUCAUUAACCAUAAAGUGGCACUUCUCCCAAUUCAAGACAAGAUUUGUUUGUUCACAUCUCUGCAAAACUCGAUCAAGAUUGCUUAAACAAUCAUCAAAAGACUUUCCAUAAACUGAAAAGUCGUCCAUGAAAACCUCAACAGUCUUUUCACAAAAGUCAGAGAAUAUAGCCAUCAUGCAUCUUUGAGAGGUAGCAGGUGCAUUACAUAAACCAAAAGGCAUACGUCUAUAAGCAUAGGUUCCAAAAGGACAAGUAAAAGUAGUCUUUUCUUGAUCAGGUUGAGAAACAGGUAUUUGUGAAAAGCCAGAAUAUCCAUCAAGGAAGCAAAAGUGUGUGUGCUUAGAUAAUCUUUCAAGCAUUUGAUCAAUAAAAGGCAAAGGGUAAUGAUCUUUUCUAGUUGCUUUAUUUAAUUUUCUAAAAUCAAUUACCAUUCUAUAGCCUGUAACAAUUCUUUGUGGAAUAAGUUCUUUCUUAUCAUUAAGAACAACAAUUAUAACUCCUUUCAUAGGGACACAAUGAACAUGACUUACCCAUCUACUAUCAGCUAUAGGAUGGAUUAUACCUGCUUCCAGAAGUUUUAAUAUUUCCGUUCUUACCACUUCUUUCAUCUUCGGAUUUAACCGACGUUGGUGAUCAACAACGGGUUUAACAUCAGGUUCCAUAUUAAUUUUGUGCUGACAUAGAGUGGGACUAAUGCCCUUUAAAUCAUCAAGAGUAUAUCCAAUAGCAGCUCGAUGCUUCCUUAGAACUUUCAAUAAUCUUUCUUCUUCAUGUUCUGAAAGGUUAGCGCUGAUAAUAACAGGAUAUAUUUUCUUUUCAUCAAGAUAAGCAUAUUUCAAAGUGUCUGGCAAUUGUUUUAAUUCAAACACAUGAUCACCUUUAGGUGGAGGAGGACCUCCUAGAGUCUCAAUAGGCAAAUUGUGUUUAAGUAGAGGACGUUGUUCAAAGAAAAUCUUAUCUAUUUCAUUUCUUUCAUGCAUAUGUAAAUCAUUUUCAUGAUCUAGCAAUUAUUGCUCUAAAGGAUCAGUAGGUGGCACAACAAUAGAAGCAAGAGCAAUUAAUUCAUCCUUACUAGGCAAUUCUUUUUCAUGAUGAUUUAUACUAAACUUGGAAAAAUUAAACUCAUGAGACUCAUCACCAAAGCUAAUGCCCAUAGUUUGUUUCUUACAAUCUAUCUUAGCAUUAACUGUAUUCAAGGAAGGUCUACCAAAGAUAACGGGAUAGAAGUCAUCUUGUGGGGAACCAAGAACAAGAAAAUCAGUAGGGUAUUUUAUUUUCCCACACAAGACUUCAACAUCUCUAACAAUCCCAAUUGGUGAUAUGGUGUCUCUAUUAGCAAGUUUAAUAGUAACAUCUAUGUCUUCUAGCUCAGCAGGUGCUAUGUCUUCCAUAAUUUCUUGAUAUAAAGUGUAAGGAAUAGCACUCACAGUAGCACCCGUAUCACAUAAACCAUGAUAACAGUGAUCUCCUAUUUUAACUGAAAUGACAGGCACGCCAACAUCUGGUCUAUGUUUAUCCCUUUUAUCGGGUUAACAAUUCUAGCAGCUUCUACACAUAAGUAAAUAACAUGCCCAUCUACAUCUUCUUCCAAGAGGUCUUUAACCAUAGCAACAUUAGGUUCCACCCCAAUUUGUUCAUCUGGUUUAGGUGUUCUAACAUAGUUUUUGUUAACGACAGUCUAAACUUUAGCAUGUUCCUUUAUCCUACCAGGAAAAGGGGGUUCUCAAUAUAAGCAGUAGGAACAACUGGAUCAACAUUAUAGAGUAUAGUUUCUUCUUUAACUGGUACUGGUUCUUUAAUUUCAUCUUUAAUAGGUGGGUGAUAUUUAAGCCACUUCUCUUUAGGGAGUUCAACAUGAGUAGAAAAUUAUUCACAAAAGGAGGCUACUAUCUCAGAGUCAAGUCCAUAUUUAGUGCUAAACUUUUGAAAAGCAUCGGUAUCCAUAAAAGAUUUAACACAAUCAUAUUUAAGUUUUAUACCUGACUCUUUACCUUCGUCGAGUUCCCAAUCUUCAGAGUUGCAUUUAAUUCUUUCCAAAAGAUCCCACCGGAAUUCAAUAGUUUUCUUCAUAAAAGAACCAGCACAAGAAGUAUCAAGCAUGGUUUGUUCAUUACGAGAAAGCCGAGCAUAAAAGUUCUGAAUAAUAAUUUCUCUUGAGAGCUCAUGAUUGGGGCAUGAAUAUAACAUUGACUUAAGCCUCCCCCAAGCUAGAGCGAUACUUUCUCCUUCACGAGGCCAAAAAUUAUAUAUAUAAUUCCGAUCACGAUGAACUAGAUGCAAAGGAUAAAUUUUUUGGUGGAACUCCAAUUUCAAACGAUUCCAAUUCCAUGAUCCAAUAUCAUCGCAUAGCCUAUACCAUGGCAAUGCUUUUCCCUUCAAACAUAAAGGGAAAACCUUUUUCAUAACUUCAUCCCUGGGUAAACCUGCAAGCUUGAACAAUCCACAAAUUUGUUCUACAUAUAUCAAGUGCAUAUCAGGACGUUCGGUUCCAUCUCCUGCAUAAGGAUUAUCUAGCAGUUGUUCUAUCAUACCCGAAGGAAUUUCAUAUUCAAUAUUUUCAGUAGGUGCAGUGGAUUGAGGGGCAAUUAAUUGUGGUUGCAGACGAGGUGAAGAUACCCCAAACAAACCCCUCAAAGGAUUGCUUUCCAUAGUAGCAAGUGACAAUAAAUUUCAGCACACUAUAUAAAUGUUUCCUUACCGAAUUCCACUUACCAAAGGCGCUUCACUCCCCGACAAUGGUGCCAGAAAAUAGCUUUGAUGACCACAAGUAUAGGGGAUCAAUUGUAGCUCUUUUUGAUAAGUAAUAGUGUCGAACCCAACGAGGAGCAGAAGGAAAUGACAAGUAGUUUUCAGUAAGGUAAUGUCUGCAAGUGCUGAAACGGUAAGUAGCGAGUAGUUUGAUAGCAAGAUAAUUUGUAAUGAGCAAGUAACGAUAGUAACAAUAAGUAUACAUCAAGGUAGCCCAAUCCUUUUGAUGCAAAGGACAGGCCAAAACGGUCUCUUAUAAUAAGCAAAGCGUUCUUGAGGGUACACGGGAAUUUCAUCUAGUCACUUUCAUCAGGUUGGUUUGAUUUGUGUUUGCUACUUGGAUAAUAUGUGGGUGGAUCGGUGCUUAGGUGCUGUUCUUACUUGAACAAACCUCCUACUUAUGAUUAACCCUCCCGCAAGCAUCUGGAAAUACGAGAAAAGUAUUAAGAAUAAAUUCUAACCAUAGCAUUAAACUCUAGGAUCCAAUCGGUCCCUUACGAAAUAUUGCAUAAACUGGGGUUUAAGUUUCUGUCACUCUCACAACCCACCAUCUAUUUACUACUCCACAAUGCAUUCCAUUAGGCCCAAAUAUGGUGAAGUUUCAUGUAGUCGACGUUCACAUGACACCACUAAGGGAAUCAAAAAACAUACAUACUAUCAAAAUAUCGAACACAUAUCAAAUUCACAUGAUUACUUGCAACAUGAUUUCUCCCGUGACCUCAAGAACAAAAGUAACUACUCACAAAUAAUCAACAUGCUCAUGAUCAGAGGAGUAUUAAUAUGCAUAAUGGAUCUGAACAUAUAAUCUUGCACCAAAUAAACCAUAUAGUAAUCAACUACAAGAUGUAAUCAACACUACUAAUCACCCCCUAGCAACAAUCUUAUGUUCCGGUAACAAGAUUGAAUACAAGAGAUGAACUAGGGUUUGAGAUGAGAUGGUGCUGGUGAAGAUGUUGAUGGAGAUUGCCCUCCCCAAGGUGGGAGAGUUGUUGGUGAUGAUGAUGAUGAUGAUUUCCCCCUCCGAUAGGGAAGUUCCCCCGGCAGAAUCGCUUCGCCAAAGGGCUAAAGUGCUCCUACCCAAGUUCCGCCUCGAGAUGGCGGCGCUCUGCCCCGAAAGUCUUCUCCUUAUUUUUUCUAGGUCAAAAUGACUUAUAUACCAGAAGAUGGGCACCGGAGGUGGUCCGAGGAGGCCACAACCCACCAGGGCGCGCCUGGGGGGCCUGGCACGCCCAGGUGGGUUGUGCCCACUUGGUGCCCCCCUCUGGUGAUUAUUGGCUCCAAUAUUUCUUAAAUAAUCCAUAAAAACUCUCCGUGAAGUUUCAGCUCAUUUGGAGUUGUGCAGAAUAGGUGGCCUGACGUAGCUUUUUCAGGUCCAGAUUUCCAGCUGCCGGAAUUCUCCCUCUUGGUGUGUACCUUGCAAAUAAUAAGAGAAAAGGCAUUAGAAUUACUCCGAAAAGCAUUAUUAUGGAUAAAAAACAUUAUAAAUAACAGUAAGAAAACAUGAUGCAAAAUGGACGUAUCACAUAGCAACUGAACUGGUAUCAAAUACCCAGGGGCUACUAUGAACACUAGUAAAGUACACAUCAAUAACAUGUAUAUCAUAUAUACUUUUGUUCACUUUGCCAUCCUUCUUAUCCGCCAAGUAUUUGAGGUAGCUCCGCUUCCAGUGACCAUUCCCUUUGUAGUAGAAGCACUCAGUUUCAGGCUUAGGUCUAGACUUGGGCUUCUUCACUUGAGCAGCAACUUGCUUGCCGUUCUUCUUGAAGUUCCCCUUCUUCCCUUUGCCCUUUUUCAUGAAACUAGUGGUCUUGUUAACCAUCACCACUUGAUGCUCCUUCUUGAUUUCUACCUCCGCCGAUUUUAGCAUCACGAAGAGCUCGGGAAUCGUUUUCAUCAUCCCUUGCAUAUUAUAGUUCAUCACGAAGUUCCAGUAACUUGGUGAUAGUGACUAGGGAGCUCUAUCAAUCACUAUCUUAACUAGAAGAUUAACUCCCACUUGAUUCAAGCGAUAGUAAUACUCAGACAUUCUGAGCACAUGCUCACUGGUUGAGCUAUUCUCCUCCAUCUUGUAGGCAAAAUACUUGUCAGAGGUCUCAUACCUCUCGACUCGGGCAUGAGUCUGAAAUACCAAUUUCAGCUCUUGGAACAUCUUAUAUGCUCCAUGGCGUUCAAAACAUUUUUGAAGUCCCGGUUCUAAGCUGUAAAGCAUGGUGCACUAAACUAUCAAGUAUUCAUCAUACUGAGCUUUGCCAAAUGUUCAUAACGUCUGCAUCUGCUCAGGAAAUAGGUCCAUCACCUAGUGGUGCAUCAAGGACAUAAUUCUUCUAUGCAGCAAUGAGGAUAAUCCUCAUAUCACGGAGCCAGUCCGCAUCAUUGCUACUAUCAUCUUUCAACUUAGUUUUCUCUAGGAACAUAUCAUAAAUAAAACGGGGAAGCUAUACGCGAGCAAUUGAUCUACAACAUAGAUAUGCAAAUACUAUCAGGACUAAGUUCAUGAUAAAUUUAAAUUCAAUUAAUCAUAUUAGUUAAGAACUCCCACUUAGAUAGACAUCCCUCUAGUCAUCUAAAUGAUCAUGUGAUCCAUAUCAACUAAACCAUGUCCGAUCAUCACGUGAGAUGGAGUAGCUUUCAAUGGUUAACAUCACUAUGUUGAUCAUAUCUACUAUAUGAUUCACGUUUGACCUUUUGGUCUCAGUGUUCCGAGGCCAUAUCUGCAUAUGCUAGGCUCGUCAAGUUUAACCCGAGUAUUCUGCAUGUGCAAAACUGGCUUGCACCCGUUGUAUGUGAACAUAGAUCUUAUCACACCCGAUCAUCACGUGGUGUCUCAGCACGAAGAACUGUCGCAACAGUGCAUACUCAGGGAGAACACUUAUACCUUAAAAUUUUAGUAAGGGAUCAUCACAUAAUGCUACCGUCGUACUAAGCGAAAUAAGAUGCAUAAAAGAUAAACAUCACAUGCAAUCAAAAUAUGUGACAUGAUAUGGCCAUCAUCAUCUUGUGCCUUUGAUCUCUAUCUCCAAAGUACUGUCAUGAUCUCCAUCGUCACCGGCAUGACACCAUGAUCUCCAUCAUCUUGAUCUUUAUCAAUGUGCCGUCACAUGGUCGUGUCGCCAACUAUUACUUUUGCAACUAUUACUAUCGCAUAGCGAUAAAGUAAAGCAAUUAUAUGGUGCUUGCAUCUUAUGCAAUAAAGAGACAACCAUAAGGCUCCUGCCAGUUGCCGAUAACUUUAACAAAACAUGAUCAUCCCAUACAACAAUUUAUAUCUCAUCACGUCUUGACCAUAUCACAUCACAACAUGCCCUACAAAAACAAGUUAGACGUCCUCUACUUUGUUGUUGCAAGUUUUAUGUGGCUGCUACGGGCUUCUAGCAAGAACCAUUCUUACCUACGCAUCAAAACCAUAAUGAUUUCUCAUCAAGUGUGAUGUUUUAACCUUCAACUAGGACCAGGCAUAGUCAAACUCGAUUCAACUAAAGUUGGAGAAACAGACACCCGCCAGCCACCUGUGUGUAAUCACGUUGGUAGAACCAGUCUCAUGAACAUGGUCAUGUAAUGUCGGUCCGGGCCGCUUCAUCCAACAAUACCGCCGAAUCAAAGUAUGACAUUGCUGGUAAGCAGUAUGACUAUUAGCGCCACAACUCUUUGUGCUCUACUCGUGCAUAUAACAUCUAUGCAUAGACCUGGCUCGGAUGCCACUAUUGGGGAACACAGUAUUUCAAAAAAUAUCAUACGAUCACGCAAGAUCUAUCUAGGAGAUGCAUCUUAACGAGACGGGAGAGUGUGUCCACGUACGCUCGUAGGUUGAAAGCGGAAGUGUUUAGUAACGCGGUUGAUGUAGUCGAACGUCUUCAUGAUCCAACCAAUCCAAGUACCGAACGUACGUCACCUCCGUGUUCUGCACAUGUUUAGCUCGAUGACGUCCCUCGAGCUCUUGAUCCAGUUGAGGACGAGGGAGAGUUCCGUCAGCACAACGGUGUGGCGACGGUGAUGAUGAAGUUACCGGCGCAGGGCUUCGCCUAAGCACUACGACGAUAUGACCAAGGUGUUAAACUAUGGAGGGGGCACUGUCGGUGUCAAAACCUGCGGAUCUCGGGUAGGGGGUCCCGAACUAUGCGUCUAGGAUCGAUGGUAACAGGAGACAGGGGACACGAUGUUUACCCAGGUUCGGGCCCUCUCUAUGGAGGUAAUACCCUACUUCCUGCUUGAUUGAUCUUGAUGAAUAUGUGUGUUACAAGAGUUGAUCUACCACGAGAUCGUAAUGGCUAAACCAUAGAAGUCUAGCCGAUAUGACUAUGGUAAUGUGUGUAUCCCUUCCGGACUAACCCCUCCGGUUUUAUAUAGACACCGGGGGGAUCUAGGGUUUACAUAUAGUCGGUUACAUAAGAAGGAAUCUUUAUAAUCGGUCUCCAAGCUUGCCUUCCACGCCAAGUAGAGUCCAAUCCGGACACGGGUACAAUCUUCGGCCUUCAUGUCUUUAGAGCCCAUCAGUCCGGCCCAUGGAUAAUAGGCCGGACGCCUGAGGACCCCUUAGUCCAGGACUCCCUCAGUAGCCCCUGAACCUGGCUUCAAUGACGAGGAGUCCGGCGCGCAGAUUGUCUUCGGCAUUGCAAGGCGGGUUCCCCCUUCCGAACUCCAAGAUAGUCUUUGGAUGUAAUGAUAGAAUCCGGACCUAUCUCACACACCAUACACAACCGCAGAGAGAAUAUAUUUUUACACGAGUUCUAUCCGCUGAGAGCUUUUCACAACAUGACAUUAGGUCUGUCUGGUCAUAAUUUUGAACCGUUUUUCGUCUGCCGCUCCACGUUUUGAGACGUGGUUGCCAUUGGCACGUCUUGUCAAGGCAGAGAUUGUGUCCCCUUAUCGCGGGAUUCUCAUCAAUGCGGGCAUGGGUAACCCAACCGUGCCAUUUAUACAGCCCUUGGGAAUAGGCGAGUUUUAAGGGCGAGUGGGGAGGCGCUUGAUAUUCGCGGCCUUUAUAAGGGGAUAAGGAUUCUCUUUCUUCACCCACACCCUUUCUCUCCUUCAAUCCUUCCGUCCUUGAGCUCCAGCGCCCAAUCUUUAGCUUUUCCUCGUUCGAGAAAGCACUCCAAACAUGUCCGGAUCCGGAGCUGGAGGCAAGUGGAUGGCCUCCUCCGUCAAGAAGAAGGAAAUCACGGAGCUUCGGGAGGCCGGAUAUUUAGCCAAGGAGAUUUCUCACUGACUCCCGGCAAAAGGGCAAAUCGUACCUACUCCCGAGCCCCAUGAGAGGGUUUCUCACACACUUUGUCCGCGGGCUGGGACUCCACCCCUUUGUCCGUGGAUUGAUGUUUUACUAUGGGCUGGACUUCCACGAUCUGGCCCCAAUUUUAUCCUCAAUAUCUCAGCAUUUAUUGUCGUGUGCGAGGCCUUCCUCCGCAUCCCACCUCACUUUGACCUAUGGCUGAAGACCUUCAAUGUGAAACCGAAUGUGGUGAGCGGUCAACAAGCAGAGUGCGGAGGCGCCAUGGUGGGCAAGAUGCCCAAUGUCACUUGGCCCGAAGGCUCCUUUGCAGAGACGGUGAAGGGAUGGCAGUCGGGGUGGUUUUACAUCACCGAGCAGCGCGACACCAACUGGGUAGCGGCCCCCGAAUUCCGAUCCGGAGUUCCGAUGCGGCUUACUUCCUGGCAAGGGAAGGGCCUGACCUGGGGAUCUUCGGACGAGAUAACUGGGCUCCAGACGUGUGUCCAGAACAUGAUGACCAAGAAGAUCAAUCUUGUCAAUGUGAUCCAGGUUAUGCUCAUUCGCCGGAUCCUUCCAUGCCAACGUCGGACCUGCUAUUUGUGGGAGUACAACCCAGCCAAGCACCGGAUGCUACUAGAGCUCUUCGGCGCGAUGCACGAAGAUAUCUGGAAAUCGCUCUUCAAAGCCGGCGAGACGCCACCACCCACGACCGAAGAUCGCGGGCUUAGCUUAAAACGCCAGGCCAAUUCGGUAAGUCUUUUAAUGUUUUUCAAGGUAUAUCCUUUACCGUCAUAUUUUGAGGAUGGAUUCUAAGUUCUCCCAUCCACUUUGCCAGGCCUGGAUCGAGGUGGCUGAGCGGAUUAACUGUCCAGCUCUGCUUCCUGAGGAGCAAGAAUUCCCACUUCUGACGAAGAUGUUGUUUCCGGCGCCUUAUGACGUGCCGGAGAAGAAGGCCAAGAAAGCGGCCAAGGGGACCAGGAGUGGUCUUCGUCGAAAAGGAGCUUCGGUCAUGAUAUCCGAGGAUGAGACUCACUCUUCGUCCACCGAAGAUGACGACAAAGAGGAGGAAGAAGAAGAUGACCCCCCACUUGAGGCGGGGAGGAAGAAGAGGGCAGCCUCCAAGAACCUGGAGGCGAAGGCGCCCAAGAGGGGAAAAGGUUCCCCCGCGGAUAACUCCGCAUGGGAUGUUGAUAGCAGUCCGGAGCGGCCUUCCCAGGCCAAGCCUCGAGCCAAAUCGUAAGUAUCAAAAAUCCUUAUGCACGCCCGAACGUCCGUCCUUUCUGCCCUGCAAUGUUUGAAUCGUGUUAUCACAGUCCGGCUCGGGACAACUCUCCGCUAUCUUCAUCAGAAGGUUCGCUGGACCCAAAGGAGAGGGCCAUCACGUCACCGCCGCCCGCUUUCUCCCCUUCGGCCAAGGGUGAUGGCGAGGAGGCAGCUCAAAGGGCCUCCUCGGACCGGGGGAAGACUCCGGAGAUCGUUAGGGCGGCGCUCCAGGAUGACUCCCGGACCACCGAAUACAUGGGGGAAAAAGCCCCUACGGAGACGAACGGUACGGGCCGAAUUCUAUUUGACCCUAAGCAGGAUUCUAUUUCGAAGACCUAUACGGCUCUGGAGUCCGGCAAACGGCCCUUCCCGAAAGGAGGGGGUGUGCUGUCGGUGUCCUCUGUCCAACCAGAGGCACCGGAUCAUCUACUGGAAGUGCUGCAAGGCGCCUCCAUUGUGGAUGAGCACCGUGCCCAUAUGGGUACGGUGAUUGAAAAGGUUCAGUCUGUAAAAAAUGGGCUGACCGAAGCCUGUGCUAGAUUUCUAGCAGGCUUUGAGGUGAGUACAUAAUUGUAAGAAGAAUAUCACAGCAUAGACAGUAGCCCCUGAUGCUCUGUUCGGUGUCCGGAAAGAAAAGCCGAGCAGAGGAUCAAAAUUAAUUUUCGCAGGAGUCUAACAUAAAGUGUCUAUGUGAAUAAGCAGGCCUCGUUGCGGGCUGCUGCCACUCAAUCUGUGGACAUCUCCGGACUGAAGCAGAAACUGGAGCGGGCUAAGGAAGAGCUCGGCCGCGUGAAGAAGCAGCUAGAGGAUAGCCAAGGUAUGCAGUAACCUGCGCGUAUAUUGAAGAGUAAAUUGUUCAAGCGGACUGAAGUGUCAUGAACUUUAUUAGGGGCCACGACCGAGGUGGCGGCCCUAAAAAAGGCGUUAGCCAAGGCCGAGGAUAAAGCGGCCAAGUAACGCGCCGCGCGUGAGAAGCACGAGGCCCAGGUUGGCGAGGCGCAGCAAUAGCUCCAUGGCGCGAUCGAGAGAUUUGAGUCCUUGGAGCGUGAUUGUAAGGCAUAGGAGUCCGAACUGGCGAAGGCUCGCCAGAGCGCACAGGAUGCACGAGCCGAAGCCCAGAACGCCCUCCAGGAAAUUCAGGCGGCCAAGAAGAUUGCGGCGGGUAAGUCUUUCGCCGUGCAAAGCAAGUAUGUAGAAGAAAACGUUUCCUUGUACUUAUCCGAAUUUGGGUUUUCCAGGGGCGUUUACGGAUUUGCCGCGCAGUGUAUCAGAUGUUGCCGAGCAUUAGAGAGCCGAAGAAGGGAUGUCUACAGAGAAGCUAUUCUGGUCCCAAUAUCUUGGACCCGAACAUCCGGUGCCCUUCAGCUACCAGCUAAAGCAGUUGGUCGAGCUGCACAGGUCGGCAGAGCUAGCCAUGAAGGACCUAAUAGUCCGGCUAUGGCCUGCCGAGCCUAUACCUAGCAACUACUUCGGUCUUGUUAAGCGACUUGUAAGUGCAUGUCCGCAGCUCGAAGCCGUGAAGCGGUCAGUCUGUAUUGAAGGUGCGCGCAUGGCAUUUGCCCGCGUCAAGACGCAUUGGGCAAAGAUGGAUGCCAAGAAGCUAAUGACCGAGGGGCCGCCGGAGGGCAAGGAGCAUCGUCGACCCGAGCUCUAUUUUGAUGGUGUCCUGGAGGGGUCCCGCCUUGUGGCGGAGCAAUGUUCAAAGGAUGUCAUAUUCCCAUGAAAACAUUUGUAUUAUCUUGUCCUGUAAUAUGGAACAAUGAUGUUAUGUAUUAUAAUAUUUGCGAUUUUCAUUUUACCUCCUAUGCGACCGUUUAUGAAAUCUGAGGGUUGACCAGUCGUCAGCUUCUGCCCCCACGUAGAUAGUACGAGGGUGUUCGGGAUAAAUCUAAACACUCUUUACUCCACAGUCUGGUCCUUAAAGGAGGUGUUUAGCGCAACGAACAAGGCAAUUAGACUAUGCGGCCUUUACCGCCCUCACUUAGCCAUAGGAGUUUGACAAUUAAGAAAGUUGGCGAAGACCCUGGUAUUCGGAAGGCCGAACUAGGGGCGUUGUUUACGCCUAAUCGGAAGAACCGAUUCUUCGCAGGAAGCGGAAAAAAUCUCUAACGAUUUGGAACCUCUCGAACAGCUGACUAGCUCUCACCGCAUCAUGACAGUCAGUUUUCGGCUUUCUCUACUGAGGUGCUCGUCCGGAAGAACCGGGACACAAUCGCAGUAGUUCUCCCUUUACUACCCUAGCCGAUAUAGCAGAAUGUAAGGUAGUAAGCACAGGAGCCGGGCAACCCACUAUUUACCAAAGACAUGAUUCGAAGCCGAUGCAUAUAAUGCUAUAAGUUCGGGGUGCCGAACUAUACUGGAAAAGUGUUCGGACUUAUAUUGCCGUGAUGUGGGGUGUAAUGAAGCCCCUGGCGUAGUAAUACGUACCAUCGUGUACAUGUGCAAUAAGUAGUGUAUACAAAGGUGAGGAAACAGGAAAAUUAAGUAAUAAGCUGAUGCUACCAUUUAUUCACCAUAGUGAUGUAAUUAGUACGUUGAGGCGUACUUUGUGCAAGUAAUGCGAUAAGCAAGUAAAGCUAUUUAACACGUCGCAACCAAGGGCGAGAUGCGUACCGGUAUGUAAAACAAGUAUGGCAAUCGUUUAGUAGAGACCACCUGGGGAUUCCCUUGUAUGCCAGAGCUCCUUGCCUCCUUGAUGUGUUCUGCAGGCGGGUCGUCCGCAUAGACCUCGAAAAGAGUAAAAACCCGUAAUAAUAAAAAGAAAAAGUAAAGGUGUCAGGACCCCGGUUCCAAGUCACAUCGAUCUAGACGGUAACACCUCAUAUCACUUUGCGGCCUCACGCAAGGUAUUCCCACGGGUGUCGCCUUACCAUGGCCCGGGACCGUUUGCGCCUUUUGGCUCACGUAUAUGAUAGUGUCGCUAGCAUCCGUAUGACAGAGAACCCGGGCCGACAUGACUAGUCAUGAACCCAAAGUGGCACUAACUUACGGGGACAGGCAUACAUGAAUCAACAUCGAGCAUGUCGGUCAGCAGCGUGCGAGUCCGGGCUGUAGUACUGGGCUAACAGGACUCCGGUGAACCGCGCUGUAGCAGGCUAGGCAGGACUCCGGAUGUCACCGCGUGACAUUUCCCCGAAGGGAUAGACACAUGAACGAAGUGAAUCACAUGCCGGCCAGUCAAGUGUUCCGGAGCAGUAGUGCUGGGCUAGCAGGACUCCGGUGAACUGGGCUGUAGCGGAUUACUAUGGCUCAUGGAAGCACAAGACUACAUUUCCCCAUAAGAGAGGCUACCAAGGAUAAACAACCAGGUUGUCGGAUCCCACACAUAGCAAGCAUUUCAAUCAUACACACAAUAUGCUCGAUAUGUGUAAAUACAACAUGGCAUCACAACAAGACUCUACGACUCAACUAUUUAUUCAUUAGGCUCCGAGGAGUAAGAUAUUACAAACAUGGGUCUCAUGACCCCACAUUCAGAGCAUACAAGUCAAAGCACAUGCGGAAGCUUAACAUGUCUCAGUACAGACAUCUACGAAUGGAAAAGGCUGAGAAGCCUGACUAUCUACCAGAUCGUGCCGAGGGCACAAGAUCGUAGCUGAGGUAACAAGCUAAACAUCGAUGUCCACGUGGAACUACUAGUGAGACUGACGUCUCUCUGCAAAACAUAAGAUAGGCAAACGUGAGUACAAAUGUACCCAGCAAGACUUACAUCAGAACUAACUACAUAUGCAUCGGUAUCAAUAAAGGGGUGGUGGAGUUUGACUGCAGCAAGCCAGCUUUGACUCGAUGGCUAUCCUGAACUACGAUUGCAAAUAACUCUUUUGAGGUGGCGCACACGAGUCCACAUAUUCACCAUACCAAUACACCAAUAUGGAUCCGCUCCCGUCUCCCUACGAGAACGCCAUCCAUAGCACUCACGCUUAUCUUGCGCAUUUUAGAGUAUCCACUUCAAGUUAUCUAUGAACUGUUAUAGGCAACCCAGAAGUCCUUUACCGCGGACACGCUAUUCGAAUAGAUCAUUAUAACCCUACACGGGUGUACUUCUUCACACAUGUUUCCACCACUUAGCGUCUGCACACGACAUGUGCUCGGCAGACUUCAAGCGAAAGUCGACGUGGGUGUAGACCACGACCUGACUAACCACACAAGUCUCUAGUCCAGGUUUAUCGCCUAUUCGGGUUCCAUCCGCGAGGAGAUCCGGCCGGAGUUUCGCUCACAGCCGCAAACGAUGUGUGCAGGGUUCCCGAGACACCAAACGGGCGCCCGGUACACCAUGCCAUGAUGUAUCUACCGCAUCAUUGCCCACCCCUAGGGUCAGCGCUACGCACGGCCUCCAACACAUAUGCUACAAACACCAGAAACUAGUUGCAACUCCUGGACAGAGGGCAAGGGCGGUUAAUAAGUCGAGCGGGGUCAUAUUUCAGGGCCCAACGUGUGGUAGUAGCUGUUCAUGGAUCAAAAACACAGAACUUAGUUCCUGAGGACGGUUUCAAUGAGGCAACCCACCAUGUACUCCUACAUGGCCUCCCACCGCUACCUUUACCAAAUCUUGUUCACACACUUAGCUCACACACAGUAGGACAUGUUCAUCACCAUUCCAAUUCAUCCGCGAUGAAUCAGACCUGACUCAACUCUAAGCAGUAGCAGGCAUGACAAACAAUCAUGAAUGAGUAGGCACAUCAGGGCUCAAACAACUCCUACUCAUGCUAGUGGGUUUCAUCUAUUUACUGUGGCAAUGACAGGUCAUGCAGAGGAAAGGGGUUCAACUACCACAUCAUGUAACAGUUGAAUCGUUGUUGUCCUAAUGCAGUAAAAGAGAUCAGGAGCGAGAGAGUGGGAUUGUAUCGGAAUGAACAUGGGGGUUUUGCUUGCGUGCACUUCUGAAGAUAGCAUUGGGUCUUCAUCAGUGUCAACGAUCACAGCGUCGGAACAACGUCUACCAAGGGGGGACAACACCGGCAACAAAGAAAGAACACAAUCAAUGCAAUGCACAAUAUGAUGCAUGAUCAUGACAUGGCAAAAUGAGUGUGUUUUGGCUAAUGCAACUUAGAAUAGAUCGGUUUGAGUUCAUUUGAAUCAAGGAUUCAAAUGCAAACCCAAAAUAAGAGGUCAUAUUAGUGCAUUAACUUGUUUCACCUAAACAGCAAGGUUAAAGUGUUCUAACAUGCAUGAAACCAGUACAGAUGGAAAGAUUGAAUUUUUCUGAUCAAAUUUCAUAUAUAAAUCUUUGCAUUUGGAGUUACAGAUUAAUUUCUAUGAAUUUUUGAAGUUUGUAGCAUUUUCUGGAAUUUCCUAUAUAAGAAUAAAUCCAGUAAAUGCUUUAUUGCGUCAGCAGUGCUUCAGGGUGACGUCAGCGGUCAAUGGGGAUGGUUCAGGUGAAACCUAACCAGUGGGUCCCGCGUGUCAGUGUCAUUAGUCUAACUAAUUUUUAGUUAGUCCUAAUCCUAACUUAAUUAGCAGGUGGGUCCCACCUUUCAUAGACCCAGGGGGGUCAAACCAGUGGUCAAACCCUGGUCAAACGAGUCAAACCUGCCAGCGACGCGAUGCCGGCGAGGCCAGACGCGGUGGGGCACCUCGGAUUUCACCUACAGGGCACCGUUCGAGGCGCCGUUGGGCUCUACGGGUAGCUGGCGCAACGGCGCGUCCGUUGGUGGUCGUGGCUGGGCCUGGGGUGGCCGGAGUCAACGACGGCGAGCUCGGUUGCGGCCGCCGGAGUUCGGGCGCGAGCGGGGACGCGGUUGCAGUGGCCGUGGCGAUGUGCGUUUAGCACCUACGGUGUCUACGUGGUGGGGUGAGUUCGAUGGGCGCAUGCCCAGGACCAAAUGGUCACCAGAGCAUCACCGGAGACGAGCGCGGGCGGCGACGCGUUCGGUUGCAGGCGAGGCGGCGGCUACGACGCAUGAGGGGAAAAAGGAGAGGGGGAGCAGGAGCAGGGGCUCACGGUGGGUGCGACGAGCUGCUCAGCGGGCUCGGGGAAGGUCAGAAGCGAGCGGGGCGGCGGAGGUGAUCUCGUCGUCAGGAGGUCGAAGACGAGCUCGGUGAUGACGUUCGGGGGCCUCCGACGGGGCGUGGCUUGGUGAGGCGGUCGAGGAAGAAGUGGCGAAGCUUCUGGGCGCGUCGGCGAGGCGUGGGGUGGCCGGUGGCUGCGGGUUUCACGUCGGCACGAGCGCGGCAGCGUCGGCCGUGGUGAGGAGAGGCGAGGGAGAGAGGCAGGGGGCGUGUGAGGUGUCCACGGGGUCGAGGUGCCACCGCGGAGGCGUUUCGAGGCGUCACGCUGGCGUGAGCGAGGGCAGGCAUGCAGGGAGGUGGCGUGGCGAGCUCGGCGGUGUCGCGGUGUCCCUCCUCUGCCUACUGGCAGAGGUAGGUGAUGACUGGCACAUGCCAGAUGGGCCGGGCCAGCCAGGUAAGUGGCCUUUCUGUUUUCUAUUUUUCUGCAACUGUUGGGCUUUAUUAAAAAUACUAAAACGUUUCCAGAAAUCCUGAAAAUAAUUGUGGGCUCUGUUGGGAUUAUUCCUAACAGCCCUCACUUAAAUCCAGAAUUAUUUGGGCAUUUAAAAUAUUUUAUAGCAUUUAAAUGCCCAAAUGCAAAUAGGUAAUGAUUUAAUCCAGUGACCUUACGUGUCCUAUAAAAGUGUGAACCAAUUUUGGCAGAGGUUCAAGACCAAGGCAAAAAUAAUGGAAAUUUUUGAAGGGCAUUUCAGGUUCAUUGGAAAAGAUUUUAGUAAACCCUAGUUGUUUUCAGGGGGUUGCUGGGGGUUCUGUCAUCCCCAUUUCAACUUCUUGAGAAAAUUUAACAUGAUGACAUGAUGAACAUGCAAGGACAAGCAAAGGCUAAGCUAGGGCUGUGACAACUCACCCCCACUAAACAAGAAUCUCGUCCCGAGAUUCAAGACGUGAGGUAAGAAGACAGAGGGGGCACAAGACCAACACAAUCUUCGCGAUCCAGGUUGCACCUCAUAAGGUUGUUGAUUCGUUGCAUACGUUGAUCUUGACAUCCUCGCUUUUGAGAUCUUCAUCCACGCAAUGACGACGGAAAGAAACUCUACUAGGAUUGAUCUUCUCGAAGAUCGAGCUAUACAAGAUCAACUCGUGGAAUGAGAUGUUGAAACAUCUCGGGUUGAGACACAAAACACAUCGAGAGGGAUGGAAGAACAAAUGACGAGGUUUGAUUUAGUGGGCAACAAUCCCACGCUUAGAGAGAUGGUGGGUGGUGUCAAGGUGGCCUGGAAAUAAUUGCCAUGAUCCUAUAAAGGGGCACCUCGGGGGAGGUGACUCGUAGAGUUAUUCCCUUAAAUGGCAAAAAGAAUUACUUUUGAUAUCUAGAUCAUUGAAACUCUUUAUACCAGCCUAAGGCAAUCACAAAUGAUCGUUUGGCAGAGUUCAAAGGAAUGGCAUAUCUGGAUUCGAAUGGAUGAUGUGGACUACCUUGUUGAAGACAACGCGAUGGAUGAUUUUGCUUAUCAUCAGAAAUGGAUGGGAUCCAUGGUAGGACCACUUUUGAAGAUGAUCCUAAACAACAAUUACUGAGAGGGCAACCCAUGAGAAUUGGUACAAUGGCGGUGCAAGCUGGGAACAAAAUGCAACUGUUGGGAAUGUUCCAACGAUCAUAUCUGCCUGAGAUUCAGAUCCGAUUGGUGAUAGGAUACUUCAGACUCAGCAUCUCCGAAAAGAAAGUUUGCACACAAAUCUACGAGACGAUCUUGCGAGAUUCUCGAGAUAUGAACUAUGAUAGCAAGCUCCAAAACAUGAGAUGGUUCUGCUACAUACAUGUGAGCAUGUUGUCCAAGACAAGAAUGACCACAUAGUAGUCUUAUAAUAAAACACUAUCGAGUUCUGGUCGGGAACCAUUAUCAAGGAUUUCAAAGUCUUUAUGCAUGUCCAUGGAUUAGAUCCCAAGCAUAGACUUCUUUUCCUUGAACAAGUCAAUCAGUGGCUUGGUGUGCUAGGGAAUACAUAUGGAGUGGAGGUAAUUAAUCUACCAAACCAUAGAAUACAUUCGCACAUGCAUAACUGACUUGGGAUGGUACUGGAGGAAACAAAAACAAUCUUUCUCGAACUCACGGCAGCAACUUGCACCAAAUGUACAUGAAUUCGAGGAAGUCACUUCUUCCAUCCAAGCAUAAGCUUCAUGAACGGAACACGAAGGCAUUGCUUACAAAGUUUCCAACACUAGGUUGAUGUUCAACAUGAAUCAUGGAGGAGACAAAAUGCUGCUGAUGGGCUCAACAACAACUCAUCGGAAUUUCCAUAUCACUGGACUUCCACCAUCAUGUGAACACGGUGAUAGCAUUGGUCGGACCAAACGAUGUAAUGGUGUAUGCUCGAGGGAUCAACCACGAGUAAGACAACAUUACGAACAUCGUUGGUUCUGAUUUGACUUGACGAUAGCCCAUACUCAAGUCAAAGUUUUGACAAGACAAUAGAUCCAACAACUGAUCACGAGGACCAAUCGAUGGAGAUAUCAUCUUUCUUCAACACACACACACACAAAAAGAUAUCCCUUAACAUGAACUAAGUCAGACAAGCUUUUAUCUUCCAACUCUCCAAGUUGUUGUUUGGCUUAACCAACUAGCUCAGGGGUAUCCAACACAGAUUCUUGGAGAAUGGGUGGUUUGGAGGAAAACCAACAUGAUCACGAACUCAACAUAGCGGUCAGGUGACAACCUGAUAGUACUUCCGAGAAGAUAUCCGGAACAUCACGAACCACCGAUAUGUUAAUAAGCUCGAUAACAAUCUUGCUUUUCAGGGAAAGACGUUGUGACCAAGAGAGUGAUGGAUUGACACAAUCCUAUCUCAUUGAUCGGAGAGUGCACCAGGAAAUAUGGACUAGGUAGCACGAUCAAUCUUAGGAUGAUGAUUCAAUAACCAGCACGCUAAGAGUGAGAGUAUUGUCCAUUAACUACCAAGCAACGAGGUUGCUAUGAGUAUUGAUUUCACACAUCACAGUUCACUUGUCGGCAUUCCGGUUACAACAACACGGGACCGAGGAAUAUAUAAUGAUGGAGAGAAGUAUCACUACGUCAAGAAUUCAUAAGAGGUGGUGCAAUUCUCAUGACAUUCUUGACAUAAACAUGGUAACACUCCAAGGUAGAACAGAGAAAAAGCUGGAUUGGCAUUUUGAUCUGCGGAAUACAAAUACUUUGACCCAAUCCUAGAAAUGGAUGAGGUACUGAAGUUUUUUUCUCCUAGUCAUUCCGGAAUAGAAUGGCUUGACGGACCACAAGAGUAAUAGGCAUCAAUGAACAUGAAUGCACAACUAUUCCUGACUAUCAAUUGAUAGACUAGGGUCGGAAUACAGCUGAGGAGGGUCAACUCAAGGAACAUAUAACUUUCUGAGUUGUGGAUGCAUAGAUUAGUAUGUCGAACCAAGUUCAACAUGUUUCUUCCAGAUAAUCCAUGCAGAAAGGUAGGACUGGCAGAUUCACAAUGCAGAAUGGAGAAAUCAUCAAGAGCACUCUCAUUGUGAUGUUUUGGUUCAACAAGGAACUUCUGCCAUAAGUAGUUCAUGGUAUUGGGAGAAAGAUCUACCACGGACCUUGAGGACUAUCGCAAAGGUUACUAAUAUCCUAAAGGAGCUAACAAACACUAUCAACAUGAAGUAAGUAGGGUGAAUUUUGGGCUCAAAACCCAGGAGUAGAAUACCUACUACUAAGUAGCAUCACGGGAUGCUUUCGAGAGUAAUGGCCGGAAUCAUCACACUGGGGAUACAAAGCAUUGCUAGAGUACUGGGUGGUUCUCUAAGACGACUGGGGUCAUAAUAAUGGCUUGAACAUAUACGCCGAGGCAACAGAGUACCUCAACAGACCGUUUAGUGUGCUUAAUCUGGCCCAAAAGGGCAUCAGGAACGGGAGGAAGGGAUUUGCAAAUGCAUUAGACUGUUUAGAAACCUGGGAUGACUCAGACAGCAUAAUGACUGUAAAUGCUCAGAAAAAGAUUUGAGACAUUCACAAGGAUUUGCAUAGUCACUUAACAACAUCAUAUCAAGGUUCUGGUUCAGCUGACAACAUACUAAAAGUAGUAGAAACUGAAUUGAGGCCUUGAACCAACAAUCCUAUAAGUCUCUAUCAUAGUAAUUCGUCAUCCUAAUAGAUAGAUGAGAAGGCCUAGUUCUUAAUCCCCGUAGAAAAGAAGAGGAUGACUCAUAUUAGAGGAGCAUAAGGUAUAAGGAGUAAAAGAGCCUUACGUUCCCUUCCACAAUCAACUCCCUUAUAUAACUAAAGCAUUUCUACACACGACUUCGACCGGUUUGGCUUGGUAAUCCUACAGGCAGUCAGGCUCUGAUACAAAAGCUGUCAGGACCCCGAUUCCAAGUCACAUCAAUCUAGCCGGUAACACCUCAUAUCACUUUGCGGCCUCACGAACGGUAUUCCCAUGGGUGUCGCCUUACCAUGGCCCGGGACCGUUUGCGCCUUUUGGCUCAAGUAUAUGAUAGUGUCGCUAGCAUCCAUAUGACAGAGAACCCGGGCCGACAUGACUAGUCAUGAACCCAAAGUGGCACUAACUUACGGGGACAGGCAUACAUGAAUCAACAUCGAGCAUGUCGGUCAGCAGCGUGCAAAUCCGGGCUGUAGCACUGGGCUAACAGGACUCCGGUGAACCGCGCUGUAGCAGGCUAGGCAGGACUCCGGAUGUCACCGCGUGACAUUUCCCCGAAGGGACAGACACAGGAACAAAGUGAAUCACAUGCCGGCCAGUCAAGUGUUCCGGAGCAGUAGUGCUGGGCUAGCAGGACUCCGGUGAACCGGGCUGUAGCGGACUACUAUGGCUCAUGGAAGCACAAGACUACAUUUCCCCAUAAGAGAGGCUACCAAGGAUAAACAACUAGGUUGUCGGAUCCCACACAUACCAAGCAUUUCAAUCAUACACACAAUAUGCUCGAUAUGUGUAAAUACAACAUGGCAUCACAACAAGACUCUACGACUCAAGUAUUUAUUCAUUAGGCUCCGAGGAGCGAGAUAUUACAAACAUGGGUCUCAUGACCCCACAUUCAGAGCAUACAAGUCAAAGCAGAUGCGGAAGCUUAACAUGUCUGAGUACACACAUCUACAAAUGGAUAAUGCUGAGAAGGCUGACUAUCUACCAGAUCCCGCCGAGGGCACAAGAUCAUAGCUGAGGUAACAAGCUAAACAUCGAAGUCCACGUGGAACUACUAGUGAGACUGACGUCUCUCUGCAAAACAUAAAAUAGGCAAACGUGAGUACAAAUGUACCCAGCAAGACUUACAUCAGAACUAACUACAUAUGCAUCGGUAUCAAUAAAGGGGUGGUGGAGUUUGACUACAGCAAGCCAGCUUUGACUCGGUGGCUAUCCUGAACUACGAUUGCAAAUAACUCUUUUGAGGUGGCGCACACGAGUCCACAUAUUCACCAUACCAAUACACCACUAUGGAUCCGCUCCCGUCUCCCUACGAGAACGCCAUCCAUAGCACUCAUGCUUAUCUUGUGCAUUUUAGAGUAUCCACUUCAAGUUAUCUAUGAAUUGUUAUAGGCAACCCAGAAGCCCUUUACCGCAGACACGCUAUUCGAAUAGAUCAUUAUAACCCUACACGGGUGUACUUCUUCACACAUGUUUCCACCACUUAGCGUCUGCACACGACAUGUGCUCGGCACACUUCAAGCGAAAGCCGACGUGGGUGUAGACCACGACCUGACUAACCACACAAGUCUCUAGUCUAGGUUUAUUGCCUAUUCGGGUUCCAUCCGCGAGGAGAUCCGGCCGGAGUUUCGCUCACAGCCCCAAACGAUGUGUGCAGGGUUCCCGAGACACCAAACGGGCGCCCGGUACACCAUGCCAUGAUGUAUCUACCGCAUCAUAGCCCACCCCUAGGGUCAGCGCUACGCACGGCCUCCAACACAUAUCCUACAAUCACCAGAAACUAGUUGCAACUCCUGGACAGAGGGCAAGGGCGGUUAAUAAGUCGAGCGGGGUCAUAUUUCAGGGCCCAACGUGUGGUAGUAGCUGUUCAUGGAUCACAAACACAGAACUUAGUUCCUGAGGACGGUUUCAAUGAGACAACCCACCAUGUACUCCUACAUGGCCUCUCACUGCUACCUUUACCAAAUCGUGUUCGCACACUUAGCUCACACACAGUAGGACAUGUGCACCACCAUUCCAAUUCAUCCCCGAUGAAUCAGACCUGACUCAACUCUAAGCAGUAGCAGGCAUGACAAACAAGCAUGAAUGAGUAGGCACAUCAGGGCUCAAACAACUCCUACUCAUGCUAGUAGGUUUCAUCUAUUUACUGUGGCAAUGAUAGGUCAUGCAGAGGAAAGGGGUUCAACUACCGCAACAUGUAACCGUUGAAUCAUUGUUGUCCUAAUGCAGUAAAAGAGAGCAGGAGCGAGAGAGUGGGAUUGUAUCGGAAUGAACAAGGGGGUUUUGCUUGCAUGGCACUUAAGAAGAUAGCGUUGGGUCUUCAUCAGUGUCAACGAUCACAGCGUCGGAACAACGUCUACCGAGGGGGAACAACACCGGCAACAAAGAAAGAACACAAUCAAUGCAGUCCACAAUAUGAUGCAUGAUCAUGACAUGGCAAAAUGAGUGUGUUUUGGCUAAUGCAACUUAGAAUAGAUCGGUUUGAGUUCAUUUGAAUCAAGGAUUCAAAUGCAAACCCAAAAUAAGAGGUCAUAUUAGUGCAUUAACUUGUUUCACCUAAACAGCAAGGUUAAAGUGUUCUAACAUGCAUGAAACCAGUACAGAUGGAAAGAUUGGAUUUUUCUGAUCAAAUUUCAUAUAUAAAUCUUUGCAUUAGGAGUUACAGAUUAAUUUCUAUGAAUUUUUGAAGUUUGUAGCAUUUUCUGGAAUUUCCUAUAUAAGAAUAAAUCCAGUAAAUGCUUUAUUGCGUCAACAGUGCGUUAGGGUGACGUCAGCGGUUAAUGGGGAUGGUCCAGGUCAAACCUGACCAGUGGGUCCCGCGUGUCAGUGUCAUUAGUCUAACUAAUUUUUAGUUAGUCCUAAUCCUAACUUAAUUAGCAGGCGGGUCCUACUUGUCAUAGACCCAGGGGGGUCAAACCAGUGGUCAAACCCCGGUCAAACGUGUCAAACCCGCCGGCGACUCGACGCCGGCGAGGCCAGACGCGGUGGGGCACCUUGGAUUUCACCUACAGGGCACCGUUCGAGGCACCGUUGGGCUCUACCGGUAGCUGGCGCAACGGCACGUCUGUUGAUGGCCGUGGCUGGGCCUGGGGUGGCCGCAGUUAACGGUGGCGAGCUCGGUUGCGGCCGACGGAGUUCGGGCGCGAGCGGGGACGCGGUUGCGGUGGCCGUGGCGAUGUGCGUUUAGCACCUACAGCGUCUACGUGGUGCGGUGAGUUUGAUGGGCGCAUGCCUGGGACCAAAUGGUCACCGGAGCAUCACCGGAGACGAGCGCGGGCGGCGACGCGUUCUGUUGCAGGCGAGGCGACGGCUACGGCGCAUGAGGGGAAAAAAGGAGAGGGGGAGCAGGAGCAGGGGCUCACGAUGGGUGCGAUGAGCUGCUCAGCGGGCUCGGGGAAGGUCAGAAGCGAGCGGGGCGGCGGAGGCGACCUCAUCGUCGGGAGGUCGAAGACGAGCUCGGUGAUGAUGUUUGGGGGCCUCCGGCGGGGCAUGGCUCGGUGAGGCGGUCGAGGAAGAAGUGGCGGAGCUUCUGGGUGCGUCGGCGAGUUGUGGGGUGGCCGGUGGCUGCGGGUUUCACGUUGGCACGAGCGCGGCAACGUUGGCCAUGGUGAGGAGAGACGAGGGAGAGAGGCAGGGGGCGUGUGAGGUGUCCACGGGGUCGGGGCGGCGCCGCGGAGGCGUUUCGAGGCGUCGCGCUGGCGCGGGCGAGGGCAGGCAGGCAAGGAGGUGGCGUCGCGGUGUCCCUCCUCUGCCUACUGGCAGAGGUAGGUGAUGACUGGCACAGGACAGAUGGGCCGGGCCAGCCAGGUAAGUGGUCUCUGGCCUUUCUCUCUCUCUCUCUUUUCUAAAUUGUUUUCUGUUUUCUAAUUUUCUGCAACUGUUGGGCUUUAUUAAAAAUACUAAAACAUUUCCAGAAAUCCUGAAAAUAAUUGUGGGCUCUGUUGGGAUUAUUCCUAACAACCCUCACUUAAAUCCAGAAUUAUUUGGGCAUUUAAAAUAUUUUAUAGCAUUUUAAUGCCCAAAUGCAAAUAGGUAAUGAUUUAAUCCAGUGACCUUAUCUGUCCUAGAAAAAUGUGAACCAAUUUUGGUAGAGGUUCUAGACCAAGACAAAAAUGAUGGACAUUUUUGAAGGGCAUUUCAGGUUCAUUGAAAAAGAUUUUAGUAAACCCNNNNNNNNNNNNNNNNNNNNNNNNNNNNNNNNNNNNNNNNNNNNNNNNNNNNNNNNNNNNNNNNNNNNNNNNNNNNNNNNNNNNNNNNNNNNNNNNNNNNNNNNNNNNNNNNNNNNNNNNNNNNNNNNNNNNNNNNNNNNNNNNNNNNNNNNNNNNNNNNNNNNNNNNNNNNNNNNNNNNNNNNNNNNNNNNNNNNNNNNNNNNNNNNNNNNNNNNNNNNNNNNNNNNNNNNNNNNNNNNNNNNNNNNNNNNNNNNNNNNNNNNNNNNNNNNNNNNNNNNNNNNNNNNNNNNNNNNNNNNNNNNNNNNNNNNNNNNNNNNNNNNNNNNNNNNNNNNNNNNNNNNNNNNNNNNNNNNNNNNNNNNNNNNNNNNNNNNNNNNNNNNNNNNNNNNNNNNUUUCAGGGGGGGGGGGGUGCUGGGGGUUCUGUCAUCCCCAUUUCAAAUUCCUGAGAAAAUUUAACAUGAUGACAUGAUGAACAUGCAAGGACAAGCAAAGGCUAAGCUAGGGCUGUGAGAAAAGGCGUGCGAAUCCCAGGGUCGGUCAAGCCGCACUAUGGAUCGCGAGCGAGUUAUGCCUCCGUCGGUACCCAUGGGGUUUUGAGUGCGUAGUUAUGUACGCGCGGUACGGAUGCCCUUUCCUCAUCAGGGCUGGGACAGAGGACUAAUUUACUAAUUCAGCUCUUAACGAACCGAGCUGCCCUAUUUGCAGUGUAGUCCGGACCUUCUUAACGAUGUCCAGGGGCUUGGCGGCCUGAUUAUGGUACCGCUUGAGAAGGCCGCUCUGUACUUCUGCUGCAAGGGCUGCGGUGUGCUCCUCUGUAUGGAGGGAAUGUUCCGUGUUUCCAUUUACUGUAAUGACGCCGCGUGGACCGGGCAUCUUGAGCUUGAGGUAAGCAUAGUGUGGGACUGCGUUGAAUCUAGCGAACGCGGUCCGUCCGAGCAGUGCGUGGUAGCCACUGCGGAAGGGGACGGUAUCGAAGAUUAACUCUUUGCUUUGGAAGUUGUCCGGAGAACCGAAGGCCACCUCCAGCGUGAUUGAGCCCGUGCAGCGGGCCUCAACGCCUGGUAUGACUCCUUUAAAGGUAGUCUUUGUGGGCUUGAUUCAUGAGGGAUUAGUGCCCAUUUUGCAUACUGUAUCCUGAUAGAGCAGGUUGAGGCUGCUACCACCGUCCAUUAGGACUCUUGUCGUGUGAAAUCCGUCGAUGAUUGGGUCGAGUACCAAUGCGGCCGAACCGCCAUGACGGAUGCUUGUUGGAUGAUCACGACGAUCAAAGGUGAUCGGGAAUGACAACCAUGGGUUGAAUUUUGGGGCGACUGGCUCUACCUCAUAUAUCAUGUUCACCGUUUUGACUUGGGGCGGGAAUUUCUUCUGUCCCCCAGUGUUCGGCUGCCGGGGCUCCUCGUCAUCGUCCUUGCUCUACGAUUCCCCUUCCUUGUUUCUGCCAUUUACCUUGUUGGCUUGCUUAAAGACCCGACAAUCUCUGUUAGUAUGGUUGGCCGGUUUGUCUGGGGUGCCAUGUAUCUGGCACGGACGAUCGAGUAUGCGGUCCAAGCUGGAUGGUCUUCCGCCGUUCCUUUUAUAGGGCUUCUUUCGCUGACCGGACUUGGAGCCACUGAAUCCGGCGUGAACUAUAGUGUCAUCGGUGUUGUCGCCAUUGCUCCGGCGUUUGUGUUUGUUGCGCCGGAGCUUGCCGCUGCUGUUUUUGGCCUCGGAGGGGCUUGCAUCGUUGGCUAUGUUUGUACUGCGAGCCAGCCAACUAUCCUCUCCCGCACAAAAGAGGGUCAUAAGUGCCGUGAUGGCUGCCAUGGACCUCGGCUUUUCUUGGCCGAGGUGGCGGGCGAGCCAUUCGUCACGGAUGCCAAGUUUAAAGGCCGCUAAGGCUUCGGCAUCCGGACAGUCGACGAUCUGGUUCUUUUUGGUUAGGAACCUAGUCCAGAAUUUUCUGGCGGACUCUCCAGGUUGUUGAACUAUGUGACUUAAGUCAUCAGCGUCAGGUGGCCGGACAUAAGUGCCUUGGAAGUUGUCAAGAAAAGCUUCUUCCAAGUCCUCCCAGCUGCCGAUGGAAUUUUCAGGCAGGCUGUUUAGCCAGUGUCGAGAUGGUCCUUUGAGCUUUAAUGGGAGGUACUUGAUAGCGUGGAGGUCAUCUCCUCGGGCCAUAUGUAUGUGGAGAAUAAAAUCUUCGAUCCACACUGCGAGAUCGGUUGUUCCGUCGUAUGAUUCCAUGUUGACGGGCUUGAACCCCUCAGGGAAGUCGUGAUCCAGCACCUCAGCUGUGAAGCAGGGAGGGUGUGUGGCGCCUCUAUAGCGGGCCGCGUCAUGGCGCACCUCCGAUGAAGUCCGUCUGGGGUUAUCGGCCCGGGUAUGAUUAAGUUUGUCAUGUCCGAAUAGGUAGCUGUCAUCCCGAGUAGGGAAGCGUCCUCGCGAUCCGUAGAUUGAUCUGGUGUGUCCUAUUCUACUGUCCAAUUCCUACCGAAGGUCAUAUUUAUGGUCCCGAGUUGUUCUGUCCCUGUUUUUGCGAGGCAGUGGGGCGGGCUGUUGUUCGGCCUGAGUUGCCGUUUUAUCCCGACCGCGGGAUGGUCGGUCCGACGUACUAUCCCGACCACGUGGUGGUCGGUCCGCAUUGCGCGAGGGAGGUAUGGGAUCUGGUGCGUCCUCAUCGAACUGAGGUAGCAGUCUGCAUUUUGGGUAACUCUUGGCUGGGCGCUUGAGGCCGUAUUCUUCGGCUGCCAGGACAUCGGUCCAUCUAUCGAUGAGUAGGUCUUGAUCUGCUUGGAGCUGCUGCUGCUUUUUCUUCAGGCUUUUUGCAGUAGCUAUGAGCUGGCGCUUAAAGCGCUCCUGCUCGAGGGGUGCCUCAGGUACGAUGAAGUCCUCAUUGCCAAGGCUCUCAUCAUCCUCGGAGGGUGGACGAUAACUAUCAUCAUCUGGGUCAUUCGGCUUGGCCUGUUUACCAGGGUUAACUUGCCCGUUGUCUUGUUCCUCCUGUUCGGAUGCGGCCCCGACAGGGUCUUCAUUGUUUUCGGCAUCGCCCGGAGUACUAUUCUCUCCGGUGCCAGUCUUGCCAUCUUUUAAGCGACGUGACUUAGAGCGGAGUUUAGGGCGCCAGCGCCUGGACUGCGUCUCAGAGGGUUUAUUCGCAUCUGGCUAUUCUUUGUCGUCGCCAGAUCCUUUAGGUGUAUCAACCAUGUACACAUCGUGUGAGGAGGUGGCCGUCCAACGUCCAGUGAAUGGCGGGUCUUGGCCUUGCUCCUUGUCGACAUAAUUUUCCAUACCGUCGAUGUCUUCGGAGCCAUAAUAGAGUUCGUCGGUUAAGUCCUCGACGGUAGCUAUGAAGUGGGUGGCGGGUGGGAAGCAAUAUUCCCCAUCAUCAGCAUCUAACUUGAACCGAACAUAGUUCGGCUGCGAGUCCUUUUCCAAGAACAAAUUCUUUAAAGAGUUCAGGACAUCGCCCAAAGGUGAGUGAAAACGUCUGUGGCGCCGAAUUCGAAGAUCGAUAACCGAUCUAGCUCGGUGUCUGCAGGCGUACACGGUCCGGAACUUAUAGCCGGAGACGAGUCCGAAGUUCUGCUGGCGAAAAUAUUGCAGGGUGUCGAGUCCGUGUGCGGCUCGAACGCCGUGGACUCUGUGGCCUUGGAUGGGACGAUCUGCUUCGGUUCGAAGGCCAUUGCAGCGACAGGAACCAUCUCCUGGAUGUGAUGCGAUGACAGAUUUAAGUCAUGUUCAUCGGGGCGAGGGGGAGCGAUCGCCGUGGUUUCGAAUCCGUUGAAGAUCAAGUCUCCGUGGACGUCCACGACGUAGUUCAAGCUUCCAAAUCUGACCUGAUGGCAGGGGCAUAGCUGUCGACCUGCUCCAGAUGGCCAAGUGAGUUGGCCCGCAGUACGAAGCCGCCGAACACAAAAAUCUGUCCGGGGAGGAAGGUUCCUCCUUGGACAGUGUCAUUAUCGACGCUUGAAGGGGCCAUCAUACCUUUUGUCGACGGCACAGUGGAACUCUCAAUGAAAGCACCAAUGUCGGUAUCAACACCCGCAGAUCUCGGGUAGGGGGUCCCGAACUGUGCGUCUAGGAUCGAUGGUAACAUGAGACGGGGGACACGAUGUUUACCCAGGUUCGGGCCCUCUCUAUGGAGGUAAUACCCUACUUCCUGCUUGAUUGAUCUUUAUGAAUAUGAGUGUUACAAGAGUUGAUCUAUCACGAGAUCGUAAUGGCUAAACCCUAGAAGUCUAGCCUAUAUGACUAUGGUAAUGUGUGUAUCCCUUCCGGAUUAACCCCUCCGGUUUUAUAUAGACACCCGGGGGGGGGGGGGACCUAGGGUUUACAUAGAGUCAGUUACGUAAGAAGGAAUCUUUAUAAUCGGUCGCCAAGCUUGCCUUCCACGCCAAGUAGAGUCCAAUUCGGACACGGGUACAAUCUUCGGCCUUCAUGUCUUCACAGCCCAUCCGUCCGACCCAUGGAUAAUAGGCCGGACGCCCGAGGACCCCUUAGUACAUGACUCCCUCAGGCACCGCACACGGCUAAGACAAAUCUUGGUGUGCCUUUGGGGUGCCCCCUGCCCACGUAUAUAAAGGAGGGAGGGAGAGAGGCCGGCCCCCUAGGGGUGCGCCAAGAGUAUGGAGUCCUACUAGGACUUCCAAGUCCUAGUAGGAAUCCCUUUCCUUUUCGGAGUAGGAGAGAAGGAAAGAGGGAAAGAGAGAGGGAGUAGGAAAGGGUAAGGGGGGCGCCGCCCCCUUCCCCUAGUCCAAUUCGGACCCAUGGGGGGCUCCACCUCCCCUCUGCCUGCCUUCUCUUUUGCCAUAUGGCCCAAUAAGGCCCAUUACUUCUCCCGGUGAAUUCCCGUAACUCCCCGGUACUCCGAAAAAUACCCGAAUCACUCGGAACCUUUCCGAUGUCCGAAUAUAGCCUUCCAAUAUAUGAAUCUUUACCUCUCAACCAUUUCGAGACUUCUUUUCAUGUCCGUGAUCUCAUCCUAGACUCCUAACAAUAUUCGGUCAUCAAAUCACAUAACUCAUAAUACAAAUCGUCAUCGAACGUUAAGCAUGCGGACCCUACGGGUUCGAGAACCAUGUAGACAUGACCAAGACACAUCUCCGGUCAAUAACCAAUAGCGGAACUUGGAUGCUCCUAUUGGCUCCUACAUAUUCUACAAAUAUCUUUAUCGGUCAAACCGCAUAACAACAUACGUUGUUCCCUUUGUCAUCGGUAUGUUACUUGCCCGAGAUUCGGUCGGCGGUAUCAUCAUACCUAGUUCAAUCUCGUUACCGGCAAGUCUCUUUACUCGUUCCAUAAUGCAUCAUCCCGCAACUAACUCAUUAGUCACAUUGCUUGUAAGGCUUGUAGUGAUGAGCAUUAUCGAGAGGGCCCAGAGAUACCUCUCCGAUACACGGAGUGUCAAAUCCUAAUCUCGAUCUAUGCCAACUCAACAAACACCAUCGGAGACACCUGUAGAGCAUCUUUAUAAUCACCCAGUUACGUUGUGACGUUUGAUAGCACACAAGGUAUUCCUCUGGUAUUCGGGAGUUGCAUAAUCUCAUAGUCAGAGGAACAUGUAUAAGUCAUGAUGAAAGCAAUAGCAAUAAAACUAAACGAUCAUUUAUGCUAAGCUAACGGAUGGGUCUUGUCCAUCACAUCAUUCCCUAAUGAUGUGAUCCCGUUCAUCAAAUGACAACACAUGUCUAUGGUCAGGAAACUUAACCAUCUUUGAUUAACGAGCUAGUCAAGUAGAUGCAUACUAGGGACACUCUGUUUGUCUAUGUAUUCACACAUGUACUAAGUUUCCGGUUAAUACAAUUAUAACAUGAAUAAUAAACAUUUAUCAUGAUAUAAGGAAAUAUAAAUAACAACUUUAUUAUUGCCUCUAGGGCAUAUUUCCUUCACCAUGAGGGUAAAUGGGUACCCACGGGUAAAAUUACCCAGAUUUGCAACACAUUAAUUUGAGCAUUACAUAGUCAUAAACAACAACUUAUAAUAAUAAUUUACAAACAACAACACAUCAUCAUAGCAAGGCAUACUCGUUCGUGGGCUAGAUAUUGUGGUGCGGCGGCCUAGCAUGAAUGCAUGAUGAGGUCCUUUCAUGGCUGUGGCAUUUAUGUACAUGUAAUAUGUUUAAUAUGUGGAUAGAUAAUAUAUAGGGCCUAUUUCUUAGAUUAUAUGCGGGUACAUGGGUAUGGGUUAUACUAAACCAUACCCGUACCCACUAUACUCGAUGAGAAUGAAAUUUUCCUAUUUAUGUACCCAUGGGUGUUUUUUUGACGCAUACCCUAGCCUUGAUAGGGUUUUUACCCGCAGGUUACGCGGGUAAUGGGUACCCAUUGCCAUCCCUAACCGCCCCGAGCCCCCAAGGCCCUCGAUGGCACAAGUUCCUCCUUCUGGCGAAGAAGGGCGGGGGAGCCAACGCCAGCACCGAACACCUCCAAUCGGAUGGUGGCUGGCUGGCCAGACGCGCUGGAGGAGUUGGUAAAAAACUCCGUCAUCGUCGACGAACAGCACACUCUCAUGAGUGCGGUUAUGCAAGGUGUUCGGUCAGUCCAAUCUAGACUGAAAGACGCUGUCCAAGGCCUUCUAGCAGGCUUUGAGGUAAGUCGAGUAAUGAUCUUUUCCCAUAAAUUGGAUUUAGUCCUUAGUUUGGGUAGGCCGUAUACGUAGCAGCCCCCGAGACUCUUUAAGGACUUCAUAGGAGCAUGCAGAGGAUCAAAUUCAGUAGGCUGAUUGAUAAUGUCGACAUUUCUCUUGCUGACGCAGGAAUCUUCCAUGGCUGCGGCUGCUAAUGCCGCGGCACUAGAGGAGAUGGAUUGGAAGCUCAAGCUUGGAAGCUCAAGCUUUCCGAUAAAGAGUUUGACCUUGUCAACAAACUGCUUGACGAGGCGCAAGGUAAGCCCUUUGAUAAGAUAUGCAAUUUACUUGGCACCGGAUAUUGAUGAUCCAGACUGUGAGGUGAUCCUUUAUUAUGUUGAUCUUGCAGUGGCCGCCACCGAAGUUGAAGGCUUGAGGGAAGCCUUGAAGAAAGCAGAGGCGGAGGCGGCCGCAAAGAAAGAGGCUGCCGACAAGGCGGUGGCCGAGCUCAAGAAUACCCAGCGUGCUGCUGAGGGGCACAAGGCUCGAGUACCCGAGGUGCAAGGGGAGCUCCAGGAUGCCGCCAAGAAGAUGGAGGUCCUUGAAAAGGAGCAGGGGAGCAAUCCUCCAAGUUGUCCAAGGCGAAGAAGGAGUGCUAGGAGGCGAGGACCUAACUGCGAGGUGUCCGGGAGGAGCUCCACCAAGCUGGGCAAAUUGCCAAUGGUAAGAAAUACUUACUACAGAGUGUGUUUGGAGGCAACAAGUUCGCCUUGCUGACGCCCGUCUGGCACUCUGUAGGCGUCUUCACUGAACUACCAAAGAAUGCGGCGGCCGCAGCUAAAUACUAUGCCACACUCGAGGAGGACUCCAUGCAACGGCCUUUCUGGUCACAGUUUCUGGCCUCCAAGCGUCCUCCCCUCCUUAGUGAUCAGAUGAAGCAGCUGGUGGAGAUGCAUCGAAUGUCCGAGCUAGCCACAAAGGACCUCUGUCGAUCUGUGGCCUGUCGAGCCCAUUCCGGGCACAUACUUCGGCCUUGUGCAAAAGCAGCGGGUGGCGCUGCUCCGGAUUGACGCCAUGAAGCGCUCGGCGUGCCUUGAGGGGGCGAGGCUUGCGUUUGCAAAGACCAUGGUGCAUUGGCUGAAGAUUAAUCCAAUGGACAUGGCCACUGGUCCUCCGCCCAAGGGAAAGAGCAUCACCGCCCUGAGCAGUAUUUUGCGCAAGUGAUGAACGGCACGCGGGCGAUAGAGGGCCAGUGCUCAAAAGAUGUAAUGUUUGAGUAAUUGUAUCAAGUUUGUACUAAUUGGAUCUUAUGCUUUAUAAUGCGUUCCCUUGACUUGUCUUAUAUUGUCAUGAUUUAAUUUUGACUCCUAUGCUGCUGUAUGUUUAUUCUGAAAGCUACCAUUCGUUGGCUUCAGCCCCCAGGUGAAUAUCACGAGGGGUGUUUUGUCUCUGCAUUGCUAACCUUAGCCAACGUCUUGGUACCCGAAGGCGGUAGUGCGCGAGCGAAACCAGGCAAUCGGACUAUUCGGUUUUAUUGCUUUCACUUAGCCUUAGGAGCUUGACAGUGGGGGCUAAGGACUAGCCCCCCAUGUUUUGUGAUGUACUUGGGGGCCAAUACCCGCCCUUUCCGAUCACAUGGUUUGUGUUAAUACGAACCCUUCGUGUGACACGGUGAAAUCGCCAAUGAUUUGAAGAGUCAAACCUCAUCAUCGGAUCGCUGAUCAGUUUGCGCUUACUAUGACGGCCAGUUUUCAGCUUAAUCAUCCUAAGGUACUUGACCGGGCGAGCCAGAAUUACAAUCGCAGGGGGUCUCCUUUUGCCGUCUUAGCCAAACGUGCGGAACAUAAGGGGCAAACACAGGAGCCGGGCAACCCAACUAUCGACCCCAGACAUAGUUCGGUACUUGAUGCAUAUAGUGCAAUAUCUGAGAUGCCGAACACUUAGCAGGAAAGCAGUGUCGGACUUGUGAGCCAAGCUGAUGGGGAAAUCAGGCUCUAUGUAAGGUAAACGAUUGGCUAUUGGAAGAGCGAGUGGAAAAUCAAAAAGACAAUCGCAAGAUGCGGGUAUCCGAACACCAUACAGGGCGCUUUAUUAUUUCUUGCUAGCUCAAGACGUCAAACCAUACAAUUCGAAUAGCCAAGGCAUUAUUCGUAAUAAGAAAAAGAUUUUUACAGAGUAAAGGUUUACGCAGAGCCUUAAUGCGUGAGUCGAAACCUUCACUUUGCCUUGCUGCACAUCUGCGCCUUUGCUUCUGGGAAGUGGGGGUUGGGACCUUCGAUGAAACCUUAAGGGGCGAUGGUCCUGUCAAUGAAGCUUUAAGNNNNNNNNNNNNNNNNNNNNNNNNNNNNNNNNNNNNNNNNNNNNNNNNNNNNNNNNNNNNNNNNNNNNNNNNNNNNNNNNNNNNNNNNNNNNNNNNNNNNNNNNNNNNNNNNNNNNNNNNNNNNNNNNNNNNNNNNNNNNNNNNNNNNNNNNNNNNNNNNNNNNNNNNNNNNNNNNNNNNNNNNNNNNNNNNNNNNNNNNNNNAAGGUAAGUCUGAAGUUUGGGCUAGCCAAACACGUUCUUCGGAUUUAUUGAUAUAUGCCUCACGGCUGCCCAUGGUAUUUUAAGUGCGAAAUUGUGCUGACGAGGCAUGUGGAGCGCGAAGAAUGUGGGCGUGCCAUGGGGCGCGCGUCCCUAUUUGUGGCGAACGCAUGCGGGUUCCCAUGAUGGGGAGUGGGUUUGUGCCCGUUUACUGUUGUCGCCGGCCUUUACGGCGAGUCGGUGUUGGGAAGUGUACGGUACGGCUUGGUCUUCGGCUGCUAGGGCCGCAGUGUGCUCUUCGGUUCGAAGUGAGCAUUCUGUAUUGCCGUUGAUAGUUACGACGCCCGAAGGACCAGGCAUCUUCAACUUGAGGUAUGCAUAGUGCGGGACAGCAUUGAAUUUGGCGAACGCUAUUCGACUGAGGAGGACGUGGUAGCCGCUGCAAAAACGUGUAAUGUCGAAGAUCAGGUCCUCGCUUCGGAAGUUAUCUGGAGAGCCGAACACUACUUCAAGCGUCACAGUGCCUGUGCAUCGGGCCUCCACUCCCGGAAUAACCCCCUUGAAGGUGGUGUUGCUGGGUUUGAUCCUUGACGGGUCGAUCCCCAUCUUCCUCAUUGUGUCUUCGUAUAUCAGAAUGAGGCUACUACCUCCGUCCAUUAGGACUCUAGUGAGGUGAAAACCAUCGAUGAUAGGGUCGAGCACUAAGGCUGUGGACCCUCCAUGACGUAUGUUGGUCAGGUGCUCCCUGCGGUCAAACGUGAUCGGGCAGGGUGACCAUGGAUUGAACUUCAGCGCUACGCUCGACGGAAUAUACGUCUUGCAGCGCUCGCUUCCUUUCCUUCUUCGGUAUGUGGGUUGCAUAGAUCAUGUUGACCGUCUUGACAUUAGAAGGGAAGAGUUUCUGGCCUCCAUUAUUCAGUCUGCGGGGCUCGUCAUCGUCCUCGCUACGUGCGCAUUUGCCCGAGUCUUUGGCGGUGAGCUUUCCGGCCUGCUUUAUCACCCAACAGUUAUGGUUGGAGGGGUUCGCAGGCUUUUCGGAUGUGCCAUGGAUCUGGCAGGGCCUGUCCAGAAUUGUGUCUAACCUAGACGGUCCGUGGCCAUUGCCUUUAGGGUCCUUUUUUCGUUGUUCGGACUUCGGGUUUCAGAAUCCGGCGUUUACUACUGUAUCCUCACCUUCGUCGUCAUUGUGGCGACGUUUAUUUUUACUGCGUCGCGGCUUUCCAUUUUCAUCCUGGACUUCAGAGGUACCAGGGGUACCGGGAUUGGUGUUUUUUCGAGCGAGCCAACUGCCCUCGUCCGCGCAAAAGCGGGUCAUGAGAGAAGUAAGGGCUGCCAUAGUUCUUGGUUUAUCCUGGCCGAGCUGUCUUACGAGCCAUUCAUCCUUGACACUAUGCUUGAAAGCGGACAGGGCUUCAGCGUUCGAACAAUCGACAAUCUGGUUUUUCUUGGUCAGGAAUCGGUUCCAAAACCGUCGGGCAGAUUCUCCGGGCUAUUGAGUGAUGCGAUUUAGAUCGUCAGCGUCCGAAGGCCGGACAUAGGUGCCCUGAAAGUUCACUCGAAAAGCGUUGUCAAGCUCUUCCCAGCAGCCUAUAGAGUCUUCGGGAAGGCUAUUCAACCAGUGUCGAGCUGGACCAUUGAGCUUUAGUGGCAAAUAUUUAAUGGCGUGGAGGUCAUCUCCUCGUGCCAUGUGAAUAUGGAGGAGGAAAUCCUCUAUCCAUACGGCCGGAUCUGUAGUUCCGUCAUAUGGUUUGAUGUUCACAGGCUUGAAGCCUUCUGGGAAUUGGUGUUGCAUUACCCUUUCUGUGAAGCAUAGGGGGUGUGCAGUGCCCUGAACUCGGGCGACAUCACGUCAGAGGUCUUCAGACAUCCGAGUCCGCUGCUAUUCUCGAACUCUAUCGUUACGGUUCAGCCAAUCAUAAUAUCCUUCUCGGUGAGUGGGCGGAUCUUCUCUGGGUCCGUAGAUGGACCUAGAACGGCCUCCUCGAGCGUCUAGGUCGUGGCGGAGGUCGUAUUCAUAGGACGGCCGCACUUGAUCCUUGCCGUGAUGGCGAGGUGGUGCGGCGGGAUGUUCGGCCUCGUUCGUUCUUCUGUCCCAUCCUCUAGGGGGAGGUCCGGCUGUUCGGCACGUGUGUAUGCUAGAAGUGUUGGCUCUAAGGCCUCGUCUUCGAAUUGCGGCAACAAUUUUCGCUUAUGAUUGCUCUUGACUUGCUGUUCAUGGCCGUACCCUUCUUCGGCGGCUAGGACUUUGGUCCAUUGAUCAUUGAGGGUGUCCUGUUUGGCCUUAAUUUUGCGCUUUUGUUUCUUCAGGCUGCGGGCGGUGGCUAAAAGCCUCCGCUUGAACCGUUCCUGCUCCAGCGGGUCUUCGGGGAUGAUGAAAUCGUCCUCCCCGAGACUGGCCUCCUCUUCGGACAGUGGGAGAUAGUUGAUGUCUUCAGAGUCGUCGGGUUUUCCUGGGUUGAAUGGGUCCUCCUGCCCCGCGGGGUCAUCCUGAUAAUGUUGGUUGGCUGUGGCUCCGGUGAGGUCAUCCGUAUUAUUCUCGGUGCCGUUUUCCGCGAAGUCCACAUUGCUCGCAUGGCUUCGGUGUGGCUUUGACCGGCGGCGUUGUCUUCGGCGUUUGGGAGGCUCAUCUCGGGGCUUGCCUCGGUCCUGAUUGGGAGUGCCGUUGCCGUCCUUCGGGGUGUCCACCAUGUAAAUAUCAUAGGUGGACGUGGCCGUCCAGCGGCCGGUGACGGGGGGACCGGCAUCGGUGUCAGCCGUGGCUCCGCCAUCAUCAUCCAUGUAUUCGGAGUUUUCCAAAUUAUAAUCUAGCAUAUCGGUGAAAUCAUCGACAGUGGCUACCAGGUGGGUGGUGGGUGGGACAGAAAAUUCCCCGCAGUACGCCUCGAAGGGUUGAUGGUUGUGGGCGGAGGGCUGGUCCACCUAGAUGGUCAUUUUUUGGAUUUGGUCCAGUUCCUCGUUUAACAUAGCGAGGGUCGCCGGAUUCGAGGGCUCUAGGCCGAAUUCCGCUGUGACAAGGUGGGGGCAGUAAGUGCCCUAGCCGGUCCUUUGUUUCCACUGGCCGAGUUAAGCUCGGGGCGCAAUGCCGGACUAUCACUGGAGAUCAAGGACGUGCCUUGGUAUUUGUGUGUGGUCUCCCCAUCGGGGUUCGAGAUCGAGCCGCUUCGGGCCGAGGGCGGCCCCUGGCCAUUGGCUAUAGCUUCGUCGUAAGGGCUUUGUGACACCCAAAAAUUUUAUUUGGCUUUUUCAAACUUUUAUUUGAUUUGAGGGAGGUUAUUUAAAAUUUUCUUCUAAAGAACUCUCCCUCUCAAAAAUUUUCUUUUCUGACAAGUAUUUUGUUUGGAUUCACUCAAGACUUGAUCUUUGGUCUUGGAGGUUUUUCCAUCUUAUGUUGACUCAACACAAAUGUUUUUCAUUUGGAAAAGUUUUUGAAAAUCUUUUUAAAUAGCCCUAUGGCAUUUGGAGUGAUCUUUUCCCUUUCAAAAUCUCCUCUUGCCAUGACAUGAGUGGAAAUCCCCUCCCAAAAGCCAUUCCCCAUCUUUGUGUCAAAAUAAACUUCAAAUCCAGCAAGUUGAACUUCCCCAUGAUUUUUCUUCCAUUUAUUUCUUAUCAAAAAUAUUUUCUGCCUUCUACUUUGGCUCUUGGAGAUUUACAAAGGAACUACCAUUUCUCCUUUGAGUUUUGCCUCCAAACCAUUUUCCCUGGCUAGUCCUUAGAGCCCUCAACUAAGAUCCAUGAAGAUCCACUGGUCUCGAGUUCAAAAAUUUCAAAUUGUGCUUGCUGCAAGUUUGGACCAUAUUUGUCAAAUUUGAUGAAAUUCAUUUGUUUUCUCCUCCUAAAAAUCUGAGAAAAUUCAGGCAGCCUCUGGAUGCAUCGAGAGGUCACCUCACCAAGUCCCAGCUCCAGAAAUUUUUUCCUCAUGCCAAAUCAUUUCGUCGAACAACUGAAGGGCACUGUUACUGUCAAGUUCAGAAAAAUUCAGAGAUACAGUUUCAGUGGCCGAUGUCGUUUUGUUCAGAAACCUAUCUCGAUCUCUCCAGUAGCCGCGGUGGCGCCUUGCGCCCUGUGCUUCCUUCUUAUCCCUGCGCCGCACGAUCGCCUGGAAGCUUGCGGGCGUCGGCGACGAGCUGGUGAAGGUGCGCCUCCCCAUGAGCGACGGCAGCAGCGCCCUUUGCGGCUGCCAGAGAGGCGCAGCGUUGGACGGCGCCGUCCAGCGCCGCCCAAGCCACCAGAGGCCACCGCGUGGCCGUCCACUCACCCGUGCACGCUGCAGGUCCAUCAUCGUGAACUGGUAGGCGCGGAGCGCGCUCCCUGCCGCCGCCGUGCCCGUACGGCCGUUCCGUCGAGGACCGGCGUAUUACACCAAGCCCGACCGAGGUUUAGCGGAGGAACGGUGCCAGUGAUCCUCCACGAUGAUGCCUAGCCACCUAAACCCCUGCCCAACCUCUGCCUCGCCGUAAUUUCUCGCCGGCGUUAUCCCGUUCACGGCCACCCCCUCGGAUCGCCUAUAAAAGGAGGCCCCGAGCUUGAACGUGAACCCGCACCAUCUCUGCACACCACCAGUACCACGCCAAGCCACUGGGCAGCCCCCGAGGAAGUCUUCUUCCCCAACUCCGGCCGCCUCGACCCGCUUCGGGACCCAGCACGAUUCACUCCCGUGCGUGCACCCCUACUUCUCAGCUCAUGCCAGUAGUCUCCUAGUGCAUCCACCUCUCUGACCCGCGCAUCAAUUUGGAGUUUGCAGCACCCACCGGAGUAUUCCACCAUCGCCCGAACCACCGUUCGCCGGAGAUAGGGUCGCCGUCGCUGUGGUGCUCUCCGACGGUCAAGUCCACCACCCACCGACGUGGAAGAACGCCCUGAACCCGUAGGUACCCUCCGAUCACUCUGCCUCUCCGUGGUUCAACGCCGGCGACCACCGCAGCCUUCGGGCGCCGGCGAGCUCCGUUGGAAGUUUUGAACCUGACGGGUGGGACCCCCCCGUCAGCCUCUCUCCUUUCUCCUUCGAACCGUUUUCUGAAAGCGCCUUUGGGCAAAAUGUGUUUUCUCUCUGGGCUAACGUAUUUCUUACCGAAGCGUUUUCUGGUUUUUCAAACAAGUCCCUGGUUCUUUUCUGUUUCAUCAUAGAUCAGUCCUUGGACUAAAACCCUUAUAUCUUUUAAAUAAAAGAUGUUUUUUGAUUGAUUCUUUUUCUGUCAGUCUUAUAUUUUUGUCUAGUUUUUAUAGUAUUUAUUUGGAAAAAAUUUGGAACAAUUUUUAUACACGCAACGGUUUUCACGUUAGUAUACGGUUUCGUUAUACCGUAGGUUCCGGAGGAGGUGACGGAGCCGCGAACUUCGCCGAGCUAGACUCCGACUUCUCCGAACCAGGCAAGCAUGUUUGAACCUUUGAUAUGAUGAGUGUUUUGCAUGUUUUCUUGAAUGGUUUGUGCAUGGCAUAUGAGCAUCGGUGAGUGUUAUGUUGCAUGCAAGGCAACUAACCGUGUGCUUCGAAGUUUACUGUGAUCUUUGAUGAGAGAUGACCUGAUCAUGUGGUGACAUGAGAGGUAGUAAGAUGGUAUUGUUGUAGCAUGCCAGUCUUAUGUCAUCCGAUAAACUCCGACGUUAACGUGGACCGAGCCACGUUACAGUUCGUCCCCUCCUGUGCUGCCACAUGUUUUCUGCCAAGAAUACGGUUUAGUAAGUUGCUAACCUCUUUCCUUGUACACACCAAAUAGAGGGGCCGGGAUGAGGGUUCCAUGGCCCUGGAUUAAAGCCAGUCAUCCGGUCAGGGGGCAUGGGUGUUUCCGGUUGGGACCGAGAGGGGGGCACCCCUUAGAGUGCGCGGUAUAAAUUUGAUCCCAUGCUACGCAAGGUUGUAGCCUCCCCGUCUCAAGGUUUUUCUUGAACGUUGCUUGGGGUGAUUCCUGGCAACGGAAUGUUGAAUGGGUGUGUACUGGUUAGACGUGUUUCUCCUAAAACACCGUAAACGGAACUAGUCCCUUGUGACUACUGAAAUCCGUUGGCUGUGGUUAAAUAGUACAAGCUCUGCAGAGUCAAAUCCUUCCGAGUCAUCGUGUCCAUGGUCAAGGACCGUGGCUAGUAUAUCCAUAUCCAUGUCAGUCCUUGUGUCAGUCUCCGCGGUAAUCCCCGGUGAACAAGCUUGAGUGGUAAACCCGGUUGAACGUUAUUCCUGUGGAUGGACUAACCUAUUAUUAUUUCGUACCUGAGUAUCUUCUUGAAAUGAUUUGACUUCAUGAGCUACUGAAAUAUUGAGUUAUGAAAUAUAAGCCCUUUAUGUGAUGUCGCUCAGACGUCCGACUGUGGCACCCUUGUCAUUUACUUUCAAUAUAAGCCCUUUAUGUGAUGUCGCUCAGACGUCCGACUGUGGCACUCUUGUCAUUUACUUUUGAUAUAAGCCCUUUAUGUGAUGUCGCUCAGACGUCCGACUGUGGCACUCUUGUCAUUUACUUUUGAUAUAAGCCCUUUAUGUGAUGUCGCUCAGACAUCCGACUGUGGCACACUCGUNNNNNNNNNNNNNNNNNNNNNNNNNNNNNNNNNNNNNNNNNNNNNNNNNNNNNNNNNNNNNNNNNNNNNNNNNNNNNNNNNNNNNNNNNNNNNNNNNNNNNNNNNNNNNNNNNNNNNNNNNNNNNNNNNNNNNNNNNNNNNNNNNNNNNNNNNNNNNNNNNNNNNNNNNNNNNNNNNNNNNNUGGCACCCUUGUCAUUUACUUUCAAUAUAAGCCCUUUAUGUGAUGUCGCUCAGACGUCCGACUGUGGCACUCUUGUCAUUUACUUUUGAUAUAAGCCCUUUAUGUGAUGUCGCUCAGACGUCCGACUGUGGCACUUUUGAUAUAAGCCCUUUACGUGAUGUCGCUCAGACGUCCGACUGUGGCACGCACUGUCAUUUAUAUUCCAUUAUAAGCCCUUUAUGUGGUGUCGCCUUGACGCCCGACUGCGGCAUUGUUAUUUUAUUUGUAUCCUUUCCAGGAGUCAUUCAGACACUCGAUUGGCCUUCAGUAUUACAUUGGGAUUUCGGAAGGACUACCGCUCAACUUCCUUUUUAUUUCCCAUGCAAUGCUAUCUCAUUGUCUGAGUGCGCAUUAUUAAUCUGUUCAUAUGCAUCAUGUUUGCAUUUGUUAUAUCUUAUGUCCAAACUGUCUUGCGAGUACUUUCAUAGUACUCACCUGGCUUGUUGAUUUGGCCAGAUGUUGACGAAGGCGAUCUCAUGGAUGAAGAGUUUGAUAGUGAGUCCGACGCCUAGCGGAGUCCCAGUCAGUCCCGUGCGAUCCUGGAUUUUGGUCACUUGUAUUAUAUACGCUUCCGCCACCCACAAUAAGAAUCCUCGAGCCUCACUCCGACGCUCGAUGAGCUGUAAGAUUUAGGAGUCAUGUCACCCACUUCACUGUGACAUAUCCACCACCGCUUCUUUUAUUACGAGUCAGUAGUUAUGCCACCAUAUCCGCCUUUAUGUUUAAUAUCGGCGUGCUUGCAAUAAAUUGUUGAGCAGUCUCCGCUCAACCUUGUAUUAUAUUUAGUACUCCUGGUUUUUCUUCUGUGAUCAAGAAAUUGUCUACCAGUGAGAAGGAUUCUUCUCUACUGGUCCGUAAAAGGGAUCAGUUUCUCAAUAAAUAUUUUUAUUGGAAAACCGGUCGUGACAGGCUUAAAGCCGAAGGAGCGCUAUGAAGGAAAGGUUCGGUCGAGAUUGACUCUUGGCUUCUACUUCUCGAUUCUGCCACGAAGGCGAAGGAUGGGUCCUCCACCGACACGAUGGGUCCGGCCGACGGUGGAGUCUGGCCCUCGCUUGAAGAGGAGCCUUCCUGGCUCGAAGCCGUUUGGAGGGUGGAGGCCGAUCCGUAGAUCAGAUCGGAGGAGGACUCCUCACACUACAAAAAAAAGACACAUCCGUGACAUUUUGGGCCGAACGAAAUUUUUUCUAUCAUACUUAUGACACUUCUAUGACGAUAAUCGUGACAAAACCCGGUAUCAUCAUAGAUGUGGUGGGCUCCUACUUCUGUGACAAAAAAUCAUGACAGAAAAUGGGCUUUUCGUCCUGGGCGGGCCGAAGCCGCAGCUGCAUGACAUUCUUUGGGCAGUCCAUGACGAAAAAAACCGUGGUAGAAGCGAGGGCGAGGAAAAUAUCGGGGUGUUCCCGGUUACAGUGGGUGGUCGGGGCCGAGCGAUGCACGGAGGUUUGCGCGUUUCUCUCAUACACACACACACACGUGGGUGCGAGGCAUUGGGCUCUAACUGAACCCGAGCGAGGCGUUGGGCUCUAACUGCACCCGAGCAAUUGCACUGCAGGCUACGCGUUACUGAACCCGAGCGAUCAAUCGAUGGUUGUUAACUGAACCCGAUCGAGCGAUUCCUUCACUACUGCUGCUAACUGAAGCCGAUCGAUGCUACCUCUGGAUGAACAAUGAGCGUUGCUGGGGGGUUUGGAUGAACAGUUCCCGGUGGGGGUGGAUGAACAGGACCCCGUGGUGUUGCCUCUGGAUGAACAGGACCCCGAUCGGUCGAGCCGGUUGGGGCUAGAUGAACAGGACCCCGUGGAGGGCUGGAUGAACAGGACCACCCCGUGGAGGGCUGGAUGAACAGUAGACGGUGGAGGGCUGGAUGAACAGUAGCCCGUGGAGGGGUGGUUGAACAGGAGCCCGUGUGGAGAGGGCUGGUUGAACAGUAGCCGGUGGAGUAGCGCGCUGUGGAGGCUGGAUGAACAGGAGCCCAUGGAUGAACAAUCGCAGGUGGAGGCUGGAGGAGGUCGACGGUGGAUGAACAGUAGCCCGUGGAGGCUGGAGGGGGUCGACGGUGGAGAUGAACAAUAUCCCGUGGAGUCCCGUUUUGCGGUACGCCACACCCCUCCCGAUGAACAGGACCCCCGUUUCGACCGUAGCGCUCCAACACAAGUCUGUUUCCUCCGUUUUGCGGUACGCCACACCCCUCCCGAUCAAUAGGACCCCGUUUUGAUCAUAGGAGGUCCGUUUCCUCCGUUUCCUCCGUUUUGGGGUACGCCAGACCCCUCCCGAUGAACAGGAUCCAGUUUCGAACGUGGCCGGUCGAACACAAGGCCGUUUCCUCCGUUCUGUGGUACGCCAGGCCUUGUUUCCAUUGGCUGUUCCGUCCAAGCCGGUUGGCUCCCACGCGUUCCAUUGCCUCCUCAUGAACACGACGCAUUCCGCUGCCUCCCCAUGAACACGACGACGACGCUGUUUUUUUUGUGGGCGACGACGACGUUGUUUCUCUGUUCCGACCCAGCCAUGUACACGAGCCCUGGCCGUACAUACGCGCGAGUAGGCGUUCGAGACCCCGCCCGUAUGUGCGUACGUGGUCGUAUUUACUUUCUUGCACCCUGGCCGCUGUACGCAUGUGUACAUGCUACGUGUGCGCCUCUACUACAACACGUGCGAGCCUCUACAUCGACCAGUAUGUACGUACACGUUCGCGGCCAGAAUGACAACGCUACGUACUCUUCGACCAGGUGGGUCCCGACUGUCAGGCACUUCCUUGUGUGCGAAGAUGUAGCUGGUGGGUCCCACCAGUCAGGGGGGCGAAUCGUUUUUUUGCCCGGAUGCACUUCCUUGCAUGCGAAGAUGUAGCUGGUAGGUCCCAGCAGUCAGGCGGAAAUGUUUUUGCUCAUGAAAUAUGGUUGCCCAUCUGGUGGGUCCCUACUGUCAGGUGGAGGAAUCAUUAUUUUCCGCCUAAUAACGAGGCACUUCCUUGCUGCGGCUGUUCACCUAGCUGUCAACCUCUCCACGUACAGUCCACGUCCGAUGGAAGCCGUUCCUUGACCACGUUGAACACGCCGCGCCGAGAGCACCGGGGCGGUGGAUGAUGGCGAGGCCUAGGAAAGGUAUGACGCGGAGCCGGGGCAGACGCGGCAGUGGAUGCCCAUGCGAAGAGGAGUAUGAGGGUUCACUGGUUCAGCUGCGGUGUGAGGCUGCCGUCGCCGUAGAAUAACAGGGGGUGUGGGUGAGUAGAGGGAUGGUCUGGCCAGCGGUGGGAGUAGUAGGGGGCGGUGAGGCCUCCGCGGCAUCACAGCCGGCCACGGGAGGCAGGAGCACACGAUACGACCGGCGCUGGUUUGGGCGGCUGGAGCAAGAAGACUAGAGGUUGAAGAAGCUCUACGGCCGUUGGAUGGACAUCGUACGGUCACUGGAGCUAGAAUCGUUCAUAUUGACUAAGUUGACAAAGCCCUCCGUCCCCGUCAACUUAGUAGGCCCACAGGUCAGCCUCCCACCAAUGUGGGUCCCAGCUAGCAGGGGGAGUAUUCAUUUUUUUCUGCGUAAUAAGGAGGCACUUCUGGUGGGUCCGAGCUGACAGCGGGGGGAACGUUUUUUUCGUGAAAUAUGGUGGCCCAUCCGGUGGGUCCCAGCAGUCAGGGGGGAAACUUUUUUUCGCAAAAUACGGUGGCCCGUCUGGUGGGUCCCUACUGUCAGGUGGAGGAAUCAUUAUUUUCCGCGUAAUAAGGAGGCACCUCCUUGCUAAGGCCGUGGACCCAGCUGUCAGCCUCUCCACAUAUAGUACACUUCCGAUGGAAGUCGUUCCUUGACCACGUUGACCACGCCGCAUUCUGUUGCAUGCAUGCGUGCAUGGGCGUGGUGCGUCCCCACUGUCAGCCUCUCACGUACAGUCAUCUUCCGGUGACUCUCGGUUGUUCACCACAUUGAGCACACCGUGCCAAGCGCACCAAGGCCGGUGGACGACGGCGAGGCCCCAGACUGGAAUGACCAGGAGAUGGGGAAGACGGGGCAGUGGAGUCACAGAUGGAGAGGAGUGGGAAACUUAACUUGUUCGGGUGCGCGGCAGCACAGCAGCGGUGCCGCCCACGGGAGACAGGAGCAAGAACCGAGGUUGAAGAAGGAGCACGGCUGUUGGAUUAACAUCCAACGGUCCAGCUUCUAGAAUCAUUUCUUGAUUAAGUUGACAAAGCCCUGCGUACGCGUACGCUUAGUAGGCCCACAAGUCAGCCACCAAAUCUGACGGGUCCCAGCUGUCAACGGGAGGAAUAAUUUUUUUCGCAUAACAAGGAGGCACUUCCUUCCGUGCGAAGAUACAGCCGGUGGGUCCCAGCUGUCAGGUGGAGGAAACAUUUUUUCAGCUUAAUAAGGAGGAACUUCCCAUGCGUGCGACCAUGGACCUCGUGGGUCCCAGCCAUCAGGCUCUCCACGUACAGUCCUCUUCCGAUGACUCUCGUUUGUUGACCAUGCCGCACCGAGCGCAGCGAGGCGGUGGACGACGGCAAGGCCCCGGACGAGAAUGACUCGGAGAUGGGAAGACGCGGCAGUGGAGUCACAGAUUGAGUGGAGGAGAAGGGUUAUAACUGGUUCAGGUGCGGCGGGGGGCUGCAGUCGGUGGAGAAUAACAGGAGGUGUGGAGGGGUGGAGGGAUAGCCUGGCUGGCGGUGGGGUAGCGCUUCGCAGCAAUGCGUGCUAAGCAGAGCCGCUAGCCGCCGGAGGCCGGACCAGGCGGUCCCAGCGACGCUGUAGGAAGAAGACGAGAGAUUGAAGGUGCAUGCCGGCCGUAGGAUAUAAAUCCUAUGGUCGUGGAUGUCAUAAUCAUUUGUCGACCAAUUUGACAACGCCCUGCGUAGGCUUCGACCUAUUGGCCCACAUGUCAGCCUGCAAAAAUGUGGCAUAUAUUUAACCCGUGUUUUCUAGAAUGUACAGUUCAUUUGCUGGGAUGGGUGAACAAAUAAUUUCGCGUCAAUGCGGCCCAUUUAUAUUUUCUAAGGAAUCCCAGCCCAUUUGCACUUCCUUCAAAUACACGAAUUAGCCGGGCUCGUUAUAUAUAUAAUGUUAUGUUAGAAGGAGCAAUUAAUAUCAAAAAAUAAACCGGAGAGGCACAUUUUUUAUAUACAUAAUUAAAAAAUUAGCGAGUAUUGCUCAAAAUAAAAAUGAGCGCGUUAUUAUUACAUUGGUCCUUAAAAUCUUCGCAAGCUUUUGUACGCAAUCACCAGGAUUUUCCUUGCCUGUGAGUCAAAAACAACCAGGAUUUUCCUUGCCAACUUCUAUUAAACAUUUACUUUUAUAAGUUAAUAGCACAUGUGAUGUUUUUAUAAUGUAUAUAUAAGUCUCUAUAAAAUAUACGAUAAUAGUAAUAAUAUAAAUAUAUAUAAUGUGGUUAAAAAAAUACAUUGGGCUGCCGAUCUUUAAGAAAAAGCCCAUAGGCCGGUAUGGACCUCAAAAAAUAAGUUGAAACCACUGUCACCGUAUGUCAUGGGAUACGCAUGUUAAAAUACAAAACCUAGGCCUAGCUGAUACUUGUUCGCCCUCUGGAAAAAAAUGAUACCAAAUCCCCGAGCGAACUGGAUUAAAGAGGGGGCCGGCGGUAGGACUGAAGAAGCACAUCAAGAGCGAUUUCUUCUUCAGUGGAUGGCUCUCGAUGGCGUUUUUUUACUUGCCUGUGCACCAUACAACUUGUAUUUUUAGCCUCCCAGUACGUGGUGGACCAGCAGCCCAUUUGCUGGGCGGGCCAACCUACAGAAACCAGCACUCGAUUUUUCAUCAAGCCCCCAAAAAAACGCAGUACUAUGUUUGUUUUGAGGCCGAAAACAUUACGGCAGGGGUUGAGCGGGGGAGGGGCAAGACAGAGCAAAAAGAUUAAAAAGAGCUAAUGCGUCGUUGCUACCCUAACAAAGCAGGUGCAAUUCUUCUCGGGAAGAAGGUGUGCCAUUGACACCCACACAUCACAUACCCCACGGUAGGCAUACUAACAAGUUCACACACAAGUACAACAGAAAAGGUAAACAUUCGUAGCAAACUCAGGUUCACAGGGCACGUUCAUAUUCAUAGCCAACAUUCACUAUCAACAACUCAAAAGAUUCAUAUAUACACAAGUUCAGCAUGUCUAUGGAUCCAAAUGAUUGAUAGAUCACACAACAAUAUUCAUAGAUAAUUCACAAAAAGAUUCAGAUAUACACAUGUUCAGUAUGUUUAUGCAUCUAAAUGAUUGAGAUCACAGCCAAUAUGAUCCAUGGACAAACUUUAAUUACCUAGGGUACAGACUAGUAAAUGGUGUUCAGUCGGAGGUACUUCUUGCUAAAAUUAAUGCUUGUACGAGUAAACUUUCGAGUACAUAAGAGGUAGCACAGACAAUCUGAACUUUGCUUGUAGGUUUUUCCUCAAAUAGUGGCCUCGUGCCGAGGGAUGUUUGAGCAACUUGGCCACUACUUUCAUCCAACUAGUUUACUGGCUCAUCUUGGUCCUGUAGCUUGCCAAAAUUCUACAUUGCAGACUGGCAAAUGGUGUUCAGUCGGAGGUACUUCUUGCUAAAAUUAAUGCUUGUACGAGUAAACUUUCGAGUACAUAAGAGGCAGCACAAACAAUCUGAACUUUGCUUGUAGGUUUAUCCUCAAAUAAUGGCCUCGUGCCGAGGGAGGUUUGAGCAACUUGGUCACUACUUUCAUCCAACUAGUCUACUGGCUCAUCUUGGUCCUGUAGCUCGCCAAAAUUCUACAUUGCAGACAAGAAAGGAGGCGGUUGAGAAAAUGAACCACCCAAAUUUUUUGUGCAGUUCAACUGAAAUGGAGCAUCGCUGGCGUGCAGACUGAUUAAGUGCCAGAUGAAUAUAGGUGUCAACCAACUUGUCUGGAAUCUUUAGACUCCAUGCCAUAUAGUUCGCUACCAUAUCUGCCGAUAACCUAAAGGCACAAGUUAGGACCAAAGACUGGACUGCGUUUUUCUGGGCUACUCCAUGCCAUACAGUUCGCUACCAUAUCUGCCGAUAACCAAAAGGCACAAGUUGGGACUGAAGAUUGGACUGCGUUUUUCUGGGCUAUGCGCCAAGCAAUAUUUUUGGCGUUCACUCUCCUAAUAUUUGGAGUUUGACAACUGGUUGACGCUGGUUGAUACUCGAAUGAAUAUAGGCACUUCUUCUUGUCAACAUCGAUGCUUGUCUGAGUGAACUUUGGAGUACAUAGUAGCAGCAUAAGUACCUGUCCAUCUGAUCUUUUUGUGCAGUUCUACUGAAAUCACCCAAUGUAAUGAUUUGCCUGCGAGUUCAGGCUCCAAGUUACUCCUUUAUGAAAUCGACAAACAGUAGCACAAUACCAAAUUACCAAUACAUAUGACAAGCACAAUAAUUAGGAUAAAGACCAGUACCAACCUUUGUGAGGUAGCAUAUCAAUUACUAUUUCCUUUGACUGGAAGCCGAGAUAAGCCAAGCGACUGACAGUCGAGGAAGAAUGCAAGCCCAGAUUAGCGACAGACAGGAAAGGAAGGAAGCUGUUGAGGCAAUGAAACACCCAAAGUUUUUGUGCAGUUCCACCAAAAUCGAGCAUCCCUGUUGGCACAUAUAUUGAGAGAGUGAGAUUACUGUAAUAGUGGGACUAGUUGAAGAAACAUAAACUAACAAAUAGAAGCACCCUCAUUAUCUUAAUGGGUAAAGUUAGCAACAUAGUAGUCUUGCUUAAAGAGAGGUAUUUGUUUAUUUAAUCAGUGCCAAUUAGCUCAACACUCAAAGCAUUGCCAUGUAUCAUAGGUUGCAAAACUUUAAUGUGCAAAGAUAACAGAGUUUCUCAUGAUAGUAGCACGAUACAAAUAGAGAUGACAACAAACUAAUAUAGAUGAAGGCCUUAGGCCGGUACAAACCUGAGGAAAAAAGCUUAUUCACAUAGUCCCAUAAGAGAUGAUAAAGCACUCACUGGAAUCACUCAAUAGUGUAUAUUUUUGUGCACUUCAAAUGUAUGGUUGAAAUCACUCUUGUUUACCAGUGCUGAGAUUAUAUCGAAAGAUUACCAAGAACUUCUAGCAGAGUUAAAGCACUGGCUAGGAUACAGUUCAUUGUAUUGUCUUGUGUAGUUCCACUAAAAUGUAUGAUUGGCACAACAUGAUCCCUGUUUGCACAAGUAGGAACAAGGUGAAACCUUCAUUAGCUUGGUGAGAAAGGAUAGAAAGACAUUAGCAUAUUACUCUAACAGUAGCAUCAAAUUCAUGAUGGACAAUAUGCAAAACAUUGCCUCAUUAAACCAAUGGCAAUAAAUUGACAUGCAAAACAAUAGCACUAUUAUGUCAUGACACUAAUAAUAUUCCCUCCCUGCUCCACCACAUGAUUCACCUCCAUAGACAAACAUACACACGUACAUGAUUCAGCAUAAGGUGCUACUAAAGAUUUGUUUAACUCCGACAGGAAAAUUAGGCAGCAAUAAAUUAGUGGUACUUAAGUACUCCUAAUUAAUUAAGUGACCUUGCAGGAGAGACAACAUAAGUGGAAGGGCUCCCUGGAGGAUCGUCUCACAUGUAAGGUAGACAUUGCCGGAGCCCUUGAAUGGCCUCGACUGAGGCCUCUGGCUUCAGCAAGAUCACCUUGGCACUGUUUAUUCUUCUUCUUCUUCUUCUUCCUCUUCAUCCUCUGUUUCUCUUUCUCCUCACCAGUUGGUGAAACCAAGUACAUGAUUGGCCUUCUAUUUCUGAGUUGGUUUUGUCAGGGAGGGAGUACAAGUGUACUAGUAAACAAUAGCAUUAUUUUCUCAUGGGAGUCGCAGAAUAGAGAUGAACACAUGCAUUAAAUAUCAUUCUUACCUAAAGGAAGGUUAUGGUGCCAAUAUUGAUGAUGAGGAUUGGAACACAUAUCUCCCUUUGUGCAGUUCCACCGAAAUGAAUCCACUAUUCCAUUCUGACAUUCCAGUUAAACAUCACAAAAGUCACUUCUUUUAAGAAGUGUUUUGUGUAGUGCACCAAAAGGUCACAACAACAACAACCUGGUGAAAUGGAUACCCCUGUUUGCACAAAAAGCUACAAUGGAAACAGUCAAAGUCCCAAACAAUUACAAGCAAAAACAUUUGGCUAAACUUGUCAUGGCUUAUAACAGUGGCAUGGCUUCAUUUUACCAGGGGCAUUAGAUUAAGAACGGCUAAAUAUUUGGUAUAAGGGCAUGGGAUAGUGGGUGCACCAGCAGUCCAGCACCAUGUACCUAAACAGGGGCAUAAAGUGGCGAUUUAGAGUUUGUUGCCCCGAGAAACAAACAUCCAAGAAACAUAUCUGGGUUGGUCCCAUUUUUGUUCACUCUAGCCACCUACUCCUAUGUGUGGAUAGCAAAUCUACUCCUGGUCAUACCACUGUGUACAGCGUUACCCCGAGAUUUCCCUUUUCGACCAAGAGACCAGUUGGAUGACCAGUCUGUACUACUUUCACCCCCUUUCCUUCUUGUUUGUACCAAGUCCGAUGUACAUACUAAAUUACCCCACCCCCACUUUAUUUCUUGUUUGAACCAAGUACAAGAUUCGACUCCAUGAAGUAGCUUUACCUCUAACAAUAGAAGAAAAAAAUAGGUGACGUUGGACCAUCCGACCGAGAGGGGCUGAGAGGUAGAAAAUGAUGCACAUGCAGCGACGUAGCGAGAUGGGGAAGUAGAGCUAAGGCGGUUUCGAAGGAAGAUAUACCUGAAGGUCGUCAGGAUGUGGAUAGGUGGGUGGAGGGAGGCUGGAUCCGCCCACACUAGGGAAACGACGAAGGGAUCGGAGGACCUCCCGCGUCGGCGCUCCGCCAGAGAUAACGGUGCGGCCGGAAGUGGGUCUCCACCCUCGCUGUCGACAACGGCCUAAACGCUGCCCCUCCUCCCCUUCACCGGUGGAGGGGGAUACGUCCGGAUCUGUAACCAGUGGUGAGGAUAGAAAGACAGUGUUUUUUGAAGGGAGAAAGAUAGUGUUACCACCCCUAUCUUGUUUAGAUCUGGAGAGGAUGAGAGUGUGUGAAUAGAGCAACCCUAGCAAGCUAGCGCGGAGGCUCCGGCCUAUAUAUACGUAGUGGGGUAGUUUUCCUUUUUCACUCCAUCAAAACAAUCGUUUAAAAUUGUGUACUACAUGCCAGGUCGCUGUUUUUCUAGUUGUUGAUUGUUUUUUGAGAUAGCUACCCGCUUGUUCCAAGUGGUGUUACGGUGUGCCAGGUCUCACUUUGUAUCGUUCAAGUCUGGUACAAGUCCCUCCAUUAAAUGAACAACCACCCCCUCGUAAAAAUAUUGAACAAGCCCACGGCUAAAAUUAUCGGAAACGUGGGUUGCCCCAACAUGCAUUAUUAUUUAUAUUUUCUACUCCCUCCGUUCCUAAAUAUAAGUCUUUUUUAUUAGCCACACCUAAGACAAGAAUUUUUUAUUAGCAGUGAACCCCACAUGUCAUAGACACAAAAAGUGUGGCAAGAUUCCCUUAGGCAAGCCAAAGUGUGUCUAACAAUUUGAGCAACUCAAGUUAGGCAAGUGUGGCAAGUGUGGGAAAAAUAAUGUGGCAACAUAAGACAAACAUAGUCACAAUCCAAACAGCCCCGUAAUUUUUUGUGACGUGCAUGAAAAUUUGGUUAGUUAAAUUUAUAGUCAAAAUUUGGCAAGGUGAAUCAAAUCAACACAUGCAAGUAUCAAAAGGGAAGUCACGGCAUGCAUGCAUGCAUUGUACUCCCUCCGUUUCCAAAUAUAUGUCUUUUUAGAGAUUGCAACAAGUGACUACAUACGAAGCAAAAUAUGUCUACAUACAUCCGUAUGUUGUAGUCCAUUUGAAAUGUGUAAAAAGACUUAUAUCGAGUGCAGUGCUUUGAUGUGUCGCGUCAACUCGUACAAGACCGAGAAGUUUGAUUACUACAACACCCUCUCCCUCGCGGACUGAGCUCCGGUGCCUUAACUGCUACUACCUCUUGAGCACUGCGUUGGUUUUCCCUUGAAGAGGAAAGGGUGAUGCAGCAAAGUAGCGUAAGUAUUUCCCUCAGUUUUUGAGAACCAAGGUGUCAAUCCAGUAGGAGGCCACGCCCAAGUCCCUCGCACCUACACAAAAAAAAAA
rnacentral:lncRNA from 1 species